UUUUUUAAUUUUUUUUCGAAUUAUACUAUUUCGAAAUUCAAACCCUACACCCUAAAACUUAACUCUAAACCCUAAACCAUCAAUCCUAAACCCUAUUUUUUUUUGAAAUACGAACCCUAAACCCUAAACCAUCAAUCUUAAACUCUAUUUUUUUUUUAAAUACGAACCCCAAACCCUGAAACAUCAACUCUAAACCCUAAACCACGAAACAUAAACUCUAAACCCUAAACCUUCAACUCUAAACCCUAAAACAUCAAUUCUAAACCCUAAACCCUAAACUUCAACUCUAAACCCUAAAAAGUACACUCUAAACCCUAAACCCUAAAAAAUUAACCCAAAAACAUCAACUCUAAACCGUAAACCCUAAACCCAAAAACCUUCAACUCUAAACCAUAAAUCCUAAACCCUAAACCCUAAAACCCUAGAGUUGAUGUUUUAGGGUUUAGAUUUGAAGGUUUAGGUUUUUAGGGUUUAGGGUUUACGUUUAGGGUUUAGAGUUGAUGUUUUAGGGUUUAGAUUUGAAGGUUUAGGGUUUUAGGGUUUAGAGUUCGAAUUUCAGAAAAAAAUAGGGUUUAAGGUUUAGGGAUAACGUUUAGGGUUUAGAGUUGAUGUUUUAGGGUUUAGAUUUGAAGGUUUAGAGUUUAGGGUUUAGAGUUGAUGUUUCGGGGUUUAGGGUUUAGAGUUGAUGUUUCAGGGUUUAGGGUUUAGAGUUGAUGAUUUAGGGUUUAAAGUUGAUGUUUUAAGUUUAGAUUUAGGGUUUAGGGUUUACGUUUAGUUUUAAAGUUGAUGUUUUAGGGUUUAGAUUUGAAGGUUUAGGGUUUAGGGUUUAGAGUUGAUGUUUUAAGUUUAGAUUAGUUAACCAUAUGUUUUUUUUUGUCAAAGUUAAUCAAAAGGUUAUAAAUGUCCUUUACCCUUCAUUAAAUAUGAUGAUAAAUGUGGUUAGUGUAAACAUGAAAAGUGGUAUUUUGAAAAUGAUAUUUUUGGCAAUUUCUCCCGAAUUUACUAAAAUUUCAAACCGAGGUAACUGAAAGAGCCAAAUUAUCCAAAAUUUCGAACCAAAAUUUUGAAACGAAUUAACCGAACUAACUUAAAUUACCCGAAUUUUACCGACUUUAUCCAAAUUUGUAACCAAAAUAUAAUCGAACCAAAAAAUUUGGGUAGUUUUUCAAAAAAUUAUUUAUUUAAUUACUAAAAUAAAUAAAAAUUAAAUAAAAUUCAAAAAAUUAAAUAAAAAUCAGAAAAUUAAAUAAAAAUCAGAAAUGUAUAAAAAUAAAUUAAAAUACAAAAAUAAAUAAAAAUUCCGAAAUUGAUAUAAAAUUAAAUAAAAAUUCAAUAAAUUCACAAAAAUAGAAAAUUCACAAAAAUUAGAAAUUGCAAAAAUUCAAAAUAGUUUCUUUCAAAAUAAAUUUAAAAUAUAUAUUUUAAAAAAAAAUACAAGAUUAUGUUCAUAGAAAAACUGACAUGUUAUUGUUGACAAUAACAGUUUCAAAAGUAUCAGUACUAAUAAUAAUAAUAGUUUCUCACGUAACCAUUAACCACGAUGGUUUUUGACAUAUCUUCAACCAUCAGUUUCCAACAUCAUCAUGGAAAAUGAUGGUAGAUAUGUUCGUAUGGGUCUAAAUGAAGGGAAAUUUCUUGUGGGUCCCGUUCGUAUAGACUCUUAAACCGACAGCGUUUGUUGAGCUUCUAAAGCCUGCCACAAAGAAAUAAUUAAAAACCCUGAAAAAGAAACUAAAAUAUUUCUGUGGCGACCAAGAGAAGAUGGUAAGUAACAUCAUAACUAGCCUGUCAAUGACACUAGUUCUUCCUCAAAGCUUCACUCGACCUGCAAAUACAAGGUAUUCUUUUUAUUUUUAGAAUCACAACUAGUUGCUUGCUUUAGUUGGAUCCUGGAAGUUGUAUCAACCUUAAGUUCAUCAAUGGCACACACAACACAGUUUAGUUAGGCUUAGGACAUACUUACGGAAACUAUAUCCUGGAACAAACGAAACUGUCUUUAGAUUCAAGGUUUACUGAUCUCAGAUUUAUGUUUCCUUUAUGAAACGGAAGAUGCUCUGUGGUUAGGAGGAUCAACAGUAGAUCUCAUUAUUCUGACAGAAUUAUAUGUUCCUUGGAGAAUCCCACUGAAAGCAAGGAGGCUUUGAGAAAGCAUUUUGUUUCAGGCUUUGCUGCCAUUUUGCUUCUCUCUCAGGCAGGCCAGGUAUUAUGCUUUAGCCAACAUUGCUAUAAGCAUGCUCGUUUGCGUCCAAAAACCUUUUCAAUUUUGUGAGUUUCCUUGGCAGGGUGUUGCCUUGGAUCUCUCUUCACGUUAUCACAACAUUUGCCAACUGGGAAGUGCUUCUGUGGAAGGAAACAAGCCUAUUCUUCCACUUGAUGAUGACCCGGAAGCGAUGAUGAUGAUGAUGAUGAGAGGCAUGACUGCUAAGAACUUUGACCCAGUUAGGUACUCUGGAAGAUGGUUCGAAGUGGCUUCUCUUAAGCGUGGCUUUGCUGGUCAAGGCCAAGAAGAUUGCCAUUGUACACAGGUACUGUUAAAAUGGCUCAUCCUCUGCAAAGUAUAAUGUGAGAAGAACAAUUAAUAAUUAAUCACAUCUUGAGUACAUUCCGCUUCUGUUUUCACGUUUUGCAGGGCUUAUACACGUUUGAUAUGAAGGAACCAGCUAUACGGGUGGAUACGUUUUGUGUUCACGGUAGCCCUGAUGGGUAUAUAACUGGAAUCAGAGGAAAAGUUCAAUGCGUUGGAGCACAAGACCUGGAGAAAACUGAGACUGACUUAGAAAAGCAAGAGAUGAUUAAAGAGAAAUGUUACCUUCGAUUUCCCACCAUUCCUUUCAUUCCCAAGUUGCCUUAUGAUGUCAUAGCUACAGAUUACGACAACUACGCUCUUGUUUCUGGAGCCAAAGACAGGAGCUUUGUUCAGGUGAUAAUUCAAGACAAGAACUCAAGGGUUUGACAAUAUAUGUUGCUUGCUGCACACCUUCUUACAUAACUACUGUGUGUUGGAUAUGUCAGGUAUACUCAAGGACACCUAACCCGGGACCUGAGUUCAUAGCCAAGUACAAAGACUAUUUGGCACAGUUUGGCUACGACCCGGAGAAUAUAAAGGAUACUCCACAGGACUGUGAAGUGAUGUCUGAUGGUCAGCUAGCUGCUAUGAUGUCCAUGCCAGGUAUGGAGAAAACGCUGACAAACCAGUUUCCAGAUCUUGAAUUAAGAAAGUCAGUCCAGUUUGAUCCCUUCACUAGUGUGUUUGAAACUUUGAAGAAACUGGUCCCACUCUAUUUCAAGUAGAGAAGCUUCUCUGCCCCCAAGAGGUUUUUUGAAUUCUGUAUGCAGAUUAUUUAUCACUGUCAAUAUGCUUGUGCACCUGACUGAGUGUAUAGAUACUAUUCUUUUCUAAGAUAAACUCAAAGUUAUUAUCCUUGACUUCGUAUAAAACAAACACAAGCAAGGCAAACGCUAUUAUUUUAAGCAUCUAUACUAUAAGUUCAUUGUAUUAUUAAGCCUUCUAGGCGAAGAGUUCUAAACAACGAAAACUAACUCACAUCUAUUUUGCGUAUAUAUGACUAAAGAUUUUUCAUAUAAAAACUCUAUAUUUGUUUCUGGAAUAGUUGAAUCUCACAGAGAUAAUCUUCGUAUUAAUACAAAAACACUACGCUUCAGACUGAAUUGAGAACGAUUGCCACUCUCUUUUUAAAUACUCUAGUAGGAGUCACCGAGACAAGAUAACUCUUUAUAUUGCUAUAUUGAUAAUAACAUAGUCAAAGAAAUUACAGUUCCAUAGAAUUUCAUGCUGCCUUUCGAAGUAACCAUAGUUUGCAGAAAAAACUCCAUCACCAUUUUAUCAAAUGAAUAACCAUCAACGAUUGAAGCCGGUAAGACCCGUUGCCACCAUCCACAGUAGAUCUGUCAAUUACCUUUUCUAAACAGUUCAAUUGAACCGAAGCUUUUGUUUUACCAAAUCCAUUGGAAGAAACAUACAAAAGAAGAAUAAAAACCUUUGCUAGAUUUAAAUAAAUCGGCAAUCAAACAGACCAAAUGUCUAGAAGUAAAGCCAAUCAAAGAAAAAAAAAGCAAAAUGAAUCAAACAAGCCGAUGUCGGAGCUAUAGAAGCCUCCUGCCAUCGGCUUGAAACUAUAAAAAAAAAAAUCUCUUUCUUUCUUGACGGUUAGGGUUUCUAAUCUCAAAAUGCAUCUAUGUUAUAUGUUCAGGAUGACUUUUUGAAAAUAAAUUUUAAAAAUUACUAGAAUGUUUGGAUACCCAUACUAAAUGACAAUAAGAGCUUUUGGUUAGUUUUUUUUAAUUGAAAUUAUUUUUAAACAUUAAAUCCACAUCACUAAUUAAAUAUCCACAUCAGCAAUAGAGAACAAUCAACCAUCUCUUUAAUUACAUAACGUUGAAAAAAAACACAACAACACAGCACAACUUCGUCGAAGAACUAAAGGAACCCUAACCGCUUCUUCCCCGAAAUCGUCAUUGACAUCGUGUUUACUCCCUCUUCCUCGAACUAACUCUUUGUCUUGUCUUCUCUGAUAUCGUCUUCCCCGAAAUCGUCGUCUCCAAUUGUUUCUACGAAAUAUUUUCGCUGCAAUCGCCGAAAUCAUCUUCUCUGUUGCGUUUUUUUGAGUUUGUGGCUGAGUUUUAAUUUAUGUUGUGGCUGAGUUACUUUUCUUUUACGACCGGUUUAUAUAUGCAGUUGUGGCUGAGUUACUUCCCGCCAAUCUCCGAGAACCUAGCUAUAAGAAUUGUGCAUUCCGAGGAGAAAGGAGAAAUACAUUCCAAAAAAUACCCAGAUCGGUAAUUGUGGGAUGUAUUUAAUUAAGUUUGUUUGUGAUUUCAUAUCCAUAUUUGGAUAAUCUAUUUUUUUUUCCAGAUCUGAGUGAAAGAGAAAAUUGAACAAAAAGAGAACGAAGGAGACGAAAAUAAGUGACGGAUUCAGCAGAGACGACCCAGAGGAGUUCAUUGAAGCUUGGAUACAUGAACGAGUUAUCACCGGAAUGGUGCAGAAAACCUGUAUUUUUGGUUUUCUAUGUAAAAAACAUAACUCACCCAUGUAUUUUGUGUUUGAUUUAUGCUAUGUUUACACUACUCAGCCGUAUCGUUUAUAUAUCUCAGCCGUGCCGUUUACAUAACUCAUCCAUACCUCAAACAUACCAUAAAAUCAGAAAAUGUUUAGAUAAUUCAGUCGUAUCGUUUAGAUAACUCAGUCAUAUCGUUUAUAUAAAUCAGCAAUACCUCAAACAUACCAUAAAAUCGGAAAACUGAAUUCAAGUAUUUUAAGAAGUUAUAUUGAAGAUCAUCUUAUCAAUAUCAAGUGAAUAUAAAUCAACUGAAUGUGUAUAGUUUCUUGAAGUUGAUACUUUAACUUGAUCUUGAGAUAUAUGUUCUCUUACAAUCACUUAUAUAAUUCUUACUUACAAGACUCUAACUUUAAUAUUUUCUUAAAUCUAAACCUCAAAUCCUAAACUAUAGAAUUAUAAGGUUAUAAAAAUUAUAAAGUUUAUCUUUAAACAUUAAAUCCGAUAUAUUUUUAUUAUUUAAAGUUUAAGGUUUAGGUUUAUAGUUUAGAGUUAAACUCAAAUUUUAAUCAUUUUAGAAAUAAAAAUCUUUAAUUUAAAAUUCCAUUUAAAAUUUUGAUUUAAACCCGUAACUAUAUUCUUUAAAUUUAAGCAAUUUUUAAAACAAAUUGAAAAGAACUAAAAUUGAAAUUUAUAUUGCUUUUUUCAUGACCAAUGAUUGAUUUUAAUCUAAGGGUUCAAUAUUUUUAAUAUAAAAUUAUAAUAUUUUAAAUUUUAACUACAAAUAUUAAAUAUAAAAUUAUAAAGUUAAAUAUUUUCAAAACAUUAUCUCAAACCAUAUCUAUUUCGAACCUUUAACCCUAAACCCUAAACCACAUGCUUUGACCUAUACCAUAAAACUUCAAACUUUAAAAAAAAUUUAAUUAAUCAUAUACCAUAAAUUCUAACUACAAAUGUUAAAACUCUAAUACUUUUGUUAUUUAAAAAUAUAAUCUUAAAUGUUAAAUCGAAACCCAAAACACUAUAUACCAAACUCUAAACUCACUCCAUUAAAUACCCUAAACUUAAAACUUUAUAUUUAAACCACACAUAAAAAAAUCAACAUAAUAAAAUCCAAGUUUUAAAAUUUAAAACUUUAUCGAAAAUACAGUUUAAUAUAAAAUAUAAUUUUAACCAUCAAAAUUAAAACAUUAACCAUUGAUUGUUUUAAUCCAAGGGCUACAAAUCCAUCUUGGGGUUAUAUUCUAACUUCUUUUUCAUUGGUUAGUUUUUUUAGUACAAGGAUUACAAUUCUUGACCAUUGAUUAGUUUUGAUCUAAUGGUCUAAAAUGCUUUUUUUUUAUUCACUUUCUCUCUUCUACUUGACGUCUCCUUCUCCUCUUUUCUUUCCUUCGGGAGUUCUUCACAGUCCCAGAUCUUCUUCAUCUCUCUCGCUUUUUGUCUUGUAAACAAGAGAGAUUCAUACAUCAUCAUUCAUUUCUUAUGCCUUAGUAUAUUUGGUUUGUAAAUCUUAGAAGUGAGAGAAGAAGAAACGUCAAAGAAGAAAAGAAGAUUGCUGGAGAAAAAGAAAAAAGUUCGAAGAAGAUUGAUCUUCGCCGUCGUCACGGAUAUUGAGCUUGUCGUCGUCGCCAUCUAUACUCGCCGACGUCAUCCUUGUUGCUGUUUCUCAGAUCCAUCUUCGCCGGUCUCAGUCUUCACCGUAGUCGCCACCACCACCGCUUGUCACCACACUGGUCACCUCUCUUUCUUUCAAACUCUCUCGCUCUUUCUCCGUGUUUUGAAUUUGUUCUUGUUACUGGAAGGUGGACAAGGCAGAGGAGCUUGGUGGUGGAGGAGGUAACAAAACCGUUGUGUGACUUGAAGACGUCGGAGCUCUCAUGGUAACGGGACUGCGGCAGCGAAGGAAGAAGACAGUAAUGACCUUGCAGCCUCGUGAUGUGCAAGAAACACACGGUGAUUUAGUUAGGUUUAUAUUUUGUUGACGACGGCUGCAAGCUUUUUUGUUUCUAGGUUUUAGAUUAGGGUUGGUUUAAAAUUAAACUCAGACGUAACGUAUGCAUGACUCAGCUGUAAAGUAUGCAUAAUUCAACCGUAAUGUAUCUGAAUGGUAUAAGUCAACCGUAACGUUCCUAUAAGUCAGCCCUAUAAGUCAGCCGUCAAGUGUAACUUUUUUUGCGACGUUUCAUAUUUUGGGCGGGAACAAAAUCAUUCCUUCAACUCUGAAAUUGUCUCCGCAAGCGUCUUAUCCCAAAUCGUCGUAUCGUUUAUAUAACUCAGCCGUGUCGUUUAGAUAACUCAGUCGUAUCGUUUAGAUAACUCAUCCCUAUCCCAAACAUACCCUAAAAUCAAAAAAAUGAAUUCAAGUACUUUAAAAAGUUAUAUUGAAGAUCAUCUAAUCAAUAUCAUGUGAAUAUAAAUGAACUGAAUAUGUAUAGCUUCUUGAAUUUUCAAGUUGAGACUUUAAUAUUAUCUUGAGUUAUAUGUUCUCUUACAAUCACUUAUACAAAUAUACCCUAAACUCAAAUUUAGUUGAUAUAUGUUCACUUUGUUAUGAACUUAAGGUUUAGGAAUCUGUAAGUUGUGUGUAUUAUUAAUCAAUCAUAAGGUGUCUUUAUAUAUGGGAGUUACAAAAAGAUAAAAGGAAAGACAUAAAUAUGGAAAAUGUACAAAUACAAGGAAAAAGAAAUAGGGUUUCCUUUUCUCUAAAGCCUAAGCCGCCUCUCUCUCCUCUUCAUGCGGGUUGGGCCGUCUCUCUCUCUCUCUUGGUAUUGGGCCGGUUAUAGACCGGGCCGGUUAUGGACAUCCAUCAUAUGGUUUAUAACACUCCCCCUUGGAUGUCAUAACUAUACAGAGUUUGUAAUACGCUUUGGAUGUUGCCUCAUUAAAACCUUACCAGGAAAACCCAGUGGGACAAAACCAUGGUUAAGGAAAAAAAGUACAACACGCAUUACUCCCCCUGUUCUGAACAUCACUGAAAAUCUUUCAGUCUACGUAUCCCAAUCUCCGUAUAUGUCCUUCAAGUUGGCGCAUCCAAACCUGAUGGUUGAGCUUCAUGGAUACCAAUGACUAAUGGUCUCAAUAUCAAGGCAAGGCGCCAAUAGUACUUAAGGUUAGGGACGUGUAUGUCUUUAGUGCCUUAUGGUCGAACAUGAGCUAAACAUAUAGGAGAUUCUCGGCAAGAACACAUGUCCGGCCUAGUAUGGCUUGUCUAUUACAUCAAGGUGCCCAUGGUACUUGGGUAAUGGACUUUACCAGACCAAAGACAUAUUUCUUGUCCUUCUUGGGACCAAAGGAUCCGUGUCCAAGUCAGGGAUAUUCACGACCAUGUCCUUCUUGUGGACCAAACAGAUCAGUGUCUAAAACAAGUGAUCUCACGCCCAUUUACUAGAUAAUGGAUGAGACUGGUCCACAUUAAAUCCCUUGAGUACCAUUUUCUGUAUAUACUAUUUGAUGCACAAGGAUUUCAUUGUUAAUGUACUCAAGCUGUAGUCCCAAACAAAACUUUCUUUUCCAUGAUCUUUCAUCUCAAACUCUUUCUUGAGAUAUUCAAUUGUUUGGGAAAUUGUACCCAGAGGUUCCUAGGAUAUUCAGAUCAUAUACUUUGAUGAUUAUCAAUAUUGUUCUCGAGAACUUGCUGUACUUUCAGCUCAAUACCCUUUAGUACUUUCAUUAUCCAGUGGAUCAUAUAAAUAUGCAGCCACUAUAUCAAUUUGCUGCAAGUCUACUUUUUCUCUCUUAUAUAGCCAGACUUAUGAGAAAUCUAAAAGUAGUUGCAUCCACCACAUGGGAGUAUGUCUCCUCAUAAUCUAUCACUGGUCUUUGUGAGAAUCCUUGUGCAACAUCAGCUUUAUAUCUUACGAUUUCUAUUCCUCACAAGACCCAUUUAUAUCCACUGGUUUUAACAUCAUAUGGCGUUUUAAUCAUAUGGCCAAAUACGCAUUUCUUCUUUAAACUAUUUAACCCCAUGUUUCCAUUCAAUCCAAUUUGUUCUACGAGUGCGCACUCUUAUACUAACGUGGGUUCAUGAUCCUCGCUUAUAUUCAUAAAUUCAAGUGCUACAUUGUACGCAAAUAAAUCAUCUUAUGUCGACAUUCUUUAUUGGUUCCAUUAUAUUCCAGACAUGAUAUAAUUGAUUGAGAUUCAUUAUUAUCAUGACCUUUAAUACUUUGCAGCUUGGCGUCCCAAGCUACAUUGUUUGGUACUUGUACCUUAGAGCCGGCCGGCCAUAUCUCCAUGUCUGAGAUGGUUUCCUUAGUAACCUCGGAUUUGGAUUUUGAUUAUCAUUCUUUUGCACCUUUCUUUUGUUUCCGAGGAUUAUUAUCUUUUGGAACCUAUUGGUCUAUCUUGUAUAGACUCUGUAGCAACUUGACUGUGUCUCUCUUGGACAUAAAUUUCGUUGUUUACAAGCUGGUUUAUAUAUGACUUAGUCAUUUUUCGGGUCAGCAAAUGUGUCUGGCAUUUGAUUAGCUAGCUUUGUAAAUGUAUAAUCUUUGGACGUCUAUUUCACAUUCUUUAGUCCAAGGAUCUUUCCAAGACAUUGAUGGUCGAUGCCAUUCUGUUUCUCUUACCAGCUUAUUAUUUUCUCCCCCUAAUGUUGGAUAGUCGGAUUCAUUAAACUUACAAUCCGUGUUCUUGGCCACUAAAUAGAUCACCCAUAUUUGGCUCAAGUUACUUCAUUAUUUGUGGGAGAUUCAUAUCCAACAUAUAUCCCCAUCCUCAUCCUCUUCUAAGGAUCCAUCUUAGACGGCACAUAUAUUUGUGGUGGCUUAUCCAAAUAUCUCAAGAUGGUAUAUGUCUGGCUCAUGACCCGUAAUAAAUUUGAGAUGGGAAUAUCUAUGCUCACUUAAAUGGUCUGAUGCUUAUUAGUUAAGGUGCAUGUAAAUUCGUGUGUCCCCAAGCCUUGGACUGAGAGUUUGGACCUAUGGGUAAUGGCCAAUACAGAUUUAUAAAAGGAUUCAGCCAAGCUAUAUAUAGUAUGGACAUGUGCGGGUUUGUCCUCACUACCCCCUCAUGGACAUACUAUAAUCUUUAAGUGCUUUGGGACAUCAUGGCCUAAUGAUUUUCCCUUGUGUUCAUGCUACACACGUGAGAUUCUAUGGGAAAACUCUUUGUACCUUUUCCAAUAUCAAUUUCGCAUCACGUUUUGGACCAGGGUGGCCAAUCCGGUCAUGCCGUAAAGUGUAUAAUUUUUUGGGUAAACCAUUCUGGUUACCAUGACUUUUGCCUCUAUCAUACUGAUCUUGGCAUAGUAGUCUAGAUCAAUAGGGAAUGCAUGUAUAGUCUUUAGGACCUAAUAUGGCCUUGGGGAUUUUCAUAACUCUGAAGGAACUGUUGUUUCCUUUUGCCCAUUGUAUCAUUGUGGAAACCAUUCUUAUAUCUCAAUAUUUUAUAAUCUCAAUGGGUUUCUCUGGGUGAAUAUAAAACAUCUAAAUGCUUGCCCAUAUACAUAUCUGGCCAUAGACCUUAAUGUGUACCAUACCCGCAAUUUAUAAACUCAUAUUGGCGUUUUUUAAUAAAAUCAUUCAUUCCUUUUAUUAAGUUUUAAUAAAACAAGUUCGAAGAAAUGAAAACAUAGAAAUGAAAAACACCAAAACAAAGAACACAGAAAUUUAGAUUACAAAUGUCGAAAUCAAUCUUCAGUUUUUUUAGACAAUCUGAAGUUUCAUAAUCCAUAAGAUCGUCCUUCUCAUGAUAAGUCAUUUUCAUCAUCUUGGUAAGUCAUAUGGGCUUCAGGAUUCUUCCCUUUCAGACUCUCUUGAUAGAGGUCAACAAGAUGCUUGGGAGUCCUACAAGUCUUAGCCCAAUGAUUGCUCAUACCACACCUAUGGCACACAGAUUCGUCUGGUUUGGUCGAGUGUUGGGGUUUAAAUGAAGAUCCAUGGCCACGACCAUGACCUCGUCCAAAUGAGCCAUGGUCUCGACCAUUUCCUCUCCCGCGGCCAAAAGAUCUUCGACCGCGUCCACGUCCGUUCGACUUGUCUCGACUACGGCCAUACUGGCCGUUUCCUUGGACGUGGUUGGACUCUUUAUUGUCCUCUGUCGUGUGUGCUUCAGGUAGUGGAGCUGAUCCAAGAGGUCUCAUCUGACUGUUUCUCAUCAAUAAUUCAUUGUUCUGCUCAGCGAGCAAGAGACAAGAAAUAAGAUUAUCAUAGGUCUUAAAACCUUUCUCACGGUACUAUUGUUGUAACAGCACAUUGCUUGCAUGGAAAGUGGAAAAGUUUUUCUCAAGCAUAUCCUGUUCCGUAAUACUUUCACCACACAGUUUCAUUUUAGAAACAAUCUUAAACAGUGCAGAGUUAUACUCGUCCACAGACUUUUAGUCUUGGAUUCUGAGAUUCGUCCAAUCAAACCGAGCUUUUGGUAAGAUCACCAUUCUCUGGUGAUCAUAUCUCGAUUUCAAUUCGUUCCAAAGAUCUAGUGGAUUCUCAAUGGUUAGAUAAUGAUCCUUCAGACUCUCAGCUAGAUGAUGACGAAUGAUCAAGAUGGCUCUGUAUUGAUCUUUCUCAUUAUCAUCAUUGUUCUCGGUGAUACAUUCACCGAGACCCUUGGAUUUCAGGAUGAUCUUAGCAUCGAGCGCCCAUUGAAGGUAAUUAUCUCCAGAGAGAUUUAGGACAGCGAAAUCCAGGUUGUUGAUUUUUGACAUCUGAAAUCAUAGAUUAAUGUAUUUAGGUCUUUAGGAAUAGGGUUUAAACGAGUAGGGUUUUAGGUUUAAACAAUUAAUCAAUACCUCACGGCCAAGAUCUAUGCCUCUCGGCCAAGAUCUAUGCCUCUCGGCCAAUAAGCAUGCCGCACGGCCAUGAAUGCAAUCGGUUCAAUCUUAUGCAUUUAGUUUGUCAUGUAAUUGCAAUCCGAACAUUCAUUGUUUCUAUAUGAUGCCAUCAAUACAAACAAACCUCUCGGCCAAACAAAAGAACAAGCCACACGGCUACUUGAUUUGAUUCAAUACCAUUCCUAGAAAAGUUCUAAGUGCAAUUUGCAAUCAAUCAAUUGUGAUCAAAUUAGGGUAUGAAUGCAACAAGGCCACACGGCCACAAGGUAUGAUCAAGAACUAUUAACCUAGAAUGCAACAAAGCCACACGGCCACAAUUCAGAUUCGAUUUCAAAAUAAUCUAGACUAGGUUAUUAGGGUUUCAGUUUAAACAAUCUAAACAAUCUUAAUUCAUUCAGAUUCAAAUUUAAACAAUCUUAGCAAUAGUUCUAGGUGAUCAAAUCAAUCAAUUAAUAUUAAAUUCAAACAAUCAAAAUCGAUUUUCAAAAUUAGGAUUUUAGGGUUUCGAUUUGAUUAACAAGCAAUUACAAUUUCAGGAUGAUCAAUUCAAUCUUAAUCAACAUUCAAUCAGUUUUAAUUAAUCAGUUUUUCGUAUUAGGGUUUAGGUAUUUUUGAAAACUUGAUCUUAGAUCAAAGAGAUUUGAUUUGCAAUUCAAAACCUUUAAAGCUUUGAUUUUAAUUGAUCAAUGGAUCAAUCUCGAUUUUAGGGUUUAGGGAUCGAACUUAUAGAGCUUCUAUUUACUCAUUAGGGAUUGAUCUAUUAUCCUAUGGCUUUUAUCUUUAGAGAUUAGGUUUUAUGGUUUCAUUCUUUACAAGCAAUCCAAAUUCAAUUUUCAUGUUCUUAGAAUUCGAAUUUACCUUUAGUUUUAGUAGAUUGUUGAAACCGGACUACCAAGAUAAUGAACCUCGAGCUGGGCAGGAACGCAAGCUGAACACGAGCUGGCCUGGAUGCGAACGGAUUGAGGUUGGAGACGCGAGCAGCUGAUCGUCGAACGGGAGCUGUUGCUGUCGGGAUCGCGAGCGGCUCUGAUGCGAACGGGGUGCUUGCAGUCUGGAACGCGAGAUGUCCUUGAUGCAGGAUGGAGCUGAGUUUGUCUAGGAUCAGGAACGCCUUGGGGCUGGAGCUGAUCAGGUGGACACGAGCUGGAACGGAGUCGCGAACGGAUUAGGGUUCGUCGGUAUCGUCGGGUUCGGAUUAGGGUUUUAAAGCAAAUCGGCGCGCACUAUAUCUGUGCGUGAGGGCACUUCGGUGGUCAGAUCGACAAGCGGUUUGCACUGACUGAUUCGUCUCGGCAAGGGCUUCGAUUUGAUAUUUUGAUCGUUUCGUGGGUCCUCACGGUUUGGGGGAACGGCCUCUUUGAAGUUCCGAGGCAGAUUCCUUUUUGUUUUAGGGUUUUAGGGUUUUGUUGAUUUGGUUUUAGGCUCAGGGUGUUAGAGGCUAUCGUGCUGAUAACGUGUUAUGAACUUAAGGUUCAGGAAUCUGUAAGUUGUAUGUAUUAUUAAUCAAUCAUAAGGUGCCCUUAUAUAUGGGAGUUACAAAGAGAUAAAAGGAAAGACAUAAAUAUAGAAAGUGUACAAAUACAAGGAAAAGGAAAUAGGGUUUCCUUUUCUCUAAAGCCUAAGCCGCCUCUCUCUCCUCUUCAUGUGGCCGCCUCUCUCUCUCUCUCUAGGGUUGGACCGUCUCUCUCUCUCUCUCUUGGUAUUGAGCUGGUUAUAGACCGAGCCGGUUAUUGACCGAGCCGGUUAUUGACCGGGCCGGUUAUGGACAUCUAUCAUAUGGUUUAUAACACACUUAUAUAUGUUCUUUUACAAUCAUUUAUACAAAUCUACCCUAAAACUCAAAUUCAGUUGAUAUAUGUUCACUUAUAUAUGUUCUCUUACAAUCACUAAACUAUAGCCUUCAUUUUCGUACAAUUGACAGAACUUAGCCUCCUCAUCUCUCUCUCUAACUCUUUCUUCUUCUACAAAACGACGAAUCCGAUGAAGAGGAAGCAGCAGGAUGUCGGAUCACCAUACAUGACACUGGAACAGAGAAAGCUUCAUCUCUAACUGACCAUGAUCGAAGACGACAACCACUGCUAUAAAUCUGUCUCAUAUUUUUGAGUUUUUAGAUCUAUGUUGUUUAUGCGACUAAUUUGUCUCUUGAAUGGUAUAAGCCAGCUGUAACGUUCCUAUAAUUCAGCCGUCGAGUGUAAUUUGUUUCGCGACGUUUCGUAUUUUGGGCGGGAACAAAAUAUUUUGGGCAGGAACAAACUCAUUCCUUCAACUCUGAGCACAAUACUAAAACUUUAAUCUUUUCUUAAAUUUGAACCUGAAUCCCUUAACUAUAGAACUAUAAGGUUAUAAAAAUUAUAAACUCAGCCGUAACGUAUGCAUAAGUCAGAUGUAAUUUGAUUAUAACUCAGCCGUAACGUAUGCAUAACUCAGUCGUAACGUAUCUGAAUAGUAUAAGCCAGCCGUAACGUUCAUUUGUUUCGCGACGUUUCAUAUUUUGGGCGGGAACAAAAUCAUUCCUUCAACUCUGAACACAAUAUAAAACUUUAAUCUUUUCUCAAAUUUGAACCUCAAACCAUAAACUAUAAAACUAUAAAGUUUAUCUUUUGAACACAAUAUUAAAACUUUAAUCUUUUCGUAAAUUUGAACUUCAAACCCUAAACAAUAGAGCUAUAAAGUUAUAAAAAAUUAUAAACUCUGCCGUAACGUAUGCAUAACUCAGCCAUAACGUAUGCAUAAUUCAGCCAUAACUUAUGUGUUGGAGGCUCACUGUAUGAACUAAAGUUAUCAUAUUCAGAUGACGCACCAUCUGAGUCAUCAAACAUAUAAAAUCAGCUUUCAAAUUCAUCAUCUUCUUCGUCUUCUCUCAUUUUCUUACUUUUUUGUUCAACUCUCUUCUUUUCUUACAAUUUACAGGACUUAGCUUCUUCAUCUCUCUCUUUGAUUCUUUCUUCUUCUGCAAGACGACGAAUCCAAUGAGAGAGGGAGCAUUCUUGCAGGAUGUCGGACCGCCAUACAUGACACUGGAGGAGAGGAAGCUUCUCUUUAACCGAUCAUCAUCGAAAACGACGACGACUGCAGUAGAUCUGUCUCAGAUUUUCAAUUUUUUUAAAUCUAUGUUUAUAGACCUAGUUGCGGAAACAAUAAUUACAAGAUCCAUAAGAUCUCAGAGAAAGAUGAAGAAUAAGAUGAAGAAGAUAGAUAAAAAGAUAAAGAAUAACAUAGACCCUUAUUUUACUGUUGUAACAUUAGACUAGUGAUGACAUAGCAAAUCCGAGUUGAAGACAUGGAAAAUCGGUUAGUCAGCCGCCAAACGAAUGUAUAACUCAAUCUAAAUAAAUCAGCCCUCAUGUACAAUGUAAGUCAGCCGAAACGUGGAUACUAUUUCAGUAAUUAAUCUUUUGCUAAUAAAUCAGCCGUAAUUAGGAUGCAAAAUCAUAAGUCAGCUGUAUCGUCAAAUAAAUCAGCCGUAAAACGAAUGUUAUUCUAGUAAUUAAUCUUUCGCUAAUAAGUCAGCCGUUAAUAAGCUGAGUUUACUGUAAAUCCAUCCAAUUAUGGCUGAUUAAAUAUAACUCAGCCGUAACAACAUCCCAUAAGUCGGUCGUAAAUUCAAUAACUCAGCCAGUCGAUGUUCAUUAACUCAGCUGUGGAAACAUAACUCAGCGAUGUCUUAACUAUAACUCAACCGAAUUUUCCAGAAAUCAAAUCGCCGAUGUAUAAGUCAGACGUAACACGCGUACGUAAGUCAGUCGUUAUUCCAUAAAUCAGCCAGAUUUCUGUAAAUCAGCUGUAACUAACAGCUGACUUAUGUUCUUAAGUCAGUUGUUUUCUCUUAAGUCAGCCGUGUUGUUUAAUUCAGCCGCAACGUAGCAAUAACUCAGCCGUAACUACGUAUAUAGCGCUUUACGGCUGACUUAAUGAAAACACGAAAUCAAAUUCCUACGUGGCGCCGGGUUUUUGCUUAUGUGGCUCUAAAAGGUAAUGACAUUCUUGUAAAUACGUUUUUUCUCAUAACAUAAAAAAAGGCAUGCUUGGUUUAAAAAAAAAUGGCAGUAAUAAAAAAAAUUUUGUAUACUUCUAGUCAAUUGUCCUAAAAUACGUUAUGUUUGAGUAAACUUCCGUUUAUAUUACUGAAAACAUUCAAGUUAAUAAAAAUGUUAAAAUCUAAUUGAAGUUAAUUGAAACUAUACAGACGGCACUAAAUGUUGAAAGAGGAAAUGCAAUCAAGUGUUUAAUGAAUUAACAAAGUAGGUCGAAAAUAAUGUUCAUUUAGAAGUAAAUCGAAGUCGAAAAAGUUAUAAAUGCCAGGCGGGCUCGACUAUCAAAUCAGACUCGGUAAACGAGAAAAUAUCGCGUUUGCUAGUUUAUCUCUUUAAAAUAUCUCUCUAGAAGUUUAAUGAAAAAAUUGGUCCCUCCUUCCAUCGAGUGAGGUCUCCUUUAUAGAUGAGGGAUGUUUCAAAUAUGACAAAUGACAGCUCGUCAUCUUUUGUUAAUGAGGUUAUAUAUUUAAUUAUGAUGUGUACAUAUAUUUGUUGCAACUUGGAUACAACAUGAUUUGUCCCAAGACAUCUAAUGCUGAUUUGACUAUCUCAUCUUUACUCGUCGAUUUGUCGAGCAAGUUUCUGUGGUGAGUUAUCCCGCGAGCAUGGGCUCGUUGUCGAAAGGUCUCGUGUUGUCAGGUUUUGUUUUCUACCGUAUUGGACCUUUGUUCUUGCUUCAGGGUUUUAAAACGAGAUGAGCCUUUUUUCUAAUUUAGACCAGUCAUUGAUGCGAGUGGUGUCCAAGGAGAAUGAUGGAAGUGCUAUCGAGUAAGAAAAUCAAUAGUGUCACACGAGGAUGCCACAAACGGUAAGGCUGAGGUAUGAAUAGAAAAUAAGUCACCAUUGUCAUAAGCAUGACAAACUUUAGAUGUGUCUCUUUAUGUAGAGUUUUAGAUAGAAUCUUCUCAGGUUUUACCUUCCUUAGGUUAAGGAUUGAUUUCAAUUUGAUUAUCGUUUCAGGUUCGAUGAUCAAGAUCAAUACGCAAAAAAGACACAAAACGCUUUGUCCACCCGGUGUUCGCUGAUCUACUCACCGGGGAGGGAGAUAGUAUUCCUUAACUGCUUCACUAUAGGAUUUGAUCAAGUUACACAAGUACAACAAUGGUGAAUCUUGCGUACAAUCGAGAUAACAUAUGAAAGAGUUUAGCGAGCUUAUCACUUCCAAUGUGAAGCCAGAAAGUCACAUCCGGAAUGAUCCAAUCUGAUCGUAUACCGCUUUCGUGACUCUGUCGAUCUUCAUCCUCGUGAUCUCCAAGCUAAGUCUUCUCCUCUCUCUCUCUUGAUCUCUGUAUUUUUGAUCUUCUUCUCCACUUGAUUUCCUGAAACGCACCGUUUCACUUAGCGAGCAAUCCUCAAGGCUUUGGGCUGAAACUUGGGCUUUGUUCUUUGUUGCAGGUUUCGUGAGAGCUUAAGCUGUGGAACAGGAAGCCCAAUUGGAGUUUGGCUGAACUUAACCCACACUUCAAGUAGUUUAAGUUUUCUUUGUUAGUUUACAAUUGAUUUUGGUCAUAUUAUUUAAGAGUCGUGUCUCUAGGUUGAACAGUUGUGUCUCAUUCUGUACAGUGUUUACUUAAGUAUUUGUAAAACUACAUAAGUGUAUAUGUGUUAUCUCAGUAAAACCAGAAGUUUCAGUUUUUCAUUUUACGUAACAGAGAAAGUUGUUUGUGUGCAAUCUCAAUUCUCGUUUGAACACGAAACACGUUUUAUCUGGGUUCCGAUAACUUCUUAACAUGGUAUCACAUAUAAGUUUAUUCAAGGGUCAAGAGAAGCACAACUCACACAAGUAAACACACAAGAAAUUGCACAAGUAACCGCAAAAGAAACCGCGCAAGGAAACAAAGAUAAUGGAGGGAAAAUCGCAACAAAUGAUUCCUAUGCUCGAUGGGGAUGAUUAUGAUUUCUAGCGUAUUAAGUUGACGACCAUCUUUUACACCAGAAAACUGUGGAUGAUGAUGUAACAAGGGAUUCCUGAUGAACCGAAACAAGUGGAGAAAACUCCAAAAGCGUUACAGUUAAGUGUUCAACAUGAAGAAGCAAUCACAUAAGACACAUCGGCACUGCAAAUUCUGCAAAAAAGCCGUGUCUUAUCAGAUUUUCUCUCAUAUAGCAUAAGCAAAAACUUUUAAGGAGGCGGGAUACAAUGUUAUCCGAAUUUCAAGGGACACCACAAGUACGAUUGAUCAAGUUACAAUCGAUAAGGAGGGAGUACGAAGAUUUGAGAAUGAACGAAGGUGACGAUAUCAAAGCAUUCACCAAAAACUUAAUUGAUCUUGAAAAUUGUAAUGACCCACCUCCACUAUCCCCACUAUCUCCACCAUCUCCACCAUCCCCACCACACCCACCAUCUCCACUAUCCCCAACUUCUUUAAAGAGAAAGAGAGAGAGAGGGAGGGAGAGAGAGAGAGAGAAAGAGAGAGAGAAAGAGAGAGAAAGCUCAUCUGAGCUCGUCGCCGGAGCAACCGUGUGCCGUGAUCACGUUCAGCUUGCCACCACCGAUAAACGCCCUAGGUAACCGCCGGAAACCGCAUUCCUUAAGCUCAGUUUCGUUUCCGUUUAGUAAAUCGNNNNNNNNNNNNNNNNNNNNNNNNNNNNNNNNNNNNNNNNNNNNNNNNNNNNNNNNNNNNNNNNNNNNNNNNNNNNNNNNNNNNNNNNNNNNNNNNNNNNNNNNNNNNNNNNNNNNNNNNNNNNNNNNNNNNNNNNNNNNNNNNNNNNNNNNNNNNNNNNNNNNNNNNNNNNNNNNNNNNNNNNNNNNNNNNNNNNNNNNNNNNNNNNNNNNNNNNNNNNNNNNNNNNNNNNNNNNNNNNNNNNNNNNNNNNNNNNNNNNNNNNNNNNNNNNNNNNNNNNNNNNNNNNNNNNNNNNNNNNNNNNNNNNNNNNNNNNNNNNNNNNNNNNNNNNNNNNNNNNNNNNNNNNNNNNNNNNNNNNNNNNNNNNNNNNNNNNNNNNNNNNNNNNNNNNNNNNNNNNNNNNNNNNNNNNNNNNNNNNNNNNNNNNNNNNNNNNNNNNNNNNNNNNNNNNNNNNNNNNNNNNNNNNNNNNNNNNNNNNNNNNNNNNNNNNNNNNNNNNNNNNNNNNNNNNNNNNNNNNNNNNNNNNNNNNNNNNNNNNNNNNNNNNNNNNNNNNNNNNNNNNNNNNNNNNNNNNNNNNNNNNNNNNNNNNNNNNNNNNNNNNNNNNNNNNNNNNNNNNNNNNNNNNNNNNNNNNNNNNNNNNNNNNNNNNNNNNNNNNNNNNNNNNNNNNNNNNNNNNNNNNNNNNNNNNNNNNNNNNNNNNNNNNNNNNNNNNNNNNNNNNNNNNNNNNNNNNNNNNNNNNNNNNNNNNNNNNNNNNNNNNNNNNNNNNNNNNNNNNNNNNNNNNNNNNNNNNNNNNNNNNNNNNNNNNNNNNNNNNNNNNNNNNNNNNNNNNNNNNNNNNNNNNNNNNNNNNNNNNNNNNNNNNNNNNNNNNNNNNNNNNNNNNNNNNNNNNNNNNNNNNNNNNNNNNNNNNNNNNNNNNNNNNNNNNNNNNNNNNNNNNNNNNNNNNNNNNNNNNNNNNNNNNNNNNNNNNNNNNNNNNNNNNNNNNNNNNNNNNNNNNNNNNNNNNNNNNNNNNNNNNNNNNNNNNNNNNNNNNNNNNNNNNNNNNNNNNNNNNNNNNNNNNNNNNNNNNNNNNNNNNNNNNNNNNNNNNNNNNNNNNNNNNNNNNNNNNNNNNNNNNNNNNNNNNNNNNNNNNNNNNNNNNNNNNNNNNNNNNNNNNNNNNNNNNNNNNNNNNNNNNNNNNNNNNNNNNNNNNNNNNNNNNNNNNNNNNNNNNNNNNNNNNNNNNNNNNNNNNNNNNNNNNNNNNNNNNNNNNNNNNNNNNNNNNNNNNNNNNNNNNNNNNNNNNNNNNNNNNNNNNNNNNNNNNNNNNNNNNNNNNNNNNNNNNNNNNNNNNNNNNNNNNNNNNNNNNNNNNNNNNNNNNNNNNNNNNNNNNNNNNNNNNNNNNNNNNNNNNNNNNNNNNNNNNNNNNNNNNNNNNNNNNNNNNNNNNNNNNNNNNNNNNNNNNNNNNNNNNNNNNNNNNNNNNNNNNNNNNNNNNNNNNNNNNNNNNNNNNNNNNNNNNNNNNNNNNNNNNNNNNNNNNNNNNNNNNNNNNNNNNNNNNNNNNNNNNNNNNNNNNNNNNNNNNNNNNNNNNNNNNNNNNNNNNNNNNNNNNNNNNNNNNNNNNNNNNNNNNNNNNNNNNNNNNNNNNNNNNNNNNNNNNNNNNNNNNNNNNNNNNNNNNNNNNNNNNNNNNNNNNNNNNNNNNNNNNNNNNNNNNNNNNNNNNNNNNNNNNNNNNNNNNNNNNNNNNNNNNNNNNNNNNNNNNNNNNNNNNNNNNNNNNNNNNNNNNNNNNNNNNNNNNNNNNNNNNNNNNNNNNNNNNNNNNNNNNNNNNNNNNNNNNNNNNNNNNNNNNNNNNNNNNNNNNNNNNNNNNNNNNNNNNNNNNNNNNNNNNNNNNNNNNNNNNNNNNNNNNNNNNNNNNNNNNNNNNNNNNNNNNNNNNNNNNNNNNNNNNNNNNNNNNNNNNNNNNNNNNNNNNNNNNNNNNNNNNNNNNNNNNNNNNNNNNNNNNNNNNNNNNNNNNNNNNNNNNNNNNNNNNNNNNNNNNNNNNNNNNNNNNNNNNNNNNNNNNNNNNNNNNNNNNNNNNNNNNNNNNNNNNNNNNNNNNNNNNNNNNNNNNNNNNNNNNNNNNNNNNNNNNNNNNNNNNNNNNNNNNNNNNNNNNNNNNNNNNNNNNNNNNNNNNNNNNNNNNNNNNNNNNNNNNNNNNNNNNNNNNNNNNNNNNNNNNNNNNNNNNNNNNNNNNNNNNNNNNNNNNNNNNNNNNNNNNNNNNNNNNNNNNNNNNNNNNNNNNNNNNNNNNNNNNNNNNNNNNNNNNNNNNNNNNNNNNNNNNNNNNNNNNNNNNNNNNNNNNNNNNNNNNNNNNNNNNNNNNNNNNNNNNNNNNNNNNNNNNNNNNNNNNNNNNNNNNNNNNNNNNNNNNNNNNNNNNNNNNNNNNNNNNNNNNNNNNNNNNNNNNNNNNNNNNNNNNNNNNNNNNNNNNNNNNNNNNNNNNNNNNNNNNNNNNNNNNNNNNNNNNNNNNNNNNNNNNNNNNNNNNNNNNNNNNNNNNNNNNNNNNNNNNNNNNNNNNNNNNNNNNNNNNNNNNNNNNNNNNNNNNNNNNNNNNNNNNNNNNNNNNNNNNNNNNNNNNNNNNNNNNNNNNNNNNNNNNNNNNNNNNNNNNNNNNNNNNNNNNNNNNNNNNNNNNNNNNNNNNNNNNNNNNNNNNNNNNNNNNNNNNNNNNNNNNNNNNNNNNNNNNNNNNNNNNNNNNNNNNNNNNNNNNNNNNNNNNNNNNNNNNNNNNNNNNNNNNNNNNNNNNNNNNNNNNNNNNNNNNNNNNNNNNNNNNNNNNNNNNNNNNNNNNNNNAGAUUCAGGUUCAGCAAGUUCCACUGGUUCAUGUCCAACAAGAUCAGCAGAUUCCAGCUCAGCAUGAUCAUCAGGAUCCCGUUCAGCAGGUUCACCUUCCACAGGUUCCUCUGCAGCAGGGUCCAGUUCAGCAGUUUGCUCAUGGUGUUCAGGAUCUACCACCACCACCACCGCGACCUCAUGUUUACCCGGUUUAUAAUGAGAGGUUCUACAGGCUGACAUGUCAGAUGAGAAACAUGGAGAUGGAGCAUUUUAGCGGGACAGUGGAUGCUGUAGCUGCACACGAUUGGAAGUUAGCCUUGCAGCGGAAGCUGGAGAUUAUUGAGUGUCCACCAGAGUUGUCGCUCAGAUUGACUAUGCAGUACCUUCGUGGAGAUGCUCUUAUAUGGUGGGAGGGAAUACGAUUGAGCCAUUUUGGGCCAGAGAGACUUACUUUCGCUGAUUUCAUUCGAGAGUUCGAUAGGAAAUACUUUCCGAAGAAAGCGAUGGAUAGGAAGAAGUGCGAGUUCGAGCAUGUAAGCCAGGGAGAGAUGUCUAUCAGGGAGUAUGAGGUUGUGUUCAACCAACUUCGCAGAUUUGCAGGAGUGGGCAUUUCAGAAGAAGACUUGAUUAGAAAGUUUUUGAGUGGGAUGCGAGUGGAGAUUCGUAACAGGUGUCGCGUAGUCACUUACCACCGGUUGGGAGAUUUGGUGGAGAAAGCUGCCGAGCAGGAGGCAGGCUUGGCGGAGGAGAAGGAACUCGCCAAAGCAGUUCAUGUUAAGUCUGGAAAAGCUCCAGAGUCUCAAAGGAGAGCAGGGGACCCGUCGGGAUUACCGAUAUGUCCUCGUUGCCAUCGCAGUCACAGUGGGCAGUGUAUGAGGUGUCUUACUUGCGGUAGUAUUGGACACAUUGCGAAGUUUUGUCGAGCUAGGCCAUUGGAUACGCCACCAGUCAGACAGAUUGCAGCACCAGCAGCACCAGCAGCGGCACAUGUUUGCUUUGGCUGUGGUCAGCCAGGUCAUUUCAUCAGAGAUUGCCCGAGGAAGGACAAUGCGGCACUUCCACCACCACCGAAGCGUCUAGCCAUCGCUCCACGUGUGUUUGCGGUUGGAGAUCCUCAGGGAGCUGAGCCGAUAGCAGGUAUGAGUCUUUUCCAUACUUGUUUGUGUUUGGGUAUUUUGGCUCGUGGUUGUCAUGUGUAGUUAGUAAAAAUCUCGUGUAGGAUCGGUUUUAGUUGGAGGAGAGUCAGCUUAUACCUUAUUCGACACGGGAGCCUCUCAUAGUUUUGUGAGUCCGUGCUUAGUCCAGUCUUGGUCUUUUCGUGGAGUCUUUGAACCGAAGGCUAAGCAGAUCCAGACUGCCGGCACGGAGAAGUUGGGUGCAGUUGGCAUUCAUCACGAUGUACCAGUUCUACUUGGAGGAGUCGAGUUGCUCGGAGAUUUGACGGAGAUGGAGAUGAGCUCCUACGAUGUUAUACUUGGGAUGGAUUGGCUGUCGCGACAUCGAGUAGUCUUGGAUUGUCCGAAGGCAAGAGUUAAUAUCCCUAGAGAAGAAGGAAAGAUCAUUUGCGAGGGAAUUCAGACACACCGGGAAAUUUCUAUCGUCUCCAUGUUGCGUGCAGAAGAGUUAUUGGAAAGUGGAGCAGAGGGAUUCUUGGCAACCAUUUCGAUGGUUAAGGAGGACGGUCAACAGAAGCUGCAUGAUAUACCAGUGGUCGCCGAGUACGAGGAUGUUUUUGAGCCUUUAAAAGGGCCACCACCAGCUAGAGCGGACGUUCUUACAAUAGAAGUAGAGCCAGGAGCAGCACCAAUUUCACGAGCUCCAUACCGUCUUGCACCAACUGAGAUGGCAGAGUUAAAGAAACAAUUGGAGGAGCUAUCUGAUAAGGGGUUUAUCAGGCCGAGCACGUCACCGUGGGGAGCACCAGUGUUGUUUGUGAAGAAGAAAGAUGGGAGUUUCAGACUUUGUAUAGAUUACAGAGGUUUGAACAAAGUGACCAUCAAGAAUAAGUACCCGCUCCCGCGUAUCGACGAGUUGUUGGACCAGUUGCAGGGAGCUUCAUGGUUCUCUAAGAUUGACUUGGCAUCGGGAUACCACCAGAUUGCGAUAGCUGAGGGAGAUGUGCGGAAGACGGCAUUCCGUACCCGUUAUGGACAUUACGAAUUUGUGGUGAUGCCAUUUGGGUUGACGAACGCACCAGCCGCGUUCAUGAAGCUUAUGAAUGAUGUAUUCCGUGAGCACUUAGAUAAGUGUGUGAUUGUUUUCAUAGAUGACAUCUUGGUUUAUUCUCGGAGUAGAGAGGAGCAUGCUGAACAUUUGCGAAUUGUGUUGGGUAAGCUUCGGGAACAUCAGUUAUUUGCCAAGCUGAGUAGGUGUAGCUUUUGGCAGAAGAAGAUUGGAUUUUUGGGUCACGUGGUUUCAGAAGCAGGAGUUGCCGUAGAUCAGGAGAAGAUUAGCGCCAUUUCAGAGUGGCCGACACCUAAGAAUGCGACGGAGAUCCGCAGUUUUCUUGGUUUGGCAGGAUACUACAGAAAGUAUGUCAAAAAUUUUGCUAGCAUUGCAAAGCCAAUGACACGGCUAACAGGAAAAGACACCGAGUUUGAUUGGACAGAGGAAUGUUCGGGGAGUUUCACUGAGUUGAAGCGACAGCUGACCCAUGCGCCAGUUUUGGUACUCCCGAGGCCAGGGAUACCAUAUGAUGUUUACACUGAUGCGCCAGGCACCGGAUUGGGAUGUGUACUGAUGCAGGAAGGUCAGGUCAUUGCCUAUGCAUCACGACAGUUGAGGCCUCACGAGGCCAAUUAUCCUACUCAUGAUUUGGAGUUGGCAGCAGUUGUAUUUGCAUUAAAGAUCUGGAGGUCAUACUUGUAUGGAGAGAAGGUGAAGAUUUUCACGGACCACCAGAGUCUGAAGUACAUAUUUACGCAAACGGACUUGAAUUUGAGGCAGCGUAGAUGGAUGGAGUUGUUAGCAGACUACAAUUUAGAGAUCACAUAUCACCCGGGAAAAGCCAAUCAUGUGGCGGAUGCCUUGAGUAGGCGCAGAAGUGAUAUAUCGGGAACCAAAGAGGUCCAGGAGCUUACUGGGACACUUGCUAGUCUAAGAUUAUGUGCAGUUACUGUAGAGGGAGAGUCAGUUGGCGCUGAGGCUGUAGAGCGGGCAGACUUACUAUGGAGGAUACGCAAAGCUCAGGAUAGUGAUGAAGCUUUGCGUAAGCAGAUCGAGAUGGAGAGUAUUGGUUUUCAUACAGCCACCAACGGGAUGUUCAUGUAUCGAAACAGGAUUUGUGUGCCCAAUGAUGAGUUGUUAAGAAAGGAGAUAUUACGGCAAGCACACCACUCGAGUUUCUCGAUUCAUCCAGGAAAUACCAAGAUGUAUAGGGAUCUGAAGCGAUAUUACCAUUGGCCUGGUAUGAAGAGAGAUGUUGCUUCAACUGUAUCGCAAUGUCAGACGUGUCAGAUGGUUAAAGCCGAGCAUCAGGUUCCUAGCGGGUUAUUACAAAACCUGCCAUUACCUGAGUGGAAAUGGGACAUGGUAACUAUGGAUUUCGUGACGGGUUUGCCGACUAGGAAGAAUGCCAUAUGGGUAGUCGUGGAUAGACUUACGAAGUCAGCCCAUUUUCUAGCAGUUAAGAAGACAGACAGAGCUGAUCAGCUAGCACAGACUUACAUCAGCGAGAUUGUAAGAUUGCAUGGAGUUCCGGUCAGCAUUGUAUCGGAUCGGGAUACAAAGUUCACGUCUGAGUUUUGGAGAGCCUUCCAGAAGGCGCUUGGGACGAAAGUUCAUAUGAGUACGGCUUAUCACCCGCAAACAGAUGGUCAGUCAGAGAGGACUAUUCAGACUUUGGAGGAUAUGCUCAGAGCUUGUGUUUUAGAUUGGGAAGGUAGUUGGGUGAAGUAUCUACCUCUAGCCGAGUUUGCCUACAACAACAGCUAUCAUUCGAGUAUUGGGAUGGCACCAUAUGAGGCUCUAUAUGGUAGGCCUUGUCGCACACCACUUUGUUGGACGGAAGUGGGAGAGCGACGUGAGAUAGAACCAGCCAUGGUUCAAGAGACAGUCGAACAGGUUGAGAUGCUCAAGAUGCGGCUUAAGGAAGCCCAUGACCGUCAGAAGAGUUAUGCAGAUAAACGGCGAAGAGAUUUGGAGUUUCAGGUUGGCGACCUGGUAUACCUAAAAAUGAGGACAUUUCAGGGAGGAUCUAAGACUCGGAAGCUAAAGAAGCUUAAACCGAGAUAUAUGGGACCAUAUCCUAUUUUGGAGUGGAUUGGAGCAGUUGCUUACCGACUAGAUUUAUCAGGAGAGUUAUCAGAUUUCCAUGACGUGUUUCAUGUUUCCGUUUUGAGGAAAGUAGUGAGAGAGCCAGAGCUCAUUUUGCAGCAACCACCUAGAAACCUUGGCAAAGGGUUACGUGGGUUGUGCCAACCAGUAGAGAUAUUGGAUCGCCAAGUGAAAGCAGAUCGUGGAAUGAUGACCAUGUUGAUCAAGGUUCGUUGGGAGGGAGACGGAAUUCAGGAGGAUACCUGGGAGUCCGAGCCCCAAAUGAGGAUUGAUUAUCCAAAGCUGUUUCGGGGUGUCAUUGGAGAGUUUGGUGAUGUGAAUUCGGGGUCGAAUUCCUUGUUAGUGGGGGAGAAUUGUAAUGACCCACCAUCCCCACCAUCUCCACCAUCUCCACCAUCCCCAACUUCUUUAGAGAGAGAGAGAGAGAGAGAGAGAGAGAGGGAGAGAGGGAGAGAGGGAGAGAGGGAGAGAGGGAGAGAGUGAGAGAGGGAGANNNNNNNNNNNNNNNNNNNNNNNNNNNNNNNNNNNNNNNNNNNNNNNNNNNNNNNNNNNNNNNNNNCACCAUCUCCACCAUCUCCCCCAUCCCCAACUUCUUUAGAGAGAGAGAGAGAGAGAGAGAGAGAGAGGGAGAGAGGGAGAGAGGGAGAGAGGGAGAGAGGGAGAGAGAGAGAGAGAGAGAAAGCUCACCUGAGCUCGUCGCCGGAGCAACCGUGUGCCGUGAUCACGUUCAGCUUGCCACCACCAAUAAACGCCCUAGGUAACCGUCGGAAACCGCAUUCCUUAAGCUCAGUUUCGUUUCCGUUUAGUAAUGCACCCAUAACUUCCUAACCAUUGAUCAUAUCGUGCAUCCAAGGCCAUCAUCGUGUUCCUCUCGUCGAGACGAAGCCGUAGACACCAACCACGCCUCAAACGGAGCCCGGACGAAGCCGCACGCGCCUCCCGAAGAUAGGGCAAACUUCAAGAAUACUAACAGAUAUCAAGAAUCGAGUAACUGGUCGUGGUAAAACCCGUGUGUCACGAUCAAGCAAGAGAGUGCAGCGGGUAAUGACUCCCACUUCCAGAAAUCAAAGUCCACGCACUGUUCUUUCCUGGCUCAUCGACAACAAUGUGAUUCUACCAAGAGAAAAUAUACAAUGCCGUAACCAAAAGGAUCACACUGUGUGAAAACAUGGGAAACUAACUCGUGAGGGUAUAAAAUGUAGUUGUUGCUGUAGAAUUUUCUCCAUAAGUGGCUUUGAAGCUCAUUCUAAUGGUGGAUCCUGCAGAGCGGCAGCCAACAUCUUCCUUGACGAUGGAAGGUCUCUUUUGGAAUGCCAAGUGGAAGCCUAUAAAGCAAGAAAGAAAGCACAACCACCUAAUCUUCUGAAGAUAAAAUUGCGUCAUGGGGAGAACGACAUAGUUUGUUCCGUUUGUCACUAUGGAGGGAAGCUGAUUCUUUGCGAUGGAUGUCCAUCCGCUUUCCAUGCAACUUGUCUUGGGCUGGAGGUUCACCAAUUUUCACUAAAACCGUAAUAGAAAUAUACAGCUUUUACUCUUGGUUUCUUAACACGUUCUCGUUGGAAAUUUUGUAGGAUGUUCCAGACGGUGACUGGUUAUGCGCAUCAUGUUGUUGUUAAGCCUGUGGACUAUUUAUUGCCAAGAAUACUAGCAAGUAUGCUAAAGAUAAUAUACUUAUCAGCUGCAAGCAAUGUGAACGUAAAUGUACGUAAUUCUUCCUCAUGCUCUUACGAAGGGUCAACAAAAUAUUUGAAUAAUAUGUUUUUUUAUGUGGUUCAUACAGAUCACCCUAGCUGCCUGCAGGAUUUAUUGAAUACAUUCUUGGCAGAAAAGUGGUUUUGCAGCAAGGACUGCGAAGAGGUACGUCAGUCCAGACCCCAUUUUCAAUUGGUGUUUGUUAACAGCCAUCAGGAAAUUAACUAAGCAGCUAAAGUAAGUUACUGCAGCAAUUAGGAUGUACACAGCAUUGCUCUAACGAAAAAAAUAAUUCAAUUCAGAUAUUUGUAAAUCUCCGUGAGCUUAUUGGGAAACCGAGAGAGGUGUGCUUGAAGAAGAAUUUAACUUGGAGACUGGUGCAGUCCUUGGAACAAGAUACAUUUGGGACUGACGCUUCUAAAAUUGAAGCUGUGGCAGAAACCCACUGCAAGCUCAGUGUAGCUCUUGACGUGAUGCAUGAACUUUUCGAGCCUGUGAAAAGACGUCAUUCUGGUGGAGAUCUUGCUGAAGAUGUUAUUUUUAGCAGAUGGUAAGAGACAAACAAAGAAUACCAUAAACUAUUUCAUGUAAAAGUCUUCUGUUGCAUUAUUUUGCAUCAGACCCUAUAACACUGAGAAAACUGCAGGUCAAAAUAUAAACGUUUGAACUUCAGUGGAUUUUACACGGUACUUCUAGAAAGGAACGACGAACUGAUUAUUGUGGCUACUGUCAGGUAGGCUUCAUUAAGCAUUAAUUGUUUGUUAAGAUUGCAGAAACUCUAGAAUUUGGCCCUAAAUUGAACUGUUAGCCUGACUUGUUCUCUUUUGUUCCCUUGUCAGGAUUCUGGGGAAAAAGGUUGCAGAAAUGCCCUUCAUUGGUACUAGAUUCCAGCAUCGCCAGCAUGGGAUGUGCCGAGUUUUCAUGGAUGAACUCGAAAAGGUAUUUACUAUUGAGAACUUCACUUUUCCUCCAGCUCAAGAAGCUUAGUUUGCUUAACUGUUCUCUUGAAAAUUGUGUGUUCUCCAGGUGCUCAUUGACUUGGGAGUUGAGAGACUGGUCCUGCCUGCAGUUCGGUGCAUACUGGACACAUGGAUCAACUCAUUUGGGUUUUCAAAAGUGACAAUUCCCGAAAAGAAAAACUUUCUGCAGUUUACUUUCUUGGAAUUUGGACGAACAAUAUUGUGCCAAAAGAUACUGAUCAAGAGCAGUGUGUCACAUCCACCUCCAAGUACAAGUACAGGUUAAUUCCCCAGGUUAUCUUCUAUGUUACAGAAUCUAAACCGUCAAUCAUCUUAAAUAAGAUUUAAAAAUUGAGAUCCUCAUUUAUUGUGCAGUGUCUCUUGGUGAAACAAACUGUGACAUCAUCACGAUUGAAGACAAUUCUGCAUCUGAUGGUAGAUCAGAAAUACAUGAGGCAGAACAGAACAUGAGGAUCGAAGACAUUUCUACAUCUGAUGAUAGAUCAGAAGUUCAUCAGGCAGAAAAGCACCUCGAGGAAUCUAGCUCUACUAAAAAUACACCGGAGUAUGUUGUUCAAAACCUUCCCUCCUUUCAUUAACUUAUCCAAAAACACCAAUAACGAGAGAGAAAAAAAAUGAAGAUGAGUUACAUUACUCAUGGGAAUUAGCCAAGAUAGAAGACUUGGAAUAGAACUCUAGAGGUUAAAAAUAAGGGUACAUGAAAGUAAGGAUCCUUAACAAACGUGGUGGUAUUGGUGCGCCUUUGAUGCUUUACAUGGCUUUGUGAUAUAAUUGAUAUCUAGAGUAGAUCCAUAAGUUUAUAAGAUGACUGAUAGAAAUUUAGAAACAAGGUUCAAGAGAUCUCGGCUAUUUUUGGCAACUAGUUGAGUCCAAAGAUAAUAUAUCAUUAGACUGGUGAAUCUUAUCAGUUUUUCUUAGCUUCAUACAAAUAUUUUUUUAAUCUAUGUUUUGUCGUUUAUUUAGGGAAAUAAAAACACACGAAGAAAGAUUGGUGAAGGAGAACCGAACCCUAAAGUGUUACACACGAAGAAGGUUAAAAUGUAGAAGGCUAACAUGAAGAAGUAAAUAUGAAAACUCCAAAGAGAGCACGGUUAGAUAUUUUGUUUCCACAAGUUAUGUUCAGAACCUUCGGGCAGGCAAGAAAAUGUUGUGAUUUUAAGGUUGGUGUUUGGGAUGCUUGAGCCUGAAACAACCUUUGUAUCUAAAUAAAAUAAAGGAAAGGAAGGAACAAAUGCUUACCUCUAUCUGACAUUUGAUUUGUUAUUCCCAUUGUUUUUUUGUUGAUGUAUGAAGUUGGAAAGAGGAAGCAAAGUAUUAUUUUCCUUUGUGGAUCGUAUGUUCGUCUAAAAAAAGAUAUAUAAUUUAUUGCAAGCAGGUUAUCGUUAGAUGCGUUUAUAAAUCUAACUAGUCAGUUGUGGACAUGUAGAACAAAAGAUGUCCCGUUCAAACCUCAAGUAGAAACUUUUGAAGUUUUUAAUUUAUACAUUAAACUUUAAAACUGUAAUUUUACCCCAAAGAAAAACUUUUAAAACUGGAUACCUUUAGUAUUUUCGAUUUUAUAGAAAAUUAGUUUAUCAUCAUUUUAAGAAUAAAGAUAUUAAUAUUUCAAUCAAAUAAAUUCUAGAAAAUUAUAAAAAUCCUAAACAUUAAAAAGGAACUGAAAAAGUUAGGAAAAGUAAUCCUUCACCCCUAAAAAAACCUAGUUCGAUAUCUCUUAAAGGUUAUAUUUGAAUAUUUAAAAUUUAUUCACCGAAUAAUAAUAAUAAUUUGAAAAUUUGUAAAAUAUUUACAGAAGCAAGAGGACCCACGUGAGCACGCACCCAGAAGGCCAUACCCAUUUGCACAGAGAUAAAUGAAUCCAAAAACACUUCCAUAAGAUAUUUUUAUUUUCUCUCCUCAAUUAUUAUUUACAGCCUUUUUUUUCUCUCUAGUGUUCACACAAAAUCCUCCAUUGUUUUGUUUCCGUUAAAAGCAAAAAGAUGAAUGUUCUUCAUCACAUCUCACUCUCCGCCAUUUUCUUCCUUCUUCCACUACUGCUCCAGCAAGAGCCAUCUUCUUCCGCCAUUAUACUGAGCUUAAAGAAACGCCACGGGAGCAGCGGCAACCAAUACAGCUCAAGCAGACCGUCUUCUUUCCAAGGGAACAGAAGCACGUGCUCUCUCUUCAUGGGCACGUGGGUCCAUGACGACUCGUAUCCUCUAUACAAACCGGCGGAUUGUCCCGCCGUCGUGGAGGGUGAGUUCGAUUGUCUGAUGUACGGACGUCCUGACUCUAACUACCUCAAGUAUCGAUGGCAACCCCAGAAUUGCAACUUGCCCACGUAUGUUUUACUCCUCAUCCUUCUUGGGUUUCUGUAAAGUUUGCUCCGUUGAGAUGAUCUAGUUCGAUUUCAUCUGGAAUCUGAGUUUUUGGCAAACCCAUUUGGUAAAGUUCGUAUCUUCAAGAUUUUCUGAUGGUUGUACAAAUGGGAUUUAGGUUCAAUGGUGCUGAGUUUCUGUUGAGGAUGAAGGGGAAGAACAUAAUGUUUGCUGGUGAUUCGUUGGGGAAGAAUCAAUGGGAGUCGUUGAUCUGUCUCAUUAUGUCAUCUGCACCGUCCACUCGUACUCAGAUGACCAGAGGCCUCCCUCUCUCCACCUUCAGAUUCUUGGUACACACUUUUUUUCUUUCUCUUUGUAUUUUCUUGUAUGAAGAAAUCAAUUUCUGUAAGAAGCUGUGUGUUUUGGAUGUAGGAUUAUGGGAUAACGAUGUCGUUUUACAAAGCUCCGUUCUUGGUGGACAUAGACGCUGUUCAAGGCAAGCGAGUGUUGAAGCUUGAGGAGAUCUCUGGCAAUGCUAACGCUUGGCAUGACGCUGAUCUUCUCAUCUUCAACACUGGUCACUGGUGGAGCCACACCGGGUCUCAGCAAGGGUUGGUUUAUCAUUUCCAGUUAUUUUGAUUAUUUUUGGAAAUGCGAAAUGUUGUCUUAUACAUAAUUGAUUGUGAAACACACAGAUGGGACUUGAUUCAAUCAGGCAAUUCUUAUUACCAAGACAUGGACCGCUUCGUUGCAAUGGAGAAAGCUCUUCGUACUUGGGCUUAUUGGGUCGAAACACAUGUGGAUAGAUCCAGAACUCAAGUCUUCUUCCUCUCCAUUUCUCCAACGCAUGACAAGUAACACUCUCCCCUCUCUCUUAACUCAAAGUUGUCCAAGAGAAUGUCCUAAAAUCACUGGUGUGUAUAUGUUUUUUGUUUGAUCAGCCCGAGUGACUGGGCAGCAUCAUCGUCUUCGGGAUCCAAGAACUGCUACGGAGAGACAGAUCCGAUCACAGGAUCUGCUUAUCCAGUGAGCCCCUACACAGAUCAGCUAAGAUCAGUGAUUGUUGAAGUGCUUCACGGGAUGCACAAUCCGGCAUUACUUCUUGACAUCACGCUCCUCUCUUCCCUCAGGAAAGACGGACACCCUUCUGUCUACAGCGGUCUUGUUAGCGGUUCACAGCUGGCCAAGCCAGGCCAGUCAGAUUGUAGCCAUUGGUGCUUGCCUGGUCUCCCUGAUACAUGGAAUCAGUUGUUGUAUACCAUUCUCUUCUACUAGCGUUUUACUUUUACUAUUAUCUUCUUCUAUCAAUUUAUUCGAGUAGGAAUAUUUCUAACGCAUUCGAGGAGAAUCCCAAGUUUACGGAUGCAUUCAAUUGUAGAAACUUUGAGGCAAAAUUUUCAUUCUAAUGAUUUAUAAUUUUUAUCACAUGCAACAAAUGUAGAGUUCUUGUCUGUUUAGUUAGCCGGAACGACAGUUGUUUAUCAUUCUGUUUUUGUUUGCUGUUUGAUUAGCCAUAAAGAAAAUGUUGUACUACCAAAUUAAUAAACAGAAAUAAAUGGCACAAAGAUUUAAUGUAGUUAUCAACUUGGUUACAUUCACCGACAAGAAUUUAUACUCCAUCCGUUCCUGAAAAUAUCAUGUUUUAGAAUUUUCACACUUUUUAAUAAAACAUAUUAAAACUUAGCUAUAAAUACAUAGUUUUUUAUAAUUUUAUAUUUUCUAUAUUUUUAAACCAAUAAAAUUUUAAGAAAUGCAAUUAAUGUUUUUGAACUUCAUAAUUUUUCAUUAUUAAUUGACAAAAAUUACAUUGGAAAUAUAAAAUAUGUAUCUUUUUGAAACAAAAGUUUUCUUUAGAAUGUGGAUCUUUUAAGAACGGAUGGAGUAUUAAAUAACAAUUGAAAGUAUAUAUUCGGACAUUAAAAGAGUACAAAUAUAUAGAAAAAAUCAUAAAGCUAACGGAUUUGCAAGUUAAGUCCAAUCUAUCUAUACUAUUAUUUAGAAAUAAAUUUUCCGCAUUCGAAAUUUCGUUAAAAUAGAUAUUACCCUUAAUAAAUAAUUAAAAAACUAAUAUAAUAUAUUCAAAAAGAUAAACUCAAUAAACAAUAAUCAAGAUAAUUAUCUAGAAAAUAUUAUGUAUUAUUUUAUUAUCCAAAAAUAUUUUAUUAUAGAAUUUAAUUUUAUUUAAACAAUAUAAAUCAAUCCCUAUUUGUAGUGUAUAUACUCAUAAGUAUCUAUAAAAUGAUUAUGUAUGUACAUUCGGGCAAAAUAUUUAGUAAAUAUAAUUCUUUUUUGUCAUCUACCUAAUUAUCUAUACCAAAUUCUCGUCAAACGAGCUGAUUCUCCAAAGACUAUCUCCGUCUGUCCAUAUAUGAUCUAUAUAAGAGAAAAUAAAUCAUAUGAUUCUUGCAUCUUUCGAUAGUGAGUUUGUCUAGUCUUUUAUACUCUUAGGAAUGUGAAUCAGGCUCAUGUCUUCAAAAAAUUCUUAUAGUCUCUCGAACAUAUAAAUCUCCUACGUGAAUGUUGGCUAAUCCAUCGGAUUCACAGUCAUGUUAGGUCCGAGCUAUCCGUUUCUAACCGGAUUGAGGUUAUCUUUAUGUUUCUCAUGCAUAAAGUUGUCCAAAGUAAAUUUUCUAUCUCAGUAUUCAAGGUUGAGAAGCUUUUGGCACAUACAAAUAAUUCAAAAAAUCCAGUACCUAUUUGAUCUUUAAGACUCCAUCCUAAGCCACUGACACUGUCAAUAUCGAUCCAAGAAGCAUCGAUUUGACAUAUAAAGAUUCGAAGUAUCUAAGCGAAUAUUGUAUCAACCUUUGUAAUCAGACUAUAGGAGGUUACUCAUGAUCCUAGAUCGCUUCUUUUUUUGGUUGGCUUUUCUCCAGCAUUCUGGCUCUAUGGAGGUAAAAGUGUCAUUUAAAGAAAUAACUUUCCCACAGUUGAUAGUCGGCGCUCAUGCACGAGGUGAAUUUUAGUUACUAACGAUCGCUGCAUGUUAACUUUGUUCUUUCUAAAACAAUUACAUCGUGUCAUAAGUCUAAAAAGUAUUACAUGUUGUGGACAUCUAUACUAUAUUAAAAGGGAUAUAUGAGCUCCAUUGAACCUAUCCACCUCAGCAUGGAAAAUCAUCCAAUAGGAUGAGUUCUUUUUGCCAUGUCAUUCGUUCAUUCACACAACACACGGACCUCUCUGUUUCGUCUUCCUCCCAUUACACCACUUCCGAUUCUCCUUCGCUUCCACAUCUAAGUCUCAUAAAGUUCAUUUGCUUAUCAUAAAGUCUCAUCUAGCAUCGAGCGAAUCAUCUUUCACGUUUCAAUCGAAUCCACGCGGUGUUUCUGGUUCAGCCUCGAGAUCGAACCGGAAACCGCCGUUGAAGAUCGAGCCGCCGAACAGAACCGAGUGGAUCCAAUUCGCAACCGCAAAUCCCCAGCCAGAGCAGCUUCCCGUACAUGUGUCCGCGGAAGAGAAGAUGCAUUACAGAGGAGUGAGGAUGAGGCCGUGGGUGAAAUUCGCGGCGGAGAUCCGAGAUCCGAACCGUCGGGGAACUAGGGUUUCGCUCGGGACGUUUGACACGGAGAUCGAAGCCGCUAGGGCUUACGACCAAGCAGCGUUUAAACUUCGAGGGUCUAAGGCCAUUGUGAAUUUCCCGCUUGAGGUAGGGACGUGGAAUCAACACGCUGACGUUGGACAGAACAAACGGAAGCGAGACGGAGAGGAAGAACAGGUGACUGUGGUUGCGAAAGUGCUGAAGACGGAGGAGAGUCACGCCGUUGAGACAGAAACGUCGAGUUUAACGGCGGUGGAAAGGAGGGCGUUGNNNNNNNNNNNNNNNNNNNNNNNNNNNNNNNNNNNNNNNNNNNNNNNNNNNNNNNNNNNNNNNNNNNNNNNNNNNNNNNNNNNNNNNNNNNNNNNNNNNNNNNNNNNNNNNNNNNNNNNNNNNNNNNNNNNNNNNNNNNNNNNNNNNNNNNNNNNNNNNNNNNNNNNNNNNNNNNNNNNNNNNNNNNNNNNNNNNNNNNNNNNNNNNNNNNNNNNNNNNNNNNNNNNNNNNNNNNNNNNNNNAAAAAAUUCAAAAGCCUUGCAAAACUUAAGAUCAAAAGUCUUGAAGGAACGUAAAUUGGAAAUUCCUGAAAACACAACAACCAUAUAAUCGAUGAAAAUAUUUUUUAAAUACAUAACUCAUAUAUCGUUUUGAUAACCUAAUAAAAUAGAAAAUAAAAUAUAUUGUAGUAUAAUUACAUACAAACUACAAAAUUAAGAAUUUCACUAUAGAUGGGGUGAAGCUGCUCUCGACAAAUCUGAUAAAACUAAAGAAGGUUAGUAAUCAAUUUUUGAAAAAUCAUAGAUUAUUUUUUUCAUUGAAUUAUUUGUAUGCUAUACCAAGAAUCAUAUUUUAGUAUUUGUUUUAACUACAUAUAAUUGAAUUAACUAAAUAUAAAUUAACUAAACUUAAAAUAAAAAUAGAUUUGUUUUCUGAAAUUAUUUUAAGAAUAUAUAUGUAUAUAUCUAAAAUCUUAGACUUAGAUAGAUUUUUCUAUCUAUCUAUUUUGGUUACUUAUAAUAAAUAAAUUUGUAUAAAUAAUUGUAUAGUUAUCAAAAAUUAAAACUAAUUUUUUAAAAUUGUUGAUAUAUAAAAUACUAAAGAUUUAACGAUUAAGUAUUUAUUUAAGUAUAGAAUUUUGUUUUUUUUUAAGUUUAGUUAUGAAGUUGUAUAAUUAUAUUAAAACAAAACAAUAUUUCGAAAUUGAUUAUCAUAUUCGAAUAUAAUUAUUUUAGUGAUGAUGUAUGAAUUAUUAUCAUAAUUUGAAAAUUUACUAAAAAAACAAUAUCAACAUGAAUUGUAAUAUAUGAGUUAUUACCUUAACCAAAAUUAUAAAUUAACAUUAAAUAUAAUUAUAUAUGUCAUAUUUAGCUAUACAAUGUGUCAUCAAUAUUAAUAGCCAUGUCAAUAUUACAUAAUGCCAAUAUUAUGCUACUUAAACCCCAAAUCCCCUAACUCCCGUUAAGUAGCCAAAUUCAUAAAUAUACUUAUUCGACAAAACAAAAAACUUUAAAAUAUUUACUAAUCCGACCAUGCACAAGCAUCCAUUCCCUAUUCCAUCGCGAUAGGAUAACAAUGCAACCAACUCCUCAAAAAAAAAAAAUCAAGCUCUUUUGCAAGAAAAAUAAAAUAAUUUUAACACCUAAAAUUUUUUGUUUCCAAACUUCUACAGGGAACACACAUAAAAAGAAAAAGAGGACGUCCACUCGGAUCACGCAACAAACCAAAAGGUGUGUCAUGACUCCUAAGAUAUAGUAUUUCUUUAUUCAAAAUCAUACCAUUUUAAAUUAUGAAUGUAUUUCGUAGUCCACCAGAUAUGCAAUCCACCAGCGUUCAAACCAAAGUUUUAUUAUUGUAAGUUUAAGUGAAUUAUAAUAAUAUAUUCUUUUUUUUUGUAACUGAUAAAAUAAUAUAUUAUUCACGGUAUCUUUUCAUAACUAAUUGAGUUAUCAAACUUGAUCGCAUAGGUGGCUUUGAUAAGUGUGACCUUUAUGGUGUACAAUUCUUUUCAACCUAAAAACAUUAUUGUUCCUCAAUAUCUUUCAUUCUGCUUGACUGCAACAAAAUAUUUUCUCAUCUGUUUUUCUUCCUUUAAACUAAUUUAUUAUCAUCUAUUUCCUAACAUUUUAAUCCAUCCACCUAUGUCAAAAACUUAUAGAAAAUGUCAACUUCCAAACAAAACAUAAUUGAAUUUAGCAAAUAAUUUCUUAAUAAUAUUAAAAAAUGUUACUUAAUAAUUUCUUCAACCCCCAUUUUCCGCGCGUAGCGCGGACAAAGACUCUAGUAUACUAUAAUGAUGAUGCGUAUCAGGCCAAGGUGUUGAUAAACUAGUUUAGUAAAAUCUCAAUUAAUUUAAACGUUGGGACUGAAACAAUACAUAAGAAAAAUUCAUCUAUGAUCCACUCUUUUACCAGAUAUAUAAAGGACAAACAUUGAAAGUGUUUAUUUGCAAUGGAAAAGGGAAUUGGGGUUUUGGUUGAUCUCAGACUUUUUUGACUCUCCAGUCUUCACGGAUGAUUUCUUGUUUAAAUCUACAAUAUUUGUGCUUACGAUAGUGUUUCUGUUAACUCACAUAUGUUUUGUUUGUGUUUUAAUUUCACGCAAGCUUUCUCGGAAAAUAUGAAAUUCGAUCGAUUGAGAAAAAAUUCCAAUUGUAAUACAUCAACAGAGAUAUGUGCAUUGCGCGAAAUGAACAUUAUGUAUAUAAAUUAUGUUUACAUAUUAUUAUAUAUUUUGUGUUCUUUUAUCGUAUUAUCAAGAAAUAUAUAUAUUGAAUAAUUGAAAAACGAAUAAAAAUUAUGUAUAUUAAACUGGAAUUAGCACAUAAAUUAAAUUAAAUAAAUCAAAGCAUUCAUUUUAUUUAUUUUAUAUGGUAUAUAAUUAAAUUUAAAUGAUAUUGACAUAGACGUAUAUUAUAUUUUAAUAUGAAUAUUUAAUUGAAGCUGAUUUUAUUAACAUUUUUAUAUUUUCUUUAACAAAGAAAAAUAAACCAUUAAUCACAAAAUUUUCAAUGUGAGAUUUUUUUAUUGUUUUAGUAACUUAUAAUCAUCUUAAAAAUUCAAUGCAGAUUUAAAAAAAAUAAAAUAUUCAGGUCGCAAUACCUAUUCAGUGAAAUUUCGAAAUUAGCAUAUAUAUAUUUUUAUAUGGUAUAUAGUUUAAUUUAAGUGAUAUUAAGGUGUAUAUAUAUAUUUAAUCUAAAUAUCUUUUGAAUGAUACUAUAUUCAUAUGAUUUUAGAUCAUUUGUAUCUUUUUAUAACAAAAAAAUAAAAUCAUUGUUCACAAAUUUUUUAUUGUAAGAAUUUUAAUGAUUUUAGUAAUUUAUAGUCGUUUUAAAAAAUUUAAAAUAUACCAUAUAAGAAAAAAUCUAGAUUUUUUUUAUGGUCAAUGUGAUUGUUUAAUUUUUUAAUAAUAUAAAUUAAAAAAAUGAUGGAGGAUACAAAAACUAUUAUCAUAUAUUUAUUAUUCAAAAUCAUUAAUUGUCAUAUAUAUGUUAAUCAUUUGAGAUAAUUUUGUUACUUUUAUUUAAGGAAAGAAAUGAUAAUAUCUUUUUAUUCACUAGUAAUCAAAAUGAUAGUUAAUUUAAUAAAAAAUAUAAUAUAGAUUUAAAUGGACCAACACAUUUUUCUAAAUAUUUUGAAAAUCAUCCUAUCGAUGAUACGUGACUACACUUAAUAGUUGUAAUGUUCCAUGAUUAAUACAUAAGAGAAUAAAAUUUUGUCAUUUUUUUAUUUUUCAGAUCUAUCAAUGGAUCCAUGAAAAUAUAUCUAAUCGUGGUUUCAGUAAAAUUAUCUUCUUCUUUUUUUCAAAACAGAAAAUUCACGUUUUUUUUAUGUAUAUGAUAUUCUAGUAAAUAUAGUUACGCUUAGAAUUAUAGCUCCUAUAUAUAUAUAGGAACCAAUAGUCGAAAUUUUUUGCCGAGUCGUAAUAGAUUCAAAACAUAUAAAUAAACCAAUAGUAGUUGGGCUUCAAAUAAUUAAUUUAUAGGGAUUGUUAGUAACACACUUAAAUAGGCCUACAGAGAAGCCUUUUAGGGUUUUGCAGAUACAUAUCUCUCAGCCGUUCAUCAACUUUCCCAAGACACGCAUCUCCACCGUCGAUCCCGCCAAAACCCCUCUUUAUAGAUGGAAUCGAUCCAGACUCUCUAGUAUCAGUAGUCGAUAUUUCCUAGGGUUUUAGCAGCGGCAGUCGAAACCUUAUGAAAUAUUCUUUGUUGUCAUGUUCUGGGCUUUCUCUUUGUUAGAAGAUGUGAUACUCGUUUUUGUUUCUCUAGAUUUGGCUUCAUCAGAUAGUCUAUGCGGAUUUUUUCCGUUCCCAUAUGAUUCGUUCCCUUGAAGCAAUACCAAUCGUGUUGCCUUUUGUCUUUUAUACAUUCUCCCUAAUCAUUCAAGCACCAAUACUGUUAAUUCAAGUUUGAUGCUACUGAUUAGUGAGAAUAACUUGAGCAACUACAUGUCUUUGAGUUUAUAUCUGUUUGUUUUUAUAGAUGUAUGUUUGUGUUGGGAAGAACAGUGAUGAGUCAAUUUACAGACCUGUAAUGAUAGCGGUAAUGAUCGCACUUCAUUAUGAACAUCUAAGGGACUGAGUUCUUCCCUUUUCCUCAAUUUUUGAUUUUUUUUUUUUAUGUUUCGGAUUGUGCUUCAUCAGAUAGUCGAUGUGGAUUUGUCCGUUCCCAUCUGAUUCGUUCCCUUGAAGCAAUAUCAAUCGUGCUGCUCUUGUUAUUCUAAUAUCUUCCUUAAUCAAUUAAAAGCAUCAAUACUGUUAAUUCUAGUUUUGAUGCCGAUUUGGGAGCAUAACUUGAGUGACUACAUAUCUUGUCUGUGUGUUUGUCUGUUUUUGUAUGUCGGGAGAACAGUGAUGAGUCAAUUUACAGACCUGUAAUGAUUGCGGUAAUGAUCGCAUUUCAUUAUGAACAUCUAAGGGACUGAGUUCUUUUUUUUUUUGAUCAAAGGGGACUGAGUUCUUAUUACCUAAAAUCCAAUUAAAAAAAAAUCAUGCUGUAUGAUUUAUUUAUUGAGAUAUUAAGAAGGAUUUCAAUUAUAAUUUGGUUGUGGAUGAUGAGUACAAAUAUCAAAAACAGUUAUCCCUGUCUGAGGAUUUAUUCCUUUUGAUGAUUGAUUUCUAAUCUGACACUUAUUAGAACACAUCUAUGUCAGUAUUAUAGUGAUGUUGAAAUUCUUUUAAUACGAAGUAUAAAAUUUGUUAAAAAUUUGUUAAUUUUAGUUUGUUAUUUUUGGAUUGGCUGUUGAUACGCAACCUCUCAUCCUUAGCGAUUUUUGGUUUUGACGUACGUUUGGAAAACUUCCACCUCUUUAUGUUAAUACUUUUAAAUUGGAAGCUGAAAUAAACUGAUAACCUUUUUAUAAAAUAUAUGGAAUAUACGAUAAACCUCAACUAUUGACUUGCGUUGUCAAUUUGUUAUUCGAUUCAAGUAACCUGCUAUUUGCACACAUCUCUAUCCAUUAUAAAUUUAUUUUAGUUUAUUUUGCAACAAUCAAUAGUUUCUCUACCCAAAACAGAAUGGACUUCUAAAGACUGAGUUGUUAUCCGGCGUUGAGUGAGCAAGCGUGUUGUGUGCACUAGUCGUUGAAACGAUGUUCUAUUCAUUAUCUGGGACGACCUCAAAGAUUUCAGUUCAUACACCUUUCUUUUUUCUCUAUCAGGGUAUGUCUAUUUUGGGGAUAUCUCAUAACCAAAAAAGGGUAUUUACUGGUAUGAAAUUUGUAGUUGUUGGGUGAACCAGUCGGUGAAACAUUGUCAUAUCCUUAUCACAUUUCAGUGAUUUCAAUUCAUUCGAACGUGAGUCUUUAAAACGUUGUCGACGGGUAACACGUGUCUUUGUAAGCACCAUAUGUGACGAUCAUAGCGACGGUCCUUUGCCAAGAAUGUAACAAGUGGAUAUAUCAAUUCAGUUUGAAAAAAUAUUCAACUCCUUACAUUAUUGCAUUCUGGAAUUUAUAUUCGAAUGUGUAACGCGUUUCCGAAUCCUAUAUUUACCGAUGGUACCUUCUUAAAUAAAUGAGUAACAACUUGUAUACUUUCAAACACAAGGUACAGUGCUUAUCUAUAUACCGAUGCUUUAAUGUCAAUGUAGAAAGAUGUCAGCGUGACGUUGAUACGUUUUAUAGUAUCAAACUUGUAAAAAAAGAAUCUGAAUAAGGAAAAUACGAGUUUCUUGAUCAAAAGUUACACGGUUUGAGUUUUUGUUAGGAGUUUCUCUCUCUCCCCAUGAAACAAUUGAUCACACAAAAGAUCCCCUACCCUAACAACCUUAUUCUCUUCUUAUACCUUUUUGCCUCCUCACGUACAAUGGACCACGUCACCGACAUCCCAUGUGCAGUGAGUACAGCUCGGCUUAUUCUUCUAGAACUUCUACCCUUAAGCUCCAAUACUCUUGGGCCACACGUCAUGGGCCACACGUUUGACUAUUCCUCCUCACUUCUGGACCUUGCCCCUGCGCUGAUACUGAAACAGUAUCGGCGGACGUAAAGCCUCAAACGUAUCACUACCCUCCCCAACGAAAUUGACCUUGUCCUCAAGGUCGAAAUCAGGAAAUCGCUUCGUAAUCACAGACUUCCAUUCCCAAGAACUGUCAUGACUGGGUAACCCUUUCCAUUUAACGCGUAAUUCCUCCUGACCCGAACGAGAAUUGACCCUGCUAUUCAAGACGAGUUCUGGCUCCACAAUCAGUUCGCCCUCGCUGUUAAGCUGCGGAGGUAAAGGACAGACCUCUGUACUUUCUCCUACGGCUUUCUUAAGUUGAGAGAUGUGAAAGGUGGGGUGAAUUCGUGCUGCUUCUGGUCACUUAAGCUUGUAGGCCACGGUUCCCACCCUAGCUUCAAUCUCAAAGGGUCCAUAGAACCUAGCUGACAGCUUCUCAUUCAUCCUCCUAGCGAGAGUACGCUGUCUGUAAGGACGCAGCUUCACAUAGACCUUAUCCCCAACUGCCAACUCCACUUCCCUGCGACUUUUAUCAGCUCGUUCCUUCAUAAUCUGUUGAGCACGAUGUAACUGCUCUUUUAGAAUCUGCAGCGCCGCAUCCCUUUCUUGCAGCUGAGCUUCCAAAUCCGCAUUUGCCGUAGACCCCGUUUCAUACUUGAACAGAGUAGGAGGAUCACGCCCAUAGAGAGCGCGGAAGGGAGACAUUCUUAAAGAGGAGUGAUAAGCAGAGUUGUAGCUAAGUUCUGCCCACGCCAAGAACUUAGACCACGUUUUCGGUUUCUCUCCCGCAAAACAUCUGAGGUAUGUCUCCAUUCCGCGGUUGGUGACCUCCGUCUGUCCGUCGGACUGCGGAUGAUACGCCGUACUAAAACAGAGUCGAGUUCCGGAAAGACGGAAUAAUUCCUUCCAGAAGGCGCUCGUGAAGAUCUUGUCACGAUCGGAGAUAAUGGUUCGAGGAAACCCGUGGAGUCUUACAACCUCUUGAGUGAACGCAAGCGCUACAACAGUAGCCGAGAACGGGUGACUUAGUCCCACAAAAUGACUGAACUUAGUCAACCUGUCUACCACCACCAUAACUGAGUUGACUCCGUUGGAACGAGGCAAGCCCUCCACGAAGUCCAUUGACAAGUCCUCCCAAACCUUUUCUGGAACAGGAAGAGGUUGAAGUAACCCUCCCGGAGCCAAGGUUGAGUACUUCUGUCGCUGACAGAUGUGACACGAUGCGACAAAGCGUCGAAUGUCCUGCAACAUCCCAAACUAGAAGAACAACUCACUGAUACGCUUCUGUGUCUUCAGCACACCUCCAUGGCCCCCCAUCUUACCAUCGUGGUACUCCCUCAUGAUGAUACCCGUUAAUGGAGAAGCGCGAGGCACGACUAGCUUCCCAUAUCGCAGCAAACGACCCUGAAUCCAUGAGAAAUCAGGUUGCUUCGUUGGAUCAUCCUGCAACUCUGAGAUGAUUUUUUGUAACUCUGGAUCCUUGUCAACUUCCCCAGCAAUCUACUCCAGUUGCAGAGCAGUAGAGACAGUCACCGCAUACAGCUCACUCACCUCUGUCUUGCGAGACAAGGCGUCGGCGGCUUUGUUGUCUAGCCCCGGUUUGUAUACGAUGUCGAAGUCAAAACCAAGGAGUUUGGUUAACCAACGCUGAUAUUCCAAGUUGACUUCUCGUUGCUCCAUCAGGAAACGUAGACUUUUCUGAUCCGUACGUACUAGAAACUUUCGUCCCAAGAGGUAAUGACGCCAUUUCUGCACUGCAAAGACAAUGGCCAUCAAUUCCCUUUCGUAAACCGACUUCAGUCGCUGUCGUUCAGUCAAGGCUUGACUGAAGAAAGCGAUCGGCCGCUGCUUCUGCAUUAGUACUGCUCCCAAGCCCGUACCAGAGGCAUCAGACUCGAUCACGAAUUGAACAUCGAAAUCAGGCAUUGCCAACACAGGUACAGACGUCAUUGCUUUCUGUAGAUGUUGGAAUGCCUCUGUUGCUUCCUUGCUCCACAGGAACUGGUCCUUCCGCAAGAGAGUAGUCAAAGGCCGUGCUAUGUGGCCGUAGCUCUGAACGAAGUUGCGAUAAUAGCCUGUCAGUCCCAAGAAUCCUCUCAACUGCUUAAUAUUCUUGGGUAUUGGCCAAUCCAACAUUGCUUUAAUUUUCUCCUUGUCCACAGCUACGCCUUCUCCAGAGAUGACAUGGCCUAGAUACUCGACUUGCUCACAACCAAAUUGGCAUUUCUUCUUAUUAGCAUACAGCCUCUGCUCUUCCAACACUCGCAACACUACACUCAGAUGUUCCUUAUGAGCUAUUGCAGAACGGCUAUAGACCAAUAUGUCAUCAAAGAAUACCAAAACGAACUUCCGCAGGUAAGGUCUGAAAAUCUGAUUCAUCAGUGAUUGAAACGUUGCUGGUGCAUUAGAGAGACCGAACGGCAUCACCAGGAACUCGUAGUGGCCGUCGUGUGUACGAAAAGCUGUUUUUGGCACGUCUUCUUUCUUCACCAAAAUCUGAUGAUACCCAGACCUCUAAUCCAACUUUGAGAAAAUGGUAGCUCCGUGUAGCUCAUCAAGAAGCUGAUCGAUCAUGGGUAUUGGAUAACGAUCCGCCACUGUAACGCGAUUCAGAGCCCUAUAGUCAACACUGAAUCUCCAACUUCCAUCCUUUUUCUUAACUAGCAGCACGGGACUAGAGAACGGGCUCCCACUCUCUUGGAUGAUCCCCACUGCUAACAUGGCUGCAAUCUGCCUCUCGGCAGUAUCUGUCGACUCGAGUCCCAACUUCUUGACCACUCGCUCGGAUAAGAAAUUGUGGGUAGCUCCACUAUCAAUGAGUACCACCACUUCUUCUCCGAGAAUGGUUCCUCUGAGCUUCAUCGUUCUGGGUGAGGUGAUUCCAACCACCGAGUUGAUGGAAACCUCCGCGACCAUCGCUUCGAUGCCCUCCUCCGCUUCAAUCAACUCGCAGGGCUCGUCGAGUAGCUCCUCCUCCUCACCGUUUAAGUGGAUCACUAACACCGUGAGCUCGGCUUUAGAACACACGUGGUUAGCAUGAAACUUCUUGUCACACUUAAAACACAGCCCCUCCGCCUUCCACUUUGCUACUUCUGCCGGCGUCAGCCUUCUGAACGGUGGUUUAAGCCGUCCGUGAUUCGCCGGUGUUUUGCCCCAAUUCCCACGGUUAGCGUUUUGAGAAGCUAACUGGACCUUGGGCCGAUUCUGAUUUUGGUUUUGACUAUUGGGCUUAGUCGUAACGGCUUGGUUUCCUUGGUUGGGCCGUGUAGACUUGGGCUCAUUAGACUCAUCGUCCUCAUUCCAGUCCUCCACCUUCUGCGCCGCCUUCAUCAUUUGUUGCAGGUUCCGAGCUUCCAGCAUUCGUACCCCCUUUUUGAUUUUGGAUUUUAGACCAAUCAUGUACGCCAUCUCUAACACCGCUUCUGGAAGCUCCGGAGCAUGAGAUGCAAGACUGAUGAAAUCACGACGAUGUUCUCUCACCGUACCCUCCUGACGUAAAGUGAGCAACUGUUCUCCCGCCGACACGUCACGCAUCGUCGAGUAUUGCUCCAAUACCCGGUGUUUCAGCUGAGCCCACGUACGGAUGGGGUUUCUCUGUCGCUCCCACCGGUACCACAACAGCGCCUCUCCGGUGAAACAGAUUCGUACUGCUCGGAGUUUUUCCUCCUCCGUGAACUCAGCCAACUCAAAAUUCUCUUCCACCCUCAACACCCAUCCUUCGACCUCCUUCCCGUCAAACGUCGGAGCUUCCAUCCUCCGAAUCAGCGCUUGACUCCGAAACACGUGUGGAUCAUCGUGAUAACCCGGUCCAGGACCAGUCAUGCUACGACUCAUCGAUCCACCAUCACGACUCCAAUAACCUCCUUCGCGUCCUCCAAAACCUCCAUCUCUUCCUCCGUACCCCCCAUCUCGUCCCCAGUUUCCUCCGUCGCGUCCAACAAACCCUCCCUCCUUCCUAGAGUUCGGCGUUGGGAACAACAUCGGACUGCGAUGCUCCUCAGCCAUGCCUGUCUUGCUUCCGCUCGCUGGAUCAGAGAUCGGCUCGUCGGUUUGAUGGGCUUUACCCUUCUCCAACUCGCGAAGCUUCUGUUGAGCCGCUUCCUUCUCUUUUUGUUCCACCUCCCAUCGGCCAAACAUGACGGCGAGCUGUUGCUGCAUUGUGUCCAUCUUCUGCUCGAUCGAAUCCGUCCUAGACAUCCCCUCUUCCAAGAUCGAGAUUCGACCCAUCUGUUGUUGCAUCUGCUCGUCGGUAUCUGCUUUCUUUGGUGGCAUGAUUUUCCCAGGUUUAGGUGCUCUGAUACCAAUUUGAUACGUUUUAUAGUAUCAAACUUGUAAAAAAGGAAUCUGAAUAAGGAAAAUACGAGUUUCUUGAUCAAAAGUUACACGGUUUGAGUUUUUGUUAGGAGUUUCUCUCUCUCCCCAUGAAACAAUUGAUCACACAAAAGAUCCCCUACCCUAACAACCUUAUUCUCUUCUUAUACCCUUUUGCCUCCUCACGUACAAUGGACCACGUCACCGACAUCCCAUGUGCAGUGAGUACAGCUCGGCUUAUUCUUCUAGAACUUCUACCCUUAAGCUCCAAUACUCUUGGGCCACACGUCAUGGGCCACACGUUUGACUAUUCCUCCUCACUUCUGGACCUUGCCCCUGCGCUGAUACUGAAACAGUAUCGGCGGACGUAAAGCCUCAAACUCAUCAGACGUCAAAAAAAAAAAAAAAAAAAAAAAAAAAAAAGUACUCUCUUUUUUCUUGACAACAAAGGCUUAACCAUGUACGUUAACAAAACAGGUCAGCCGUUAGUAUACGGUGGAUGGCCCAACCACGACUUCCGCGGAACCGUAACGUUUGCCGUUAGAAGGGAGUUCGACAACUUAACGGAGCCGUCAGCUUAUGAGCUCCUCCUAGAACCCGCACCACAACAGACAACGACAACUAAUCCAGGUCCUCCAUUUCUUAAUAUUUAAAUGUUUCAAAAAAAAUUAAAUAUACAUUUUCAAAAAAAAGAUAUUAAAAAGAAUUUAUAUGAAAAUAUUUUUUUUUAAUCAUACAUUCUAUAAUAAUACUAUUAUAAUAUUUGAAAACAUAACUUAACUUUUUAAAAAAUAUAUGCGGAAAAAAAAAAAAAAAAAAAAGAAAGAUGUCAGCGUAAUUUCAAAGUAGUGUAUAUCCAUUUGUAAAUAGUCCAAGUCCAAGUCAGACUCAAAUUCCUCGAUGCACAUAUAUACGCACACACUCACUUUCGCUGAUUGAUUUGUAAUCUGACACUUAAAAUGUCAGUUUGAUCUAUUACUUCUUGACGAUUCCUUUGGCUCUAGUCAAGUCGAAAUGAUUUCAAUACGAAGUGUAGAAUUUGUUAAUUUGAAUUUAUUAUUGUUGGAUCAAUUGUUGACAGGCAGCCUCUCAUCUUGAGCAAUUUUUGUCGUUGACGUCUAUCUAUUGGAUAACCCCCACCUCUUUGUGUCAACUUUUAAAUUGGAAGCUGAAAUAAACUGAUAACCUUUUGAUAAAAUAUACAAAAAGGUAAAACAAACAAGAUGGAAUAUAAGAUAAACCUCGACUAUAGACUUGCGUUGUCAUUUGAUUCAAGUAACCUGCUAUUUGCACAGAUCUUAUAAAUUAUUUUUGUUUAUUUUGCAACUAUUAGUAGUUUCUCUACCACAAAGCAGAAUGGACUUAUAAAGGCUGAGUUGUUGGAUAUGUGUCCGCCAUGGUUGAGCGACCAAGCGUGUUAUUUGCACUAGUCGUUGAAACGAUGGUCUUGUCAUUAUCACAUCUCGAAGAUUUCAGUUCACCAGUGCAUUUUUUGUCGGACGAGUUUUCUCGAUUACAAGAUCGAGUUCUCAAAAAUAAAUAAAUGCUUACAGAUAUAGAUAAAGUUUGUAUCAGCGUAUGUCUAUUUUAAGAAUAUCUUAUAACCCAAAAAGAGUAUUCACUGGUAUCCAAGUUUUAGUUGUUGGGUGCACCGUGCACGAGUCGUUGAAACAAUGUCACAUCGCUACCACAUUUCAAAUGGUUCCAUUUCACUCAAACGUGCCUUUUCUAUCAGUGUCUGCCAAAAAUAUAACUUGGCUGAUAUCAAAAUAUAGUUUAUACUUUAUAUCUUUUGAACGUUAUCGACAUUACUACGUGUCUUUGUAAGUACCAUAUGUGAAGAUCAUAGCAACGGUCCUUUAACGAGAAGGUAACAAGUGGAUACAUUAUUGCAUUCUGGAAUUUAUAUUUGAAUGUGGAACACGUUUCCAAAUCCUAUUACCGAUGGUACCGUCUUAAAUAAUAUGUUCUGUACUUUCAAACACAAGGUACAAUGCUUGUGUAUAAACCGACACUUUAAUGUCAAUGUAGGAAGACGUCAGCGUAAUUUCAAAGCAGUGUAUAUCCAUUUGUAAAUAAUCCAAGUCAGACUCAAAGUCCUUCCUCCAUGCAUAUAUAAAAACACACUUACAGUUUUUGUCAUACUACCAAAGAUACCACAAAUAAAUAAACAACACAACACUCAUGGUGAUCGACUUUAGCACUUCAAAAAUCUCUACUUCUUCUACUUCCUCUUGGUGGCUUAGAGGAAAGGUCAUAGGCAGAGGCUGCUUCGGCACCGUUAACGUCGCCGUCAACAAAUCUAAGGGAGAUCAUAUCUUCGCCGUCAAAUCUGUUGAUCGUGCCACUUGUAUCCCUCCUCAGCUCGACUCGUUGGAAAACGAAAUUCGUAUCCUCCGCUCUGUUUCGUCACCACACAUCGUGAAGUUCCUUGGCGAUGACGUGACCCGAGAAGGAACCGGGUUGUUCCGUAACCUUCAUCUUGAGUACAUGCCACGUGGAACUCUCGCUGAUGCUGCCGGUCAAGAUCUUGAAGAACAUAUUAUCCGACGGUUCACGUGGUGCUUGGUCUCUGCGUUGAAGGACGUCCACACGUGCGGCUUCGUUCACUGCGAUGUGAAGGCGAGAAACGUUCUACUUGGAGAAGAACCGGGUUCUGCUAAGCUCGCCGAUUUCGGUUCCGGUUUAGAAAUUCGAACCGGAAAUCGAACCCGGUGCGAAUCUCAUAUGCAGCCACGUGGUAGUCCUCUGUGGAUGGCGCCGGAGGUAAUUCGCGGCGAAUGUCAAGGCCCUGAGAGCGACGUGUGGUCUCUUGGCUGUACGAUCAUCGAGAUGGCCACCGGAAAACCGCCGUGGAUUGACGACGGCGCUGAAACGCUGAGAACGAUCGGAUCCUCCGACGAGUUACCGAAAUUUCCGGCGAAGUUAUCGGAAACCGGCCGGGACUUUCUGGAAAAAUGUUUGAGGAGAGAUGCGAGUGAGCGAUGGAGCUGCGACCAGCUGUUGCAACAUCCUUUCCUCUCGUAUUCCGAUUUGUCGGAAUCUCCGCGGCAUGUAUUCGACUGGGUCGACUCGGUGUUCGAGGAAGAAGAAGCAGCGGUGAGUGAGCCAGUGUCCGAGUCGAGUUCAAGUUUCGCCAGGGAGAGGAUCGGUACUUUGGCGACGAGCAGAGGGGUAAUCUGGGAAUCUGAUGGUUGGUUGGUGGUUAGAGGCUUGGAGACACGUCAGCUUGUUCCUGAUUCUUCAUGUACGGAACUCGUAACGGUGAGGAAUCAGACAAGUUCAUCGUAUGGUUAUCAGCCAACGUGGCAAAUAGUUAAAGUGAAGAUGAUACUUUGCCCAAACAAAAUUAGAUAUCUGUGGUGGCAGUGUUGUAAAUACGUGAAAGCCAAACGUACGGACGUGAAUGCACCGCCGCAAUGGUGCGGUUGUGGUGUGCCUCAAAACAUGGCCGACCUGGCGAUAAUAGUCGUAUGUAGCACAUUGUUGUAUAUGUGUUGUGCCCAAAUGUUCAUAAAUAAAAUCUUCUAUGUUGGCAAUUUUUGUUCUCUAUAACCUACACUCAGUGGCCAGAGCUAGAAAAUUUUGUUAGGAGGGUCAAUUUAUAAUCAACAUAUAUUAUAGGGGUCAAUUAACUAAAUCUACACUAUUUUCUCGGUUUUUUUCAAAGAAAUAAACAUGAAAAUUAUGUCUAUUCAAAAAUUCACAUGGAUCAACUGACGCACGUGACAACAUACUGUCUCCGCCACUGCCUACACUGCCACACGAAAAGAGUUCUGAUCCAAGCUAUGAUAUAGUACCAACAUUAAUAUACAUAAAACAUUAUGCCUAUAUAUAUGGUUAUUAGAAAGAAGCAAAAAUCUUAAAGUUAUAGUAAAAAAAAAAAAAAAAGUCCCAUGGCUUGGUACAUAGAUAGAAUGAGUGCUGGUUUCGGUGAGAAAUGACUCUCCCAGACACAACUCCCCAUGCAGAGUUGACAUGAGUUUACCCAGCGGUUUCCUACCAAGUAACAUCACAUCAUCUUACCCCUUUUGGCUACUGCUACACACUGGUUUCUUUAUUACUCCUUAGUGAAAACCCUAGUUUUAUACCUAAAGAAGCUUCUUUCAAACAGAAAAAUUUCAAAUCUUCAAAAUCUCCACACUUCAAUCGACUCCAAAUCUGAAGAACCUCCCCCAUAGCUUGAUUCCUUACCAUCCAUGCACCAAAGAUCUGCUCAGACAACACCCACAACCCCUCUACUACAUUCUCGUAACCACAUCCACAAACCUGCUACUUCUCGGAGUCAACGGCUCACUCCUCCAGAAGCUACUUUCUACAACUGAAACUACAUCUUAAGCACCUCGCACACCAUUCCCCCGGUGGUGUUGACUAGCGAGCCUUGUUCCCAACAAGGCAGUGAUGGCACGCCGUUUCUCUGAAGCAGAAAAAGGAAAAGACAUUAUGGAGCCGCUAGACCCAUCAAUCAAAAGAAUCAAAGCCCCCAGCCUGGACACCUUGGCUUUAAUCAAAGAAAACACCCUUACUUUAAUAGGGAGACUAACAAACCCACAAAAACACAGAGGAUGUAGGCGCUGCUCCCUUCCCUUCCUCGAAAGUGGAACCUGCAAGGUAGACCUUAUGUCUCAGAUCUAGGAAAUAAUUGUUUUCAGUACAAAUUUGAGAGAGAAGAUGAUCUACAGAAAGUGCUCGACAACAGGCCUUACCACUUCGUUUAUUGGAUGGUGAUUAUCCAAAAAUGGGAGCCAGUUAUCUCGUCGUCCUUUCCGUCUCAGAUCCCGUUCUCCGUAUUAAAGGACUCCCACUCCACUACUGGCAUGAGGACAUGAUAUGCAACAUAUGGAUGAAUUGGGAGCUCGGGAAAACCAUGAACUUACAAAGACGACUGCAAGAGUAAGAGUCCUAAUCGAUGGGCUCAAACCAUUGGUGAAAACUUCUAUUAUUGAGUAUGAAUCAUGGGAGGAAAGUAUUAUUACCUUGGAUUAUGAGAGGUUAGAGGUAACCUCUCCACUGUCCCAAGUGCUUCUCACUUUGCCACUCAAGCAACAACUGCCCACUAAAGACGGGGCCAGUGGAACAACAAGACCAUCUCAACUCCAACCAAAAACAGACAAAUCUUCCCCUCAACAGGUCGGUUACUGAGGCAAGACCGAGAAUUGCUAAGGAACCUGGAGUCCAGAUUGAAACAACACAAGGACUAGCAAACCUUCCCAAACACAAAAACGACCAAUCAGCCAACUCCAACAGCUGGAGAGAUAAUGGGAAAGGAAAGAGCCUGGAUAUUACCUCUCAGCACUAUCAAAAUAGAGUUGACAAACAUGGAAACAGCUUUGGAGAUAGAGUAAGCACUAUGAAGACAAGAAAUCUUCCCCCACUAGAUACAAAGUCCCAGUACCAAAAUUUGUCUGUCAACUCCUGGAGACCGAGGAACUACCAUGAUGAGGCUUCAAAGUACGCAUCCCCUCCCUUUGAAACAAACAGAGGCACACAAGCACGAUCGACUGGAAGCUUCUACAGACGACCCUCUUCCCCCAAGAGGAUAACACUCACUGGAGAGUGAAAGCUGCAAACACCUCACAAAGAGAAGCACCAGAAUCCUCGAGACUGGUUGAAGAUACCCCUGCACCAAUGAACACAGAGAAUCAACCCAACCAUACUCUAGUAAGAACAAUCCCUACAAGGGAUGAGGUGAACUCAACCAAGUCACGCUUCAAUACCUCAGUUGCUCAGACCCCACUGAAGCAGCAGCAAGGAGACAGAGAGUUCUCAUGGGAGAUGCUCAUGGACAGAUGGAAGAAGCUGCAUACCGCAUUAUUGCAGCUGCAACGGCGGGAACUGUACAAUUAGUGACCUUGAACCCCACCCUUGUAGAACCCUCAAGCCCACCUCCAAAUACCUCUGACCACAUCUCUCAACCUGAAGCAUCAAUCCAAGAUCAGUUACAGAGUAAUACGGUAACUACAGAGGAAAACAUCAAUGCAUGAGCUAGGCGAUGACAGUACUCACCUUUCUCAUGAUCCCCCGUAGACUGUCCUCCUCCUACCUCCUCAAACAUUGAUGGAGAGCCAACUAGGUCACCACACUCCCGGCACACUCCACAGGGAACAAAUGCUAAAUCCUCUGAGACCCCGGGAGAUGUACCAACUCACACGUUAAGUCUAUCACAACAGACCAAACGGAGACGUGCUAGAACCACCCCUGCAAAAUCCAAGGCAACAUCUAUAAGCCCACAACCUCUCAGAGGAACAAACUCUAGAAAAAGAAUAUUCUCCAUGAUUCAACACUCACCGAGACAACCCCACCAGAGGAGAAUCCAGAGCCAAAUCCAUAUCCCUGGGCCAAGAUCAAAUGACGCUGCGGGACCCUCAGAAGCCUCAAGCCAGCCCACCGUCCAAAUAAUUCCACCGAUGGUCAAGAAGAGGAAGGAUUUUCACAAUCCUCCACCCCCGGCUCCUUAGUCAUUGCUAGCUGGAACUGUAAUGGUCUGGGGAGUCCCAUUACAGUCCAGCGACUAAAGGAGAUCCACAUGAUAAACUCUCCUGAUAUCUUCUUCCUAAUGGAAACAAAAAACCCCGACUCAGUAGUUAGAGAAGAUCUAAAAUGGAUGCUUAUGGAAAAUGACUACUUAGUCUCACCUCACAGCCCUGGAGGGGGUGGCCUCUAUCUGGCCUGGAAAAAGGAAGUGGAGAUCUCUAUAAAAUCUUCCACUAACAACUUCAUUGAUACUGCCAUCACCUACAAAGGAACCUCCUUCCAUGCAACUUUCGUCUAUGGGGAACCUGAUCAUACGAAAAGACAAGCAGUAUGGUCUGAGAUAUCAACAUUACAGACAUAAUCAGGUGAGGCCUGGUUCCUCACUGGUGACUUCAAUGAGAUAAUAGAGAAUAGUGAAAAACAAGGAGGACCUGCGAGGGCUGAAGGGACGUUAUGUGCCUUUCGAUCCUUCCUCUCACAAAACGACUUGUUUGACCUGAAACAUUCAGGCAACUUCCUUUCAUGGAGAGGCAGAAGAGGCUCUCAUCUUGUUCACUGCCGUCUAGAUCGAGCAAUCAGUAAUACAGACUUGACGGAGCUAUACCCCUCCUGUCGAAGCCAAUAUCUCCACUAUGAAGGGUCGGAUCACCGCCCACUCAUCUCCUUCUUGGACCCUACAAGAAAGAAAGGCAACCGCAUCUUUAGAUAUGAUAGACGUCUUAAAGGGAAUGAUGAAGUUAAAAAGAUUAUCUCUGACAUCUGGUCUACAUUCUCACACUUAAAUGUUGAAGAUCGGUUAGUCCUCUGUAGAAGAGCAAUCUCAAGAUGGAGCAGAGAGACUCAGAUGAACAGCUAGAAGGAGAUUUCUUCUCUUAAGCUACAGCUAGAGAAUGCAAUGUCAGAUUCAAACCAAGAUCAAGAUGAAAGGAAAAUUCAGGAGAUCAAUGCUAACCUCUUGAAGGCCUAUAAGUCUCAAGAAGACUUCUGGAAACAAAGAAGCAGACAGCUCUGGCUAUCCUUGGGAGACUCCAACACUGGGCAUUUUCACGCUGUUACUAAAGUAAGAAGAGCCAAAAAUAAGCUAACCUUCAUUGAAGAUGAAGCAGGCGUACCGUGGCACGAAGAAGAGCAAAUUGCUAAAGUAAUCUCGCAGUAUUAUGAGAACCUCUUCACAGCUUGUCCUUUCGACAGCAGCCCAACGGUAUCAAAGGCCCUUAAACCGUGCGUCUCACAGCAGAUGAAUGACAACCUCACUAGAGACCCUUCUCCCACUGGGAUUAAGGCUGCCCUCUUUGCAAUUCAUGCAGACAAGGCUCUUGGCCCUGACGGUUUCUCGGCCAGCUUCUUCCAAUCCAACUGGGACAUAUUAGAACCAGCUAUAGUCGGGGAAAUACAAAGCUUCUUCUCUUCUGGCACUCUCCCUGCAUCUAUGAAUGUAACUCAUGUGAGACUUAUUCCUAAGACUAAUGGAGCAAAGAGAGUUGCAGAUUACCGACCUAUAACGUUGUGUAACGUCUUCUAUAUGAUAAUUUCAAAACUCUUAUCCUUGCGCUUGAAACCGGUAGUCAGCUCUAUCAUCUCAAAGAACCUGUCUGCCUUUAUUCCAGGUAGAGCAAUCACUGACAACGUCCUCAUUACCCACGAAGUCUUGCACUACCUGAAAACAUCAGCAGCAGAAAAGAAAUGCCCAACGUCGGUUAAAACCGAUAUGAGUAAAGCUUACGAUCGUGUUGAAUGGGAGUUUAUUCAGCAGGUGCUACAUAGAUUGGGUUUUCAAGAGAAACUAGUCAAGCUAAUCAUGCAAUGCAUCACUACAGUGUAAUUUUCUUUCCUAAUAAAUGAAGCAGUCUAUGGCUCUGUUACCCCACGUAGAGGAAUCAGACAGGGAGAUCCAAUUUCUCCAUACAUCUUUAUACUAUGUGGAGAGGUACUUACCGGUUUAUGCAAAGAGGCAGAAAGAAAUGGACUGCUUCCUGGCGUCAGAGUAGCAAGAGGCGCCCCCAGGAUAAAUUAUCUGCUAUUUGCAGAUGACACGAUGUUUUUCUGCUACUCUACACCAAUCUCCUGCCAAGCCCUAAAAGAUAUACUCCUGGAAUAUGAAAACGCUUCAUGUCAGAAGAUAAAUAAUGCCAAAUCAUCAGCAACCUUCUCAUCAAAAACCCCUCCCCAAAUGAAAGUCUCCACAAAGUCAAUCCUUGCAAUAUCUAAAGAGGGGNNNNNNNNNNNNNNNNNNNNNNNNNNNNNNNNNNNNNNNNNNNNNNNNNNNNNNNNNNNNNNNNNNNNNNNNNNNNNNNNNNNNNNNNNNNNNNNNNNNNNNNNNNNNNNNNNNNNNNNNNNNNNNNNNNNNNNNNNNNNNNNNNNNNNNNNNNNNNNNNNNNNNNNNNNNNNNNNNNNNNNNNNNNNNNNNNNNNNNNNNNNNNNNNNNNNNNNNNNNNNNNNNNNNNNNNNNNNNNNNNNNNNNNNNNNNNNNNNNNNNNNNNNNNNNNNNNNNNNNNNNNNNNNNNNNNNNNNNNNNNNNNNNNNNNNNGGGGGAGGGGAGAUGGGAAGUAUUUAGGUUUACCUGAACACUUUGGUAGGAGGAAAAAUGAUCUCUUCACCUCUACGGUAGAUCGAAUCUGACAGAGAGCACAUAGCUGGUCGACGCGCCACCUGUCCAAAGCUGGCAAAAUGACAAUGAUAAAAUCAGUCCUUACAGCUAUACCCUCCUAGUCUAUGUCUUGUUUCCUAAUGCCAAGCAGUCUGUGUAAGAGAAUUCAAUCAGAGCUAACGAGAUUCUGGUGGGAUGGAAUUGAUAAGAAAAUGAAACUUUGUUGGGUCUUAUGGACUAACCUUUCAAAACUGAAGGCAGAAGGAGGCUUAGGCUUCAGAGAUAUAGAAAAUUUCAAUCUGGCUCUCCUAGCCAAGAUCGCAUGGCACCUGCUAACUCCUCCCUCCUGUCUCCUGGCCAGAACUCUCACAGGAAAGUACUGCCAUAACUCAGCCUUCCUUCAAGUCGAGCUCCCUGCUUCCUGCUCCCACGGCUGGAGAGGCAUCAUCCAUGGCAGAAAUCUCCUAAAACAACACCCGGGAAAAGCCAUUGGAAACGGAUUAACAACAAGAAUCUGGCAGGACUCUUGGAUUUCUCUCACAUCAGACAUAAAACCCUUUGGACCUACUACAGAAGACGCUAGAGACCUCAGGGUAUCAGACAUGCUUACAACUGAUCUCAAAUGGAAUGUCAAGCGAAUUGAGGAACUUAUACCUGAACUGGCGACUAUAAUUCGGUGCUUGCAACCUAGUCAAACGGGAGUGGAGGACGCCUUCAUCUGGCAACCAUUAACAUCCGGUAUUUAUACAUCUAAAUCUGGAUAUCACUCAACCAUGACUUCAAGCUAUCACCAUUCAACCAACGCCCCCAUCGACUGGUAUAAGGACAUUUGGAGAGUAAAAUGUUCCCCAAAACUUCAGGUCUUCCUCUGGUCAAUAGUCCGAAAAGCUGUGCCACUAAGAGCAAAUCUCCAACGACGAGGUAUUACUGCUGCUGUAAACUGCCCAAGGUGCAGAGAUCAAGAAACGACUACACACAUCUUCUUCUCUUGCCCCUUUGCACAAGAAAUCUGGAGCUUACUGCCACUAACAAACGUAGCUCACCUAGCUACAGCUCCAAGCUUUGAGACUGUAAUGCUUGAGUUCCGGAGUAAACCAUGUCUGCCUCCAUCAGGAAUCACAACAAACAUACUCCCCUGGGGUUGUUGGCAGAUUUGGAUCUCACGAAACCAACUCAUCUUCGAAGGAAGAAGUUCCACAGCCGAAGAAGUAGCUACUCGAACAGUUACAGCCGCUCGGGAGUGGAUCGCUGCACAAGAAACAACAGACCUGCCUAAAUUAGCCAUCUCAUCCUCAAUUGACCUGAUCUCUAUGGAAUCAAACUCACAACACCUUACCUCCUGGUACAUAGAUGCUUCUUGGAUGAAGGAAUCUUUACAGGCAGGACUAGGCUGGAUUUUCUUCAGACAUAAGAUCGCGAUAUGCCGGGGAUCAGAGGUACAAGGUCCGAUUGGCUCCCCCCUAAUGGCAGAGGCCCUGGCUUGCAGAUAAUGCCUCCGACACUCUCUUUCUCUCUUUGGUAGGAGGAAAAAGGAUCUCUUCACCUCUACUGUAGAUCGAAUCCGACGGAGAGCACAGAGCUGGUCGACGCGCCACCUGUCCAAAGCUGGCAAAAUGACAAUGAUAAAAUCAGUCCUUACAUCUAUACCCUCCUACUCUAUGUCUUGUUUCCUAAUGCCAAGCAGUCUGUGUAAGAGAAUUCAAUCAGAGCUAACGAGAUUCUGGUGGGAUGGAAUUGAUAAGAAAAGGAAACUUUGUUGGGUCUUAUGGACUAACCUUUCAAAACCGAAGGCAGAAGGAGGCUUAGGCUUCAGAGAUAUAGAAAAUUUCAAUAUGGAUCAAUCUGGCUCUCCUAGCCAAGAUCGCAUGGCACCUGCUAACUCCUCCCUCCUGUCUCCUGGCCAGAACUCUCACAGGAAAGUACUGCCAUAACUCAGCCUUCCUUCAAGUCGAGCUCCCUGCUUCCUGCUCUCACGGCUGGAGAGGCAUCAUCCAUGGCAGAAAUCUCCUAAAACAACACCCGGGAAAAGCCAUUGGAAACGGAUUAACAACAAGAAUCUGGCAGGACUCUUGGAUUUCACUCACAUCAGACAUAAAACCCUUUGGACCUACUACAGAAGAUGCUAGAGACCUCAAGGUAUCAGACAUGCUUACAACUGAUCUCAAAUGGAAUGUCAAGCGAAUUGAGGAACUUAUACCUGAACUGGCGACUAUAAUUCGGUGCUUGCAACCUAGUCAAACGGGAGUGGAGGACGCCUUCAUCUGGCAACCAUUAACAUCCGGUAUUUAUACAUCUAAAUCUGGAUAUCACUCAACCAUGACUUCAAGCUAUCACCAUUCAACCAACGCCCCCAUCGACUGGUAUAAGGACAUUUGGAGAGUAAAAUGUUCCCCAAAAAUUCAGGUCUUCCUCUGGUCAAUAGUCCGAAAAGCUGUGCCACUAGGAGCAAAUCUCCAACGACGAGGUAUUACUGCUGCUGUAAACUGCCCAAGGUGCAGAGAUCAAGAAACGACUACACACAUCUUCUUCUCUUGCCCCUUUGCACAAGAAAUCUGGAGCUUACUGCCACUAACAAACGUAGCUCACCUAGCUACAACUCAAAGCUUUGAGACUGUAAUGCUUGAGUUAACCUGAACUGGCGACUAUAAUUCGGUGCUUGCAACCUAGUCAAACGGGAGUGGAGGACGCCUUCAUCUGGCAACCAUUAACAUCUGGUAUUUAUACAUCUAAAUCUGGAUAUCACUCAACCAUGACUUCAAGCUAUCACCAUUCAACCAACGCCCCCAUCGACUGGUAUAAGGACAUUUGGAGAGUAAAAUGUUCCCCAAAAAUUCAGGUCUUCCUCUGGUCAAUAGUCCGAAAAGCUGUGCCACUAGGAGCAAAUCUCCAACGACGAGGUAUUACUGCUGCUGUAAACUGCCCAAGGUGCAGAGAUCAAGAAACGACUACACACAUCUUCUUCUCUUGCCCCUUUGCACAAGAAAUCUGGAGCUUACUGCCACUAACAAACGUAGCUCACCUAGCUACAGCUCCAAGCUUUGAGACUGUAAUGCUUGAGUUACGGAGUAAACCAUGUCUGCCUCCAUCAGGAAUCACAACAAACAUACUCCCCUGGGGUUGUUGGCAGAUUUGGAUCUCACGAAACCAACUCAUCUUCGAAGGAAGAAGCUCCACAGCUGAAGAAGUAGCUACUCGAACAGUUACAGCCGCUCGGGAGUGGGUCGCUGCACAAGAAACAACAGACCUGCCUAAAUUAGCCAUCUCAUCCUCAACUGACCUGAUCUCUAUGGAAUCAAACUCACAACACCUUACCUCCUGGUACAUAGAUGCUUCUUGGAUGAAAGAAUCUUUACAGGCAGGACUUGGUUGGAUUUUCUUCAGACAUAAGAUCGCGAUAUGCCGGGGAUCAGAGGUACAAGGUCCGUUUGGCUCCCCCUAAUGGCAGAGGCCCUGGCUUGCAGAUAAUGCCUCCGACACACUCUCUCUCUCUCGAUCUUGAAGACAUCAACGUCUUCUCAGACAAUCAGACGCUCAUUAGAGCCCUAAAAAGCAAGCUCGCACACAAAGAGAUCUUUGGUAUUGUUGCCGAUAUCAAGAACCUCGCAGCUUCGUUCAAAUCUAUCUCUUUCUCCUUUAUCUCUCGAUCAAACAAUCUAGAUGCCGAUCGUUUGUGUAAGGCAGUAUUACACAACCCUUCCUCUGCCUUAGGUUUCUCUUUGGGCCUGAACUCACCCAGAAAUGGGCUUGUAAGGGGCUAAACCCAACUAUAUUUCCUUAAUGAUAAUUUCCAGUUGAUAAAAAAAAGUAAAAAAAUAGAAACUAUGACAACUGGUAAUAAAGAUAAAGUAAAAUGUAUAUAUCUCAAAGAAUGAGAUCAUUCUUGGAUAUCAUCUAAUUUUAAGCUAUACAAUAAUUACCAGUUUUAGUUCUCUCAAGAGGAUAUAUAUUAAUUUAACAUUGUAUAGUUGUUUUGUGGAUAACUAGUCAUGAGACAUGAUAAAAGGACGUAAGAUAAGGUUUAUGAGUAUGAGUUUAGGUUGUGGCAUUCCUUAACUAUGUGGUCUUCUUCUCAUGUAUAUCAUACAAGAACAGGACUUUGCAUCAAUGGGAUUAAUAUUAUUUUGCUUUCCAAUGGUAAAUCUUAAAAAUUGUUUAAGAGAAAACUAGAUUUUGACCCGCUUUUCAAAAUGCAUGUCUUUUUCCUUUGCGAGUCUCGUAUAAAUGUGUCAAAUAUUUAUAAGUUCAUGUUAUAUAUAUUAUUGAACUUUAAUGUUACAUAAGUACAAUAAGUUAAAUCAUCAUUCUGUUCAUAACAAUGUCGACGUGAGUACUUAUCAUAUUAUUUUCUAUGUUUUAAACUUACAAAUAUUUAUCGUAGUUUACAUUACAAAAGAUGACAGAUUGAAAGAAAUGAGAAAUACAAAACAAAAUGAAGAAUGAUCAAAUCAUAUGUGGCUUCAAAUGAAAAAUAAUUAUGAUAGUUCAUCAGCACAUAAACAAAAACCAUAAUCAGCAAACCAAAAAUAUAUGUAUAUACAUAAAAUCUUGACAUAUCUUAAUAUAAUUAUUUAAAUACUAAAUCAUUAAUAAUAAAUAGUUAUAUUGCUAUUUGUCAAAUUUUUGUGAAUAUUAAGAUGAAUACUAAAUUAUUUUUUAAACUAUGCAUACAUGGUUCCCAACCACUCGUCCAAAACUAGCAAAUAAAAAUCAACAUAACAUUUACCCGGAUCUUACAGUGGACUCUCUCAUCAAUUCAGCUUCACGAACUUGGAACUCGCAGGCAAUUCGGUAUUUGGUGGAUCCCCAGGAUUCAAAAAUCACAGAAAUCAUACCAUUGAACAUGAUUCAGAUGGAGGAUAGGGAUGUAUAUCAUUUCACAAAUAAUGAAAAAUACACUGUCAAAUCAGGAAACCACGUAGAACGAGUAUAUCGAGAUAAGAAAAAAAUAUUUUUAUGGCAAUUGGUGUCAGGGUGUAUAACAAUCAAGAAAAAUUUGCAAGCGAGAAGGAUACAAGGGUAUGUUGUGCCAGAUGUGGAGAUCCGGAGGAAUCAAUAAACCAUGUUUUUUGAAUGUCCACCAGUGCGUUAGGUUUGGGCGAUAUCAAAGAUACCAAAUCCAACUAUUUUUCCUCUAGUUUUCUCUUCGCAAAUAUGGAUCACCUGUUUUGGAGAGUUCUCCCGCAAAUGGAUGAUCAUCAAUUCACAUGGAUACUAUGGUACAUUUGGAAAGGAAAGAACAACAAAGUUUUAGUAAUUUGGACAUUGAUCCCAGGGAAACGCUAAAAUUAGCGAAAACAUUAUUUAUACUUUGGGCUGAGGCACGGGUUUUAAACACUUAGAGGGCGGCUCAACAUGUAGAGGAUACCAAUUUACCAUCAAUUCCAGGAAGAUGGUGUUUUUCAGAUGGAUCUUGGAAAGAUAAGGAGAUUUUUUCAGGACAAGGUUAGUAUAGCACCCUAGAAGAUUUUGAGGGUUUGAUGGAGGCAAAAAAUGUUAGGGCCAGCCUCUCACCUCUUCAUUUCAUUCGGAGGUGGAAGCACUAAUAUGAACAAUAAAAUGUAUGAAAAAUUUUCAUCAGUGUCAGGUCACAUUUGCAAUAUAUUGUUCUCAAUUGGUGAAUAUGUGGUUUCAGAACCAGAAGAAUGAUCAGCUUUUGCAAGUUAUUUGGAAGCAAAUUGAAACCCGACCCGGACACUGAACCAGAUAACUUACCGGGUCACCGAGUUAUUGGAUCGACCGUGGGCGAACCGUGGGUUAAUAAAUUAAAUAAUUUUGUUAUAUAAUAAUUAAUAUAUUAGCUACUGAAAAAUAUAAGAAAUGUUUUAUGUUUUAAAAACCAUUUGGAAAAAUACUUAACUUUAGUUUUCUUUAUUUUUAUUUUCAUUUCACAUACAAAAUAUUAAAAACUAGACCAUCUAGCAAUUUUGUAACAAGUUAAGAGUUAUGACAUAGAAUAAAAAUAUAUCAAGACUUAAAAUCUAUAAGUAUUUAAAUGUCCAGUGUGAAUAAUAAAAUUAUACUUUAAAUCCAAAAUAAACCAAAAAGUAAAAUAUAAAAUUGUAAUAAAUUACCGAUAACAAAAAUAAAAUAAUGCUAAAUUACAUCAACUAAUUUUGUUAAUAGAAUCCACAUGAUCAUAUGAUAUUUUUAUUUUUGAAAGAAACUAAAAACUUACUUUUUGAUUAGAAUACAAAACUGAUUCUAAUAAUGUAACCGGAAAAUCCAAGAAAAAAUAAUCAAAAUUUAGGUAUUGGUUCAACCAGUGGUUCAACCGGUAGUCGGGUUCCAGGUUUUAACGGUUUUUGUGGGUUUUACAGGGUUUUUAAAUAAUUGGGUUUUCCUAAAAUUCAAACCGAAUUACAUGCCGGGUCACCGGGUUUACCGGUUUGACCGCUGGUCCGGGUUGGAUUUCAAAACACUGCUUGGAAGAUAUUUAGACCAUGAAAGAAAUCUUUCUCAACUUAGAGAUCGUUCAUGUACCCCCAACGCAGAAUUUAAAGGCGGAUAGUCUAGCAAGCACUGUUAGGAAACAACCAUCUUUUGUCGUUCUCAUAGAUGCAUAAUUACCAGUUUGUUUGCAGAGUUAGUAUGAGUCUGUGUAUGUUGAUGACAAAAGAAAAUUAUGCAACCAUAUUCAGUUAGCUAGUUUUUGUAGAUUAUUCAAAAUAGAUAAAACAUAUUAAUAAUUUUGAUAUUUCUGUAUUUGUUUAGGAAUGUUGAAUCACCAUUUAAUAUUAGUUACGUUUUAAUGUGACUUAUUAAACGUUUCUAAAAGAGUUAGCUUUUACGAUAAGCUUUGAAAUGAAAUAUUUUUUGACCCGCGCUUUCAAAACGCAAAUAUUAUUUUAUAUAUAUUAUUAAACUUUCAUUCAAAAUGCAGGAAAGCAUUUACAAUUUAUUGUUUUGGAAACUUGUUCAUGUUUUUCACAUGGUGACAAUAUUCCCCACGCCGCCAUUUUGGUUGCUCCGCAUAAUAAAUCGGUAAAGAUUUAAACGACCAAUUUAACAAAACUAAACACUAUUGCUCGGAUUAAUUUCUGAAGAAUAACAAAAUUUAUUCUUUAAGCCCAAUCAAAAAGAUAGACUUUGAGUUUAUUACAGCCCAUUUGAUUUUACUAAACCAGCCGAAAGAGCAUGCUAUAUUUAUAAUAAUCAUUUUUGGUGAUGAGUUUCACGAAGUUUCGAUGUGGGACGUUUACAUUUUACACUUUGUAGAUAUAAAGAUCUUAAAUAUAUUUAAUGUGUAAACAGUUGUAAGGAUUUUUUGUAUAAAUUAUUCCCUAGAAACUCGAGAAUAUAUAAUAUUCUAAAUCUUGUAUUGCUAACCACGAUUUUUAUUAAGAUUUUUUAUUUUAAAAAGUAUUAAUAAGAAAAUAAAUAGCAAGAAAAUAAGAAAAUAUGGUAGGUGAUUAAAUGUUUGCAAAUAUCCAAAUUAUCUUUAAUGAAAGACACGGUUUAGACAGAAAAGGUAGGAGCAAUGAGUGGAAAACCCCGAAGUGCAUCCUACUUUAAUAGCAUAGAUCUUUAAAAUAUUUUUUUCUAAGAAAACAAGACAUAAAAAGAUACUUGUCAAACUUAUCUAAAGAGAAAAUCUUGAAAAAAACUCAAAAAGAUAUGGUCAAAACGUAUUGGUAAAAGAAAUUUACUAAUAAGGUAAGAUAUUAUUUUGUAGUUUAAAGGAUUUAAAUAAAAAGACCUUUCACACAAUUUUGUUUAUUAUAAAUACUACACAAUAUAAUGUCUUUGCACUCCACUCAUAUCAUUUAAAUGAAGAAAAUGAAACACCUCGUACUUUUUAUAUUAGUUACUACAUACUUUAAGCUACACGAAGCCUGCGAAAUAAAUCGUGUUCUACUUCAUAACGAACUCGGCCCUGGUAGACUUCUCGAGUUCCAUUGUUAUUCCGUAAACAAUGAUUUAGGCGUCAAGAACUUAAACUUCAAUGCUACUCCAUAUGUCAUCGAGUUCCAUGAUGAUGCAAUUCUUAUAACAACAUGGGAUUGUUUGUUAAGGCAAGGAGCUAACCUGGAAUAUUUUUAUAAAGUUGAAGCGUACAGAGCAGGACAUAGAAUUAUCCCUAAAUGUGGUCAGAUACGUGUAUGGACGGCCAAACUUGAUGGGAUAUACUUUUCAAGAGACCUUGAUACACCACCCGUUUUAGCUCUACGCUGGAAUAAAGCAUAAUGUAUUUCUAUUUAUUGUUGUUUGACCAAAAAAAAAAUGUAUUUCUAUUUUUUUUUUCAGGAAACUAUAAGCUACAUCAAAAUACUAUAAUAACAUAUGAGUUUAUGUGAUGUAUAUGUUUGUCUGCUAAAUCUCUGAUGAGGUUCAAGAUAUUGUCUUAUCCAUUCCUGAUGUUUUAGCAACUGUUGUCGUAUGGUCACAUCCCCACAUUGCCUAUACAUGAGUCUGAUAGCCACCGUGUGUGUACUGGGUUCAGCGGAGAGCUGAAAUAAUGAUAUUUAAAAUAUUAUAAUCAAAGGAAUACUUGACCACUGGUUUGGUAAGCUUGACACCAAUUCGAGUUUUUACUUCAUACUUUGUCGAUAAGAAUGAAAGCAUCAUGCACUUGGAAACUUAGAUUCCGAUUAGUAAAACUUUAUUCUGGAAACCGUGAAAAGAUUAACUAAACUGCGGGAAAAUUAAUUAAAUUAUGUAAAUUUUAAAAUAUGCUGAAUGAAAACUUCAAAUAAUAAAACUUGAGAAAGAAAUUAUAUAAACAUUAUUUUAAAAUUUGAUACAUUAUUUAAUCUAUUAACAAAAAUAAUAAAUAUGAAUAACGAAAAUAAUUAUAAUAAUAAAAUACAAAUUAAAUGUAACUAAACAUUUAUUUUAUUAUAAUUAUUUAUAUACUUUUCAAUAUAUUAAUAUUUAUAGAUUAAAAUUAUUUAUUCCAUCACAAUUUAUUAUUUUAAAUUAAUUAAUAUUUAUUUAAUAGUUUAAAAUAUUGUCAUACUCAUUCAUAAUGCCGUCAUUAGUGGACUUGGGAAAAUCGUUUGAGCCAUUAUGGAAAACUUUUUUUUAUAACAUUUAUAGAAAACUAUUAUUAUUACCAUAAAAUACAAACAUAAAAAAUCAUUUAUCUCUUCAUUCUAUUAUUUCCGAAGUAAAUUUUUCGAUUUAAACUCUCACAUUAAAAGAUAGAGCACUUAAAAUCGUUCUUACCAUUAAUGAACAAUAUAUUUGUUAAUAUAUAAUUAACUCCUACGAACGCAGAAAUUAAGGGCAAACAGUUUCGCACGCAGUGUAAGUUCAAGAAAGCAAUUAUCGUUUGUUGUCCAUAUGGAUGCGGAGCAAUUAAAUAGGGUUGCAGAAUCUAUAUGAGUAUGUUUUAAGUUGUUGACAAAAAAAAACUUAGGAAAAUUGCCAAAACAGAACAAAAAUUCAACAUGGUUGUCCUUUUGAUAUAAUACCAUCAUUAAGUUGUCCCUUUAGUAUAUUUUUUUAUAAUCCCAAAACUAACCCUUGAUUAAUCAAAUUAAUCAAAUAAAUACAUUUUAAAAGUAUUUAAAUAUUAAAAACGAAUUAAAAGUAAAAAUUUAAUUAAAAUAUUAUAUAUAUAUAUAAUUUUAAGUCAACAUUUAGAGUAUAUUAAUAAAAAUAAUAUAUUUAACAUUUUUUAUAUUAAUAUAAAUAUUAAUAUAAAAUUUUUGAUAUAAACAAUUGAAUUCAAAAUAAUUAUAUAAAUAAAUAAAUUAAUAAAAUAACUGAAUAUAUUAAUAAACAUUUAAUUAACACAAAGAGCACACAAAAAAUUUAAUUUUUUUUAUAUAAAUUGUACAUUUAAAUUUACAAACCGAUAUUUCCAAAAUUCGAGUAAACGUUUUUAGUCGACAUUGACAAUUUUAGUGUAUGUUAACUAUUUUAUAAAUUAUUUAAAUAAAUUAAACUUUUAUUAAAUAUUUUAAAUGUUUAUUCAUAUUUGAUAAAUAAUUUUAUACUUUGAACAGUUAUAAUAAGUAACAUUGAUAUACUAAUAUUUUAACGUUACUUAUAUACUUAAAUUCAAUUAUUACUUUUAAUAUAUAAUGUUAAUUAAAAACAAAAUAUUCUCAAGCAUAGCAUGGACAAUAAAAUUUAUAUAUUCCCUCUGAUAUACACAAUUGAAUUUCAAAUAAUUCUAUAAAUAAAUAUAUUAAUAAAAAUAAAAAUAAAUAUACAUAAAUAAUAUUUAGUCUAAUAUGUUUGUAAAUAUAUGAAAAAAACGUUGAAUAUAUAUAUGUUUGUAAGCAUAUAAAAAAAUAAAAAAUAUAUGUUUGUAAUGUUUUAGGCAAGCACAGAGAUUACAAAUAUUUUAAGAAUAUUUUUGUGACCAAAUAUACACGUUUUAGGAAGUUAGAAUAUUUCAAAUAUUUUUAGAAUAUUUUCUUAGCUGAAUUUUUUUAAAGUUUCGCAAAAAUCAGGUUUUCUUAUCCGUAGAAUGCACUUUCUACACUCUGUAGAAAUAAUAUAUCAAAAAACUGAGUCUAACUAGUGAAAACGCACCGUUUUGUUAAAGAGCGAUUUUGAGGGCGAUUUUGGGGCUAGGUUUUCGACGAUGAAUUCGGCUGCGCCGCCGGGUUCUCUGGCCUCUCCGGAGGUGGAUUUGAGAGGAGAAGCUCGCGAUGAAGGUUCUACGGUGGGUAUGGCUAGACUGGUAGCUGAUUCGAAGAAAGUUGUUCCGACCUCUCCGGAGGCGGAUUUGAGAGGAGAAGCUCGCGAUGAAGGUUCUACGGUGGGUAUGGCUAGACUGGUAGCUGAUUUGAAGAAAGUUGUUCCGAGUUGGGUAUCUGUAGCCCAGGAUAAGCGAAGUUUGAGGAAGUAUGAUGUCGAUGUCGAUGUCGCGAAUAAGGAUGGGUUGCUUUCGGUUGAGAUCCCUGAUGAUGUGCUCACUAGCUCAACUCCGUUGUGGGAAGACUUUGUGGUGGGCAAGUUUCUCGACUUGUCUCCUCACGUAGCGAAGGUGCACAUGGUCUUAAACAAGAUUUGGAAGUAUGGGGAUGACUCUGCAAAAGUCGAGGUCUUUGAGGUCAACGCAACAAUAAUGAGGUUCAGGGUUUCCAACCCGAGAUCUAGAGAAAAAAAUCUUGAAAAGAGGUAUGUGGAACAUAGUGGGGGUUCCAAUGGUGGUCACGAAAUGGACGCCGAGAACAGAGGAAGAAAAUCAGAAGGAGGAGGCGAUACCUAUGUGGGUUCACCUACAGAGAGUCCCACUCCACAUGUUUUCGUGGGAAGGUCUCAGUUUUAUCACCAGUGCAGUCGGCUCUCCAGUCAAGCUUCAUCCGGAGACUCUUGCCUGUUCUAACUUUGAGGUUGCAAAAGUAUUUGUAAACGUCGACGUUUCAAAGCCGCUGCCUAAGGAGAUAAACUUCUCAAAAAACGGCAAGGAGUUCAAGGUGGACUUUCACUUCCCCUGGCUACCUACGAGAUGCAAACUAUGCAAUAAAUGGGGACACUCUGAAAAGGUCUGUGUUCUGAAAGGGAAAGACAAGGUCCAUGAUUCACCCCCAACGGUUCCAAUGGAAGAGGCAAAAAAGGGUUUGGAAACUGCGCUGAGCCAUAAUGGAAACAUUGGGGAGGUUGCUACACGAGUGGCAGAGGAUGUGGAGACAGUUGUUGCAGAAGAUGUGGUAGAGGAUGUGGAGCUAGAUGGGAUAAAUAAGGAAGAGGUGCUUGCUGAGAACAUGGAGACAGAUGUUGCAGAAGAGGAACUUGAGUUAAAUGCAUAAAAAAACGGGGAACUGGUAACCAAGAUUGGUGAGAAUGAAGUUUUGGGAGAGAUAAAUUAAUAAGUGGCUGUUGGUAUCUUCAUCAAAGGUCGGAAGAUCUCCUGUGUGUUUCACUCUGAAGAAUCAGACUUCAGACUUCCAAAUCUCGGGUUCAAAGUUCUCGGUUCUAAGUAAUGAUGAAGAGGAAGAGGGGAAAAUAACGGGUGAUGGGUUGCAGAAUCUUGCCGUUGCGGAGACUCUUGUAAACAACGACUCGGUCAAUGCAGAGGAGGAUGAUGGAGUUAAUACCACUUCAAAUCACGCUGAAGAAAAAGCAAAAGAAACACAUAUGAAAGGAGCGACGAAGGAGAAGAAGGCUAAGUCACAGGAUGCGAAUCCACUGACUAUGAGCACUUGGUCUUCUCGCCGCUAUCUUUAAUAUGUCAAGUUUCUUUUGGAAUGUGCGCGGAUUCAACAAACCUUUGAAGCAUUCCGUGGUAAAAAAAUGGUUAAACAACAAUAAGAUGAAGUUCGGAUGUAUAUUGGAGACUAGAGUGAAGGAAAAGAAGGCUGAGAAAAUUUUGAGUUCGGAAUUUAGAGAUUGGUCUGCUAUAACUAACUACGAGCAUAGCAGAGGAGGUCGGAUCUGGCUGCUUUGGAGAGAUUCGGUUUGCAUGACCCCAGUUUUCAAAACGGACCAACUAUUAACUUGUUCUGUUGCGUUACAAGAUGAAGAGGAGUUCUUAUGCUCCUUCGUGUAUGCAAGCAAUGAGGUAGAAGGCAGGAAGGCGUUGUGGGAAGACCUUUGUCAUCACUCUAACUCACCCAUGUUUCGUAACAAAGCGUGGAUGAUCAUGGGAGAUUUUAACGAAAUCCUUGAAGGAGAUGAGCACUCGGGGUUCUCAAAUCUGAUGAGUCUACCGAAUGGCGUGAGGGAUUUUCAGCAGAUGGUUCUUCAUUGUCAACUCUCUGAUAUGGGUUAUCAAGGUCCAAAGCUCACUUGGUGCAAUAAGAGAGAAGAAGGAUUAAUCUGCAAGAAACUGGACUGGGUUAUGUUAAAUGUUGUGGUGCUGCACAGAUUCACUGGCGCUUACUCCGUCUUCGAACCGGGAGGUUGCUCCGACCACAUGAGAUGUAAGAUUCAGCUUCUACAGCCUAUGGAGAAAAUUCAGCGGCCUUUCAAAUAUGUCAACGCCAUAGGGAGACUGCCCAGCUUCCUUCCUAUGAUACAGGCAUAUUGGGACUCGACUGAGAAGCUUUUUCAUUCUACAUCGGCAUUGUAUCGUUUUUCAAAGAAGCUCAAGAACCUGAAGCCUCUAAUCAGGGAACUACGGAAGAAGCUCACAUCAUCCUCUGUGAAAAGCAGAAAUUUACCCUUUCUGCUCCUAGUACGGGGGCGAUCCAAGAGGAAGCAGAAGCCUACGAAAAAUGGCUUCAUGUAGCGGAACUAGAAGAGGACUUCCUUAAGCAGAGAUCGAAACUGAACUGGUUGGAGGUUGGGGAUCAGAACAACAGGAACUUCUAUAACUCUAUACGAUCAAGACAAGCACAAAACACCAUGCGGGAGAUCAAAUGCCCUGAUGGAAGAGUGGCUAAAAGUCAUCCUGAGAUCAAGCUUGAGGCAGAAAGAUUUUUCUCAGAGCUUCUUAAUCAAACUCCGGUGAAUUAUCAAGGAGCUUCUGAGGAGGAACUACGAAGCUUGCUUGACUUUGUAUGUACCUCGGAAGACUGCAGAGGCUUGGAGGCAGAGGUCUCAGCGGAGGAGGUAAAGGGAGUGCUGUUCGGUAUGCCCUCUUACAAAUCCCCAGGUCCCGACGGUUUCUCUAGCGAAUUCUACAAGACUGCUUGGCCUGUGAUAGGCCAUGAUUUCACGGUUGCAGUCCAAUCUGUGUUCAAGAUGAGCUUCCUCCCCAAAGGAGUUAACUCAACUAUCCUAGCCCUUAUUCCUAAGAAGACAGAGGCUUUGGAGAUGAGGGAUUAUAGACCCAUUGCGUGUUGCAAUGUGAUCUAUAAAGUUGUGUCGAAAAUCCUUGCAAACCGUCUCAAGGUAAUCCUCCCGAGGAUAAUCCUAGCCAACCAGUCUGCAUUUGUUAAAGGAAGACUGCUUAUGGAAAAUGUAUUGUUGGCUUCUGAGCUUGUGAAGGAUUAUCACAAAGAUUCUAUCUCCCCACGGUGUGCGAUGAAACUCGACAUUUCAAAGGCUUUUGACUCCGUUCAAUGGUCCUUCCUUCUGAACUGCCUAGCCGCAAUGGGGUUUCCUAGCAAGUUCAUACAUUGGAUUAAGCUCUGUGUCACCUCCCCUUCGUUCUCGGUUCAAGUCAAUGGCGAUCUCGCCGGGUACUUCCAAAGUGCUAGAGGACUACAACAAGGUUUCUCCCUUUCACCUUACCUGUUCAUCUUAUGUAUGAAUGUUCUGUCACAUAAGAUAGGCAAAGCAGCAAGAGACAAGAAAUUUGGAAUUCACCCUGGCUGUCAGUCCAUUGCUCUUACACACCUUUGCUUCGCCGAUGACCUCAUGGUGUUUGUAGAAGGGACUAAGGAGUCAGUAGAAGGAGCCCUCUCUGUUUUCGACGAGUUCGCAGCAUGAUCUGGUCUCUCUAUCAGUCUGGAAAAAUCUACUAUCUACAUGGCCGGCACUUCGGAGGGUGAAAAGCGCAGGAUCUUAACAGAUUUCCCUUUUGCGGAAGGUGAGCUCCCUGUUCGGUACCUGGGACUUCCUUUACUAACUCAAGCCAUGAAAACACAAGACUAUCAGCCUCUCCUCGAGAAGAUCAGAUGUCGCAUUACUACCUGGACGAGCCGCUUUCUCUCAUAUGCAGGCCGUCUACAACUGAUUCAAUCUGUGCUGAUGAGCAUAGUGAAUUUCUGGUUAGGGGCAUUUCAACUUCCAAGCAGAUGCAUCAAGGAGAUAGAGCAGCUAUGCUCUGCUUUCCUUUGGACCGGUCCACAGUUGAAGACUACAGGUGCAAAAGUUGCAUGGUUAGAGGUCUGUAAGUCCAAGUUUGAAGGAGGGUUGGGGAUCAGACCUCUAAAAGAAGUGAAUCAGGUUUAUGGUUUGAAGCUAAUAUGGAGUAUGUUUAUGGGUAAGUCACUUUGGGGCAAAUGGAUCCAGUAAAACCUUCUAAAGAAGAAAAGUUUCUGGGAGAUUAGUGGGAAAACCCAAGCUGAAUCUUGGAAGUGGAGGAAGAUACUGAAGUUGAGGGAUGUGGCAAAGAGCUUUCACAUGAAGGCGGUGGGUAAUGGACGCCACACCUCAUUCUGGUAUGAUAGGUGGUCUUCUCUGGGUGUGUUGUCUGAUCUCUUGGGAGAACGAGGCACAAUUGAUAUGGGCAUUAUGAAAGCAGCCACGGUAGAGGAUGCCAUUCAGUCUCUACAGAGGAAGAGACGCUAUCGUGGAACCGUCCUAAAUGACAUUGCAAAGGAGUUGGAGAUUAUUAAAGCACAGCAGUUAAAUGAAGUGGAAGAUGUUGAUAUGUGGAGGUGGAGCUCAGGUUAUAAACCCAAGUUCUCGUCCCGUGAGACUCGGAGGUUAUUGAGAGAGCCUGUAGCACAAUGCUCUUGGGAGAGGAGUGUCUGGUUCCCUCAGGCUACUCCUAAGUUUGCUUUUAUGACUUGGAUUGUGAUGAGAGACAGAUUAUCUACAAUGGACCGUGUAGUUAGUUGGUGUCGAGGUGUUGAUACUACUUGCGUCCUGUGCAAACUUGCACCUGAAACGAGAAACCAUCUCUUCUUUGAGUGUAGUUUCUCCUCACAGAUAUGGGAUCACCUUACCAGAGGGUUACUACAACGUUCUUACACCCUGGACUAGGAGGGUAUUGUAGUGCUGGUCUCUGACUCGAGAAUGGCGAAGAAGAAGCUUUAUUGUCUAAGAUACGCAUUCCAAGCGGCUUUGUAUACACUGUGGAGAGAGCGUAAUAAGCGCAGGCAUGGAGAACAGGGGGUGCCUCUACAAGUCUUAAAGAAGCUGUUGGAUAAAGCCAUCCGCAAUAAGCUCAGCAUAGUGCAGUCUAAAGGCAUAAAGGGGUUAGAAACCCUUCUACAGUUCGGGUUUGAGACUAGAAUGUAAAUAGUUUUGGGAGUUUUGAGAGUUGAUAAGUAGCAAAUUAUAGAAGGGGGGUGGUAAAUAUUUAAGGAAAAGGAGUAGAAGUAGUUCUUUUUUCAAUAACAAAGUCACACUAGUUGUACAAAGGUUUUUUUAUGAAUAAAAUUUAGCAUUCAUUCAAAAAAAAAAAAAGAAAUAAGACAAAAAUCCCAUAAGCAGAUUCUACCUCUUGUAGCUCUCAGAGUAAUGUCUAGAUUUCACAUUUCGGGAGUUGUAGAAUAUGUAAUAAAAGUAGAAGCUGCAUUCGACAGAAAAGUAACUAUCUUUACAAUUAGUAGAAAUCAUAUUCCACAUAUUUAGAGUUUUAAGUAAAAGUAGAUUGUUCGUUCUAAAAAAGUAGACGAACUUGUUUAAUAUAGAAUUCACUUUCUACUAACUCAUUUUUCAUAGAAGAUGAAUUCUACUUUUAGUAGAACGUAAUUUUAAAAUUUAAUUUAUUAAGUUUUUCAACAAAAAAAAUAUAUGAGUUUGUGUAUAUGGGUGUUUUAUCAAUUGUUUCUAUUUUUUUACAAUUUUUUUUAUUCAUAAAACUAUUAAUUUCAUUAAAUUUUAGAAUUGAAAAGGGUUAAAGAGAGAAAAAGUGGAGAAAAAUUUUUUUAUACCAAAAGAAUAAUCAUGCUGAAUUUUUGUUCCGUUUUGACAAUUAUUCCAAAAAAAACUUUAGUUUUUUCAUCCGCAUGCAUGCAUAAAUAUUUUAUAAUUAGUUAUUAAUAUAUGCCUCUAUACCAUUAAAACAAUAGAACACUUGUUCCAUUGCAUUAUUUAAAUAAUUUUGUCUUAUAUUAAAUGUAUAGUCACCGAUCUUUUUUGAUACACAAAUAUUGUGUUAAUCAGAUACAAUGGGACUAGAGCUGGAAAUUUUAAUCAUUGCCCGCGGGCCCCGUCCCGUUUGACCCGCCGCGGGGCGGGUGCGGGUCGAACCAUUUGAAAUUUUUAAAUCGCGGGUGCGGGUGCGGGUCGAGAUUAUUUUGAGCGGGGCGGGUGCGGGUCAGCCGAAUUUGAAUCGCGGGUACCCGCCAACCCGCAAAUUAAAAAAAAAAAAUCAAAAAAAAAAACAUUUUUCUAUAUAUAUAUUAAUUCGAGAACAUUAUAAUGCGUAUAAAGCUAUUAUCUCAAAAAAAGCUAUUUACUUUUCUAUAUACAUCUUAAUACAUAAAGCUUGGUUCUUUCAAAGUUACUAAUUAACAUGAUCGCGACACAUAUCAAUUAUAUAUUUAAUAUUGUGACAUGUGUUAAUCUAUCUCAUAAUUAAAAAUAUAUAUAGUAAGAUAUCAACAAAAACAAAUUUUAUUAAAAAUCUUGUUAUAUAUAUAAUUUAAUAGUAAUUUUUUUUAAAUCCUAAUCAAAAGAUAAUGACAUGUGUUUAAAUAUAUAAUGAUUAAAAAUAUAUAUAAUACGAUAAAAUAAAAACGAAUUUUGGAAAACUACUUUUAAAAAUUAUUUAAUAGUAAAAACGAUUUAAAAAAAAAUAUUAAUAGUAAUUUUUUUAGAAAUUUUCAUUUUUCCAAAUCCUAAAAAAUAGAUUUGAAAACAAUUUAUUUAAUAUAAUUUUUAUUUUCUAAAAAUAUAAUUAUAAAAGAUUAUAUUGAGUUUUGUUCUUCAAAAUUGAUAAUUAACAUGACUGAAAUUGAUAAUUAACAUGACUGUGACACAUUGUAGUUAUAUAUUUAAAAAUGUGAUAUGUAUUAAACUAUAUCAUUAUCAAAAAUAAACAUAAUAAAAUAAUAAAAAACGAUUUUUAAAAAAAUUAAUUAUAAAUAUUAUUGUUAUUAUUAUUUUCAUUAUAAUAUUUUUUAUCAUAAUGUUUGUUUUAAAAGAUACUAGAUAGAGAAUUAUAAAAUAUAAACAUUAACUUUUACAAAAAAAUGUUAAACAAAAACGCAUUGUAAAUCCUACAAGUACAAUAAUUUAUUUUUUAAAAAAAACAUGAAGAAAAACUAAAUUAAAAAUAAAUAAAUUACCUUUAAAAGCAUAAUUAAAAGAAAAUUGCAAAAGUACACGUAUUAUUUUCUUAUAAGUAAAUAAGUUUUUUUUUUCAAUAGAUAAUUGUAUGUUAAAAAAUUAUGACAAAAAAAGUUACAAAUAUUUCACAUCUAUAUUUAGGUUUAAGCUUUCACAUAUUAUUUUUACAGAGCACAAUAUUAUUUACAUAAAAAUUAUUACCUUAGUAUUUUCUUUUAAUUUCUUGAUACAUGAAAAUUAAUUUCUUCCACAUAUUGUAAUUUUGAUGUUAUUGUCGUACAUGAGUAUGUGUGAAUAUGAUAAAUAUGUUUUUGUAUGUAUAAGACAAAAUAUAUAAAUAAUUAAAGAGAACUUUUCUAUUAAAAAUAAAACAGUUGUAUAAAAAUCUAAAAGAAAUAAAAUAAUUAAUUUCCUUUUUAAAAGUCUAAAUAAAAUAAAAACGUAAAAAUAAUUUUAUUUUUCUUAUAAUUAACUAACUUUACUUUUUAAUAAUUUUUUGUUAAAAAAUAUAAACCAAAAUUAACUUCAAUAUUUUACCUGAUAUGAUUGUGAUAUGUGUCAAUUAAAAAAAUUAGAUUGUGAAUGUGUUUAUAAAAACUUUCAUUAUGUGAAAAUAAUUUUUUCUUUUCUUAAAAUAUUAAAUAUAAUAUAUUUGUAAAAGAAAAUUCUUUUCUAAUCUUAACCAAAUAAUUUUUUUUCUUUUUUUUUUAACCGUGAUCAGAGAGAAUUGUAAAAUUUUAUUUAAUAGUAAUUUUUACUUCAAAAAUUUAAUGAUAAACAUGAUAGUAAAACGAAAUUUGAAAAUUGCAACUUUUAAAAUUAGUUAAUAUUAAUUGGAAAAAGUUAUUUGAUAGAAAUUUUAUUUUUUAAAUCGUAGACAAAAUAUAAUUGUAAAAGAUUAUGUAAUAUUAAUUUCCUUUUCUAAAAACCUACAAAAUUGUAAAAGAAUAUUUGAUAGUUGUUUUAAACAAAAGAAAUUUGUAUAAUAUUUUUAAGUCCUAACCAAAAGAGAAUUGAAAAUUUUAUUUGAUGAUGAACAUGAUACUAAAUAUUAUUUAAUUAACAAAAUAAGUGUAAAAUUAAUAUUGAUAUGUAUUGUAAAAAUAGAAAUUUAAAAAAUAUUUAUUAAUAACUAAAAAAAAAUAUUUUAUAUCAAUAGAUUUUUUUCUGAAAUUUUAAAGAGAAGAUAAUUGUAAUAGGUUAUAUGAGAGUAAUUUACCUUUUCUAAAAUUUUAAACAAAAUUGUAAAAGAAUAUUUAAUUUUUUUAUUUAUUUUUUUAAUCUAAAUAAAAAGGACAUUUAAAAAUAUUUUUUUUUCUUUUUUUAAAAAUCGUAGCCAAAUAAAUUUUAAAGAUUUAUUUAAUAAAACAUUAAAUUAGUACAUAAGAACAUGUAUAAUGUUGUCAUUGAUUCGAUUGGUGUAUUUAAAUUUCAUUUAUUUUUACUUUUCAUUUCUUAUUUCGGAUUGUGUUCAGUUUAAAUGUUUAUGUAUAGUAUUUUCUCUAAUAUUUAAUAUAAAAUUUAUAACAACUCAUCUCUGCACCAUGAUUAUAAAAUACAAAUAUUAACUUGAAGUUAUGUGUGAAAAUGAGUUUUAGUUAUAAAAUAAUUCUCAAACAACAUAUACAAAAAAAUCAUAAUACUAUAAUAAAAUGGUUUAUUAUUUUAUGGUUUAUUAUUUUAUGGUUGUUUAUCAAAUUAAAACAUCAAACAAAACAUGUUGCAACGCAACGGGCUCAUAUCUUGUAUAGCAUAAUCCACAUGCUCAAAAGCAUCGUAUCAGGAAAAAAAAACUAUUUAUUUUUUCAUACACAUUAUAUAUUACUCCUUAUGUUUCACAAAGAUGUAUGUUUUAAGAUUUUCACACUUAUUAAAAAAACAAAUCAGAUUUUAGUUACCAAUACAUUUUUCCGUAAUUAACUAUUUCCAAUAAUUCUUAACCAAUAGAAUUUUAAUAAAUACAAUUAUGUUUUUCGAAGUUUACAAUUUACAAUUAGUUUAUGCAUUGAAAAUGUAAAAAUUGUAUCUUUUUGAAACAAACUUUUUCUUUCUAAAACAUGGAUAUUUUGGAAACGGAGGGAGUAUUAUAUAAGACAAGUACUUAUACGGUAUUUUUUUAUGCACCUUCAUGUUUUUUUUUAAAAAAAAGAAAGAGUUUAAUCCGGGUCUAUUAAAGACACAAACCUAACCCUCGGGUAGGAGGUGCAGCCCACGACAUACCAUCUUCCGGAUAUUCAUACGGACGUAUCCGCAGCUGUAAUGAGCAGAACAAUGUAAAUUAAUUUCCGCAGUAGCAGGAUCAAACCCAGGCCCGGCCCAGAGGGUAGGUUACAUAAGCAGCUGCUUAGGCCCCUAGGCCAUAUUUCACAAAUUUACAUUACCAACUAUAUUAUUUGGAUAUUUUUAAAAUUAGCUUAGGGCCCUAAAUAAAAAAAUUUAGUGUUUGGACCGGGCCUGAUCGAACUUAGAAUGUGUUUGCAUCCAAGACCUAUUCACUACCAUCGGAUCACAUAGCCCGCUCAAAAAGUUGUCAAUCUUACACAGUGACCAUGCUAAUGUCGUUCCAAUUUUAUCGGAUGUCCCCGAAGGGACAACGAUCAUUCAUGUUGGAAAAUGCAUAACGAGAAAUUGUGGAUAUAACCAAAGUCGUAACAACUUUUAAAAAUUAUAAUCGUAUAAAGCUUAACAUUCAAAAUUGUUUGAUUGCUGUGAUUAAAAUUGUAACCAAUUUUUAUUUUUUGCUUCUGACCAAAUAUUUGAUAUUUAGUUGAGAUCUUUUAUUAUAAUUUAAGUAUUAUUUUUAACUGAGAUUGUGGAAAAUUGAAAAUAUUUAACAACUCAUAUUUUUAUUACUAAAACUUUCUGUAUUGAUAAUAUAUAUAUAUAUAUACUUGAAAGUAAAAGUUUACCAUAAUUAAGCUAUACGAAGAAUAGAUCGUAAGAACUUCUUGGUUAUGAAUCAACCCCGUUUAACCUCUUUAACCGGGUUAUAUUUUGCUUUUAUUGUAAUACUAGUUGAUAACCCGCGCGGAUGGGCGGGAUAAAUUUUAGUUACUAAUGAAUGCUGCAUGUUAAUAUUGUUUUUUUUCAAACAAUUACAUCGUGUCAUAAGUCCAAAAAGUGUUUAAAUCUACAAUAUAUGUGCUUAAGAUAGCGUUUCUGUUAAUCCACAUCUGUUUUGUCUUUUCUUUAAUUUCAACUGAGAGAAAAUUCCAACUGUAAUACAUCAACAAAGAUCCACACAUUGUGGGGAACGAACAUUAUGUAUAUAAGUUAUUUUUACAUAUUAUUAUAUAUUUUAUGUUCAUUUACGUGUUAUCAAAUAAUAAAUAUUUGAAUAAUUGAGAAGCGAAUAAAAAAUUGUAUAUAAUUAAACUGGAGAAAGCACAUAGAUUAAAAUAAAUAAAUCAAAACAAUCAUUUUAUUUAUUCUAUAUGGUAAAUAAUUAUGAAGAGGUAGAGGAAGUUUCGGUACAGCCGGAACCGGAACAAUCCGAUUACGGCUAUGAUACCCCAUGGCUGCAAAGAAUUCGAGCCUACAUCACCGACGGGACAUUACCUCUCGAAAAAUGGGCGGCCCGCAAAAUUCGAACACAGGCCGUGCGUUUCGUAACAGUCGACGGCGAAAUUUACAAAUGGAGAUUCUCCGGACCACUCAUGACGUGUCUGGAGGGAGAAAAGGCGAGAAAAGUCAUGGAGGAAGUUAUGAUAUUGACAUAGAUAUAUAGUAUAUUUUAAUAUGAAUAUUUAAUUGAAACUUAUUAUUCCUACUCAUAUGAUUUUAUUAAUAUUUUUAUAUUUUUGUGACAAAGAUUAAACCAUUAAUCACAAAAUUUUCAGUCUGAGAUUUUUUUUAUUGUUUUAUUAAUUUUUAUUAUAUGAUUAAUGUGAUUGUUUAAUUGUUUUAAUAAUAUAAAUUAAACAAAAUGAUGGAGGAUACAAAAACUAUUAUCAAAUCUUCAUUAUUCCAAAACAUUAAUUGUCAUAUAUGUGUUAAUCAUAUUAGAUAAUAUUGUAACUUUUAUUUAAGGAAAGAAAGAAGAAUAUUAUUUUAUGAACUAUUAAUCAAUUUGAUAGUUAAAUUAAUAAAAAAUAUAAUUCAUAUUUAAAUGGACCAACCUAUUUUUUUAAGGAUUCUGAGAAUCAUCGUAGUGAUGACACGUGGCUACACUUAAAAGUUGUAAUGCUCCAUGAUUAAUAUACAGAGGAUGUUUAGAACAAUAAAUCCUAUAUGUAUAGAUUAUAUAUCACAGAUCAUGAGUCGUGAAAUUUGGAUACACAUUCAUAUAUGGCAAUUCACCUUAGUGUAUCAUAUAAUAGUUCAAAACUUUUAUCAAAAAAUUUAUUCAAAGUAAAGUUUGAAACUAAAAUAUUUAUUUAUUCAAUAUGGUUUAUAGUUUAAUUCAGAAUGAUAUAUAUACAUAUAUAUUUUAAAUCUUAAUGAUAAAUUAAAUUAGACUUUUAUUUAUAUGAUUUUGUAAUCAUUUGUAUUUUGUCAUAACAAAAAUUUUAAACCAUGGAUAGCAAAAUUUGAAUGUGAGACUUUUAACAAUUUUAGUAAUUUAUAGUCAUUUUUUAAAAUUCAAAAUAUAAAAUAUACAGAAAAAUCUAAAUUUUUACAAUAUGGUUAUUGUGUUUUUUUAAAAUUAUUUUAAUAGUUUUAAAUUAAACAAAUUUGAUAGAAGAUACAUUUUUUUUUAUCAGAUCUUUAUUAUUCAAAAUCAUUAAUUGUCAUAUAUACUUUACCCACAUUAGGCAAUUCCGUAAUCUUUAUUUAAGAAAAUAAUAAAUGACAUUAAUAAUGAAUUUAUGGUUAGUUUAAUAAAAAGCUUAUUAUAUAAUUAGAUGGACCAACCUAUUUCUCUAAUAAUUCUAAGAAUCAUCCUAUUGAUGACAUGUGGCUACAAAAAAAAGUUGUAAUGUUUCACAAAUAAUAUAUAGGGGAUUUACUAUUUAGGAAAAACCAGGUUUAAUACCCUUGAAAACCAAUUUUUUUCAACAUUAUCUUCUCCAGAACCGGAGCAUGUCACCCUUUCCUAAUCUUAAAUUUCUAAGUUUCUGUAAAAUAUUAUUAAAUGUUAAUCAUUAUAAUAUCUUAUAUAUAAAAGUAAGCAAACUCAUAAAAAGAUCAACACAAAUGAUAGUGUAUGUAAAGAAUAAAACAAAAAAGCCAAAAAAUAGUUGUGAGCGGUGUUUUGAAACCCGACCUAAACCCGCGGUUGAACCGAUAAACCCGGCGACCCAGAAAAAAUCUGGUUUGGAUUUUGUAAAAAACCCAAUAUUUAGAAACCCACAAAAACCCAUAGAAAACCACUAAAACCCGGAACCCGAUACAUGUUGAACCAAUAAAUAACUUUUACUUUCUUUAGUUUUUAAUUAUGUUUUAUAUUCUAAGUUUCCAGUUAAGAAGUUAGGUGCUGACAAAAAAAAAAGAAGUUACGUUUUCCCUUUUCAGUUUUAUAUUUGUGAUUUUUAGAUUUUAGUGAAAAUUUCACUAUGCCACCCGAAGAAAAUGAAGUCAACGAUGGUAUAAAUAACUAAAAUUAGUUGAUGUGAUUGGUGUUAGUUUAUUUACGUUAUUGACAAUUUAUUACAAUGAUCUUUUACUUUUGGUUUAUUUUGGAUUUAAAAUUUAAUUUAUUAUUCACAUUAGACAUUUAAAUAUUUAUAAACUUUAUGUCUUGAUUUUUUUAGAUGUCAUAACUCUUAUCUUGUUACAUGAAAUUUUAAAUAGUCUAAACUAUUUUUUGAUAUUUUGUAUAUCAAAUAAAAAUAAAAAUAUAAAAACUUAAGGUAAGUAUUUUCUAAAUGUUUUUAAACAUAAAAUAUAUAUGUGUUAGAAAAUAUUAAAAUUUAGUUUUUUUAUUUUUAUUUUCAUAGCUGAUAUAUUAUUAUAUAAUAAAAUUAAUUUAUUUAUUAACCCGUGGUUCACCCGCGGUCGACCCAGCGACCCAGUAAAUAGUCCGGUUCAGUGUUCGGGUUGGGUUUAAGAACAUUGGUUGCGAGCAAUGUUUUUAAACCCGACCCGGACACUAAACCGGACGACUUACCGGGUCGCUGGGUCACUGGGUCAACCGCGGACGAACCGCGGGUUAAUAAAUGAAUUAAUUUUAUUUUAUAAUAAUAUAUCAGCUAUGUAAAUAAAAAUAUAGAAACUAAAGUUUAAUAUUUUCUAAAUGUUUUUAUAAACAUAAAAUAAUAGUUUGGAUAUGUAUAUUUUUAUGUUUAAUAACAUUCAGAAAAUACUUAACUUUAAUUUCUAUAUUUUUAUUUUCAUUUGAUAUACAAAAUAUCAAAAAAUAGUUUAGACUAUUUAUAAUUUUGUCUAACAAGGUAAGAGUUAUGACAUCUAAAAAAAUCAAGACAUAAAAUUUAUAAAUAUUUAAAUGUUUAAUGUGAAUAAUAAAUUAAAUUUCAAAUACAAAAUAAACCAAAAGUAAAAAAUCAUUAUAAUAAAUUAUCAAUAACGGAAAUAAAUAAACACCAAAUCACAUCAACUAGUUUUGGUUCUCUCUACCAUCGUUCACUUUAUUUUCUUCAAGUGACAUAGUGAAAUCUUCAUUAAAAUCUAAAAAUCACAAAUAUAAAACUGAAAAGGAAAAACCUAACUUUUUUUGUCAGUAUAUAACUUCUUAAUUAGAAAUUUAGAAUAUAAAACAUAAUCUAAAAACAUAAUUAAAAAUUAAAAAAAAAAAAAAAGUAAAAAUUAUUUAUUGGUACAACCAGUGGUUCAACCGGUAUCGAGUUCUAUCGGACAACCAAUCGUCGUCAACCUCAUCGGGGACCAAGACGAAGAGGUAGAGGAAGUUUCGGUACAGCCGGAACCGGAACAAUCCGAUUACGGCUAUGAUACCCCAUGGCUGCAAAGAAUUCGAGCCUACAUCACCGACGGGACAUUACCUCUCGAAAAAUGGGCGGCCCGCAAAAUCCGAACACAGGCCGUGCGUUUCGUAACAGCGGGUUUCUAAAUAUUGGGUUUUUCACAAAACCCAAACCGGAUUUGUUCUGGGUUGCCGGGUUUACCGGUUCAACCGCGGAUCCAGGUCGGGUUUCAAAACAGUGGUUUCAAAAAAUUCAAAAUUGGUUUUGCAGUUUAACGAGUCGAACCGGUUCGACGACUUUAUAUGUGUUUACAAGUUCUUUAGAUUUGAUUUUGUCAGUGAACUAAUCCAGAUAGCUGUCUGAGUCCCGGUCGGAACCGACCGGUGCAGUUUUAAAACACUAAUUAAUUUUAUAUUUCAGUUUGCAUAUCUAAAUAUACCAAUUCCAAUUCAGUACUAUUAAAAUUAAUGCAAAACGGGUUAAUUAAACGGGUUAAUCUAUUUUGAUUCUCAUAUAAUUAUAUAAUAAAAAUUAGCAAGUAAACAAAUCAUUUAUAUUAAUUAAAUAUAAGUUAUACAUAAAUAAAAAUACAUAAAAUAUGUACACUAAAGAAAAAAAUUCUUAAUAAGAUAACACUUUCGUUCUUUAAAAGCGCGGAUCAAAAUCUAGUUAUUAAUAAAAAAACUACAAUAAUACAUUAUUAAUUUUAUCUUUUCUAUUUUAACCCUUUUAUUAAAAUAUAUUUUUUGGAUAAAACACAAUAUAUAUAUAGGAAUUGUUUUUUUUUUUUUUUUAGAUUUUGGAUAAUUCUUAUUAUUAUUAAUUUAAUCACUUAUCUAAUCAAAUAAAACUUAAAUUUGUUUUUAUUUUUGGCUAAUUUAUAUAUUUUAUUUAUUGAAGGUAUAAACAAUAUUAAUUACUUUAGUUUUAACGUGAGAUCUUUUAGAUGCAUGACCUCACGUCGGGCUUCAUCCACAUACGUAGAGUGUGUAUUAUCAUAUUUUUUUACUCCACUAAUGCAACACACUCAUUGAUUAUUCAUUGGUUGUAACUCCUCUUUAAUUCAGUCCAUGUCUCCUUCUAGAGCACAUUUGAGUAACGUUGACACUUGUAUUCAACAUUAGUAAAACGCUGCUUAUUUAAUGGGCCGUUAAUGGGCCAAAUUGAUUGAGACUAAGAUUUUUCUGGUUCGGAUUCUUCGUCUCUCCCAAGUCGAGUGAGCAAGUUGCAGAGCGCACACAGUACAGUAGUCUAGUCACACACCACUUUUUGACAGUUCCAUAGAGAAAAUGGCGAGCACUGAGCUAGAGCACGAGCACCGCGAAGAAGAUGCGGAAGUCCACGAAGCUGAGGACACCGGAGCUCAAGUAGCUCCGAUCGUCAGGCUCGAGGAAGUUGCGGUCACAACCGGCGAGGAAGACGAAGACGCCGUCCUUGAUCUGCGCCAAUCACCUCCGUGAGUUUCGCUAUCUCCACUUAAUCUCUGAUCUGAUUGUUUGAGCUAAAGCUUAUGUAUUAUUGUAUACGAAGUGUGUUCUCUGUGCAGUUUCGUGUGGGAUGAGUUGAAGGAUGAACUCUUCUGCAUAGUGGGAAUGAAAAGUCGUGUUUAUGGCACGCUACCGAUUUUUCCACGGCGAGUUGAAGGAUGAACUCUUCUGCAUUAGAUUUGCGUCUAUUGAGAGUAAGUAUAUUUGUAGAAUCUUCAGUUUUUUUUUUUUUUUUAAUUUAGGUUUUGAAUGAACCAGCUAUCACCAUCCUAUUCUAUGAUCAAAUGCGGUUAACGAAGAUUGAAGUCACUAUUCUGUAGCUGUGACUUGUGUGAUCCGGAAGUUUCUUAAAUGAAAACACAAGUGCUUUUGUAGUGGUAGUACUUGGAAUGUUACCUCAUGUUAUAGCUUCAAGGAGACGUAUCGUUUUGGUCAGCCUUAUGAGAUAACAUGAGGUCAUUGUCCAAGACUUGGUUGGUUGGUAUCUGAGGUUGUAGGUCUCAUCACUUAAUGCACAGGUAACCUAGUUCUGUAGUACGUCUCAGAUGUUAGGCUACUACUAUAAUCGUAUUUAUGUUUGACUUGAACUGUAAGAUGCAUGCUGGUGCUCUUUCUUAGCUGUGAUGGUUAAAAAUAUAUGAGUUUAGGUAUUGUGAUGUCUGCAUUAUUUCGUUGGAUUUUAAAUACUCAAAUGGAAAUUAUUGCAUCAACAGAUUGCAAAACGUUUAUGGAGAAGUUCACUGAAAUAGUUGAAAGCCAGCAAGUAGGGCAAAGAUAGCAAGAUGGGGACGAAGCUGCUGGUUUACUUGAGAAUCUCUCGGUUGUUGAUAAAAAAACUGAAGAAAAGGCCAAAGAAAAAGGAGAAGGAGAAAGCCCUGCAAAGGAAGAGAAAGAAACAAACAAGGAAGAAGAAGAAGAGAAGAAAACGGACGUGAACACCUGAUCACAUUACGUCACAAUGAUUUACUCUAUUAUCAUAUAAUAUAUGCUCUGGCAUCGAACAUGAUGGUUGCUUUAAAAGGAGUCACUAGAUUUUGAACCGCGCUCGAUUAUCUUAUUUUGAAAUAUAUUUUAUUUAUAACAUGUAUAUUUUCUAAUCAGUGUUUUUAUGUUAUAUUUGUAGUAGUGGUUUUAUAUAAUUAGGAUCAUAAGUAUCUAUAUAUAAAUAUAAAAAUAUAUAAUCUUGAUGCUAAUAUAAUAGUAUAGAUGUAUAUAUAUAUAUAUAUAUGUAUUAAUAGUUGAGAGGUUUUGAAAGAGUUCAAAUAUUAAGUGGGUUUUUUUAAUAUUAUCAGACAUAUUUUACUUCUUGAUGUACUCUUGACUGUCCUCAUUACUUUCAUACGGCAUUAGAGUUUUGUCAUCCCCAGUAUCCCUUACAAAAAUAUACUCUCAAAGUUAGUAUGAUAGACAAAUAACUACUGUAAAAUAAACAAAAGAUCAUCCCCUUACAUAUCUUUAAAUGCUUCUGCGUCGGGUAUUGUAGGGUUGAUGAUCAUUUGAGAAGCAUCAAAGGAGUUAGAGAUUUGUACUUCUCCUGUUGUGGAUACCAUUUAGUAGAUUAGAUAUUAGACAGUCUUAUGUAUAUAAUAAUUGUUAUUUUUAACGAAAUCUAUAGGAAUUCAAAUAUGUACCUCUGAACUUUCCAAUUUUGGCAAACCUCAGAAGCAAAGUAACCAAUCCAUCGUCUUGAUUGCAGGCAGAAUGGAGAGUGUCGGUUAACUUGCCCCAAAUACAGCAUGGUAUUCUUGAAUCACUACCUCACAAGUAAAAAAAGCGAGGUUAGUUGUGAUUAUGUCACUCGAAAAUAAUUGAUUGGAUUGAAUUUAGAUGACAGAAAAAAUUACUUGAUGUCUCUUAGGGUGAACUCUAGUUUUUUACGCUGGUUCCCACCAGCACAUUGAAUAGUUUCGACAGCACCACAAUCCAAAACUUGGCCCAGCACAUCUGUUUAUAAAACAUUGAAAAGUUAUUAAAUGUAGCAAGUACACAAUUUAAUUGCAGAAACUAUCCAUUACGUAUGGUUUAGGGUUUAGAGUUUAAGGUUUAGGGUUUAGAGUUUAGAGUUGAAAAUGAGGUUUUGGGGAUAAGAUUUCAAAUUUUGAAAAAUAAAAAAAUUAAAAUUUUCAAAAGAUAAAAUGCUAUUUUGGUCAUUUUAGUUUUUGAGUGCUAUUUUUGUGAUAUAAACUUAGAAAUGUGCUAUUUUGGAGAUUUGCCCUUUUUAAAAUUGCAAAAAUAUAAUUUGUUUUGUAUAGUUUUGUAGUUUUUUUUCUUUGUUUUUGGGUGAUCAUUAUGUAUAUGUAAGGGUAGUAGUAGAUGAUUUGUGUUAAUUAUGUAAAGUUUUUUUAAAGUGUAAUUAAUAUCAUUUUCUCAGAUUUGUUUAAUGGGAUGUUGAAAUUAUUUUUUAAUCUUAUCAGUCCACAUUGGAAUAUGAAUUAAGUCCUUUUUGCAUAUAUAACUCGGCUUGAGGCACUAUAAGAUGGUCCAAAAAUAUAUUAAAUAUUUUUUUUAUGUUGAAAUAAAAAAGACAAAAAAAUCUGAUUCUUUAGUAUUAUUAGAAAAUCAGAUAGUGAAAGUAAAAAGACAAUAACUCUGCCGACAUAUUCCUUUUCUCCGUAACUUCUCUCAAAUUAGAAAAGUAAUCGACGAUCCUCGUUGUUUCCGAUUCGAAGAUAGAACAAAAAAAUCAGAAGGAGUAAUCUCAUGUCCUGUUCAUCUCUGUGUGUUAUAAAAGGUAAGUAUUACAAUACAUUCUUCGAUGAUUAAAUCUUUGUUAUUUUUUGUUCUUGGUUUUUAACACUUGAAACCACAUGCAAUUGACAGAGUAAAAGCUCUUUCUCAAGUCCACGGAACAGAGCACGGAGAUCUCAGAUCUGUUCAGAUCUUGUUAAGAACUUGAAUCGAAGAGGAAGUCAAAGAUCUUAUAAAAGCAUGUAAGUUUUGAAAGCCCGAUUCAACUAAUCUGUUUUAGUUAAAUCUGUUGCUUACUUUUUUUUUUAAGGAAACAAAGUGAAACAGAAGCCUUAAAAGUCGGUAGAUUCACCGAGGAUUUGACCAUACCAAAUAUGUAGGUCAGAUUUUUCUUUUAUAUUUGGCCCAUCUCUAACAUCAAUAAUGAUCUUAAAAAAAAUGUUAGUGUUUUGUAUUUCAGAGCUGAAGGCAAAAUCUUGUGAACAAAGAUGAGUCUGGGAUGGUUGUCAAUUAUAUCAUAAGAAGAGUUGGAAGACAAACAAAUGGUAAAUAUAAUUUCCUCUGUUUUUGAGAUUUGUAAAUAACAGAUAUCAAAUUGUAACGUUUUGUUUGAUUUCAGAUUUCUUAUCAAUGUGAGAUUGGAAUGAUUUCGAAGAGUCUGAAGACGAUGUGAAUCAAUCAAAGACUACGGACUUCAUUCUCCUAUGAAGGAAAACAUGACUUCAAUAUUAAAGUUAAGUUAUUUUCAGAAAGUUUGCCUUUUUUACAUUAGAUAUAAUAUAUCUUCCAUUGGAACAUAGUUUUUCUUUCAUCUAUUCAUCCACGAAAGUCAUAUUCAAUAUUUGGAAAAUAUCAACUUUAGACUUAAUGUUGUUUCCUAAUUUAACAGCACAAAGCUGACAGUUGAAUAAUGAUUAAGGCCAUGAGGCAAAGUCUAUCAAAAACCUUGCAGUACACAGAUAAGUCUCCGACUAUAGGUUUAUUUGGUUGAUUUAGAAAUGAGAAACGGUAUAUGGUUUACCGUUUAGUGAGUUGACUUAAUUAAAUAUACAAUUGAUGUACAGGUGGUGCAGUCUGUUGUACACAACAAGAGAUUUACACAGCAGGUCGAGCAGUCAAAAGUUUAGAGACAGAAGCUUAAUUCAUUUGAAGGACAUGGGACAAAGACAUGACUGCAAAGAAAUACAAACCCAAGUAAGUGCAUUUUAAAAGCUUAAAAUUUUAGUAAUUAGGCUUCAAACUGAAACUGGUAGUUAGGGGAAUAAACCAGAAGAUUUUUUGAUGAAUGUUGAUUAAUUGCAUUAUACGUGUUUCCUACUUUAGAGACUUAAAAAUUAGUGUGUAAAUUUUAUUAGAGAUGAAUCUGGCAUCUGACUUAUCUGGCAUUUCGUGUUAUGUUUUCAAAUAUAAAACUUCUGCAGAAUUUAAAUAUGCUUGUUUGAAACAGUCAUUAUUUGGUAUUGAGGCUUUCCAGCCUCAUCAUGAAAAUAAAAAAUUAGGAUCCUUUAUGUAUCGAACUUUUCCAAAAGUUCCAAUCACAAUAUAAGAGAAACGUUUUAAUAUAAAACAAUAACUAAACAUAAACUUUAUAAUCUAUAGAUUAUCGAAAAUCCCUCUAAAGACCACGUUUUUGGUUUGACGUUGAGGUUUACCUUCACUGUCAAUAAUCAAUAUCUUCAAUCCUUUUUUUGAAGUCACUCUGGAAACAGCAACAUAUAGUUGUCCGUGAGAAAAAAUCGGUCUUGGUAGAUAAAUUCCAACUUCAGACAAUGUUUGACCCUGGCUUUUAUUGAUAGUAAUGGCAAAUGCCACACCAAUAGGCAAUUGUCUCCUCCUCAUUUUGAAUGGCAACUUUUUGUCUGAAGGAGUUAUAGAGAGUCUAGGAAUUAGCACAGUUCGACCAAUUUUUUCUCUUUCCCCUGUCAUAACCUUCACCUUUAUCAUGAAGUCAUACAUUUCUGUAAUCUGGAGUCUAGUACCAUUCAUCAAUCCACCAACAGGAUCUAUGUUUCUUAGCAACAUCACUGGACAACCCACUUUCAGUCGCAGACUGUGAUUUGGCAAUCCUGAUGCCUUGAUUCUGUUUAAAAAAUCUAGAGUAAGAGCUUGGUCAUUAACUGAAAACCUAUCUGAAGCAUCAAUAGAAUCAGAGCUUAGAAAUAUUUUUUCCUCUCCUGCAUAAAAGACCUUCGUUGUUAACAAAUAUAUAUCACUUCAAAAAAUAUUACAUGUAAAAAUUAGAAAAUUGUAACUAACCAUGAAGCUUAUCCAGCAUAUGUUAAUUAAUCAUGUUGACAUCAUCGUUAGUAAGACAUAGAAUAGCUCUCUCCUGAAAAAACUUUGCCUCGCUGUUCUGGUGUAAAGAAGUAGCAUCUCCAUACACUGCUGAACUUAUAGCUUCUAUUGGAUCUUUAGCAUCAAGAAUUAGAAACUCCUCUGGGAUGUCGAUAAGAGCUUCCCCAUCAUUUCCAUCACCAAUCUUUCUAUCUCCAAUAUCUAAUAUCCAUUGUGAAAACUCCUGCAAGCUUUUGACUCCUCAGCCGACAAAUUAUUGGACAGCAGACGCAUAUUCUUGGUUAACUGCAAAACUUUUACAUGCUUCCAUAGAUAAGAUGAAUUAAGAGCAGCCAUAACAAUCUCUAUCAGGCCUUUUUUCUAUUGGAUUUAUAGUAUUUACCCUUAGUAGAUAUCUUCGUAACACAUGAACCAUUUGUAGAAGGUGUUCUAAGUUGAAAAGGCAAGGUACUGGCAGUAGGUAGUACAUUGGUAACAUCUGUUAGAACCCCUGAUUUGGCACCUCGUUUCUUACUGGAAAACGUAGACGGUGUAUGGUCAGUGACAUCUAUCGAGCCUGCUCUCUUUCUCUUUAGAAUUGUUGAAACAUUGUUAGAUCCUUCAAUGAUGUUGCUGACAGUAGUUUGAUUGCUUGAUUGUGCUAAUUGAAAAAACGUGAAAUUUUUCAUUAUUAACCAUUAGAAACAACAAUUUAACAUGUAUAUAAGGACAUUCAUUUUGAAUGGCAACUUUUUGUCUGAAGGAGUUAUAGAGAGUCUAGGAAUUAGCACAGCUCGACCAAUUUUUUCUCUUUCCCCUGUCAUAACCUUCGCCUUUAUCAUGAAGUCAUACAUUUCUGUAAUCUGGAGUCUAGUACCAUUCAUCAAUCCACCAACAGGAUCUAUGUUUCUUAGCAACAUCACUGGACAACCCACUUUCAGUCGCAGACUGUGAUUUGGCAAUCCUGAUGCCUUGAUUCUGUUUAAAAAAUCUGGAGUAAGAGCUUGGUCAUUAACUGAAAACCUAUCUGAAGCAUCAAUAGAAUCAAAGCUUAGAAAUAUUUUUUCCUCUCCUGCAUAAAAGACCUUCGUCGUUAACAAAUAUAUAUCACUUCAAAAAAUAUUACAUGUAAAAGAAAAUUGUAACUAACCAUGAAGCUUAUCCAGCAUAUGUUGAUUAAUCAUGUUGACAUUAUCGUUAGUAGGACAUAGAAUAGCUCUCUCCUGAAAAAACUUUGCCUCGUUGUUCUGGUGUAAAGAAGUAGCAUCUCCAUACACUGCUGAACUUAUAGCUUCUAUUGGAUCUUUAGCAUCAAGAAUUAGAAACUCCUCUGGGAUGUCGAUAAGAGAUUCCCCAUCAUUUCCAUCACCAAUCUUUCCAUCUCCAAUAUCUAAUAUCCAUUAUGAAAACUCCUGCAAGUCUUUUGACUCCUCAGCCGACAAAUUAUUGGACAGCAGACGCAUAUUCUUGGUUAACUGCAAAACUUUUACAUGCUUCCAUAGAUAAGAUGAAUUAAGAGCAGCCAUAACAAUCUCUAUCAGGCCUUUUUUCUAUUGGAUUUAUAGUAUUUACCCUUAGUAGAUAUCUUCGUAACACAUGAACCAUUUGUAGAAGGUGUUCUAAGUUGAAAAGGCAAGGUACUGGCAGUAGGUAGUACAUUGGUAACAUCUGUUAGAACCCCUGAUUUGGCACCUCGUUUCUUACUGGAAAACGUAGACGGUGUAUGGUCAGUGACAUCUAUCGAGCCUGCUCUCUUUCUCUUUAGAAUUGUUGAAACAUUGUUAGAUCCUUCAAUGAUGUUGCUGACAGUAGUUUGAUUGCUUGAUUGUGCUAAUUGAAAAAACGUGAAAUUUUUCAUUAUUAACCAUUAGAAACAACAAUUUAACAUGUAUAUAAGGACAUAUGAGAGUAUUAUCUUACAUAUCAACUUAUAGGAAUUGCUCUUCAAUCUUUUUUGUUGGCCAUUCUCAUGUUUCCCAUAAUCUAUAAAGAAAAUUUCUCAAUUUAGUAUUGAGGUAAAGCACACAAAUUAUAUCACGUCAACUUUGGUUUUGUGAAAGGUCUGUUAAACCAUUAGUAGGGGUGGUUCCAAUAAAAACUCUCGAGGAUGGCAAAUUAGGAUGAAUAUUGGAGAUAUCAGCUAGAACCCUUGGAAAAGCGUUGCUAAGAGGCACAGAAGUGGAAGUGUUGUUGAAAUUAGAACUUUUCGGCUGUGUGUUCUCUGCAUCAUUGGUGUUCGCUGUUCUCUUUCUUUUUCUUUGUUGCGAGGGUAUCAAACCUUCAGAUCCUGGAGGGACCUCUUUGUUUGUGUUUGACAUUGUAAUUCUCUACAAUGUCAAUUACAGCCACCACUUGUGAUGAGCAGGUCUUCUAAUUAAUUUAGAACCUAAACAUAGAAACAAAGUAAAGAAAGAUGAUGCAGUAUCUUAGAAAAUAUUUUUUUAGUUUUGAAAUAAUACCGAUUUCGGAUUUAUUCAUCUACUUCAUUGAUUUCUAUAUAAUUUACAUUAAUUUUCACUUUUUAAUAGCAAAUAUUUCUGGUAAUAAUACAAAUUGCUAUUUUGGUGAUUUUAAAAAAUAUACAAUCAAUGUUAGUUUCAAAAUUUAACACUACGUUUACCUUAACUAUAACAACUUUAAUGGCUGAUUUAGAUCCAUAUAAUAUUAAAUAUUAUAUUAUCCUCACGAACAGAACUAUAGUGAUUAUUUCUCACCUCGAUAUGUAAUUGAAACUUUUGAUUAAUUCAAGUAUAUUUGAAUUUGAAGUAGAUGAUUUUGUGUAGAUUGGCGUGGAUCAAACAUUUGACGAUCAACUUAAUAAUGCAUUAGGAUAAAUAGACUGAUUGAAAAGCACAAAUCCAACAUAAGUUUAUGGAAGAAAAAAAACCCAACGAUUUAAAAAGAAAAAACCAAAAACCCAAAUGCAAGAAAACAAUUGACAUCAGUCUUUUUCCUAACUUAGCCACGUUUCUUAGCAGCCUCUUCAGCCUUCUCAAUUUUAACAGUCAUUAAGCAUGGUUUCUUUGAUGUUGAACUGAUGUCAGGCAGAGAAAUAGCCUCAUCUUCUUUUCUCUUACUGGAUGGUGUGAACACAGACUCGUUAAGUUCUUGGCUAUCAGUCAAAUAAACAGAACCCUGCAUAAAAACACAUUGAUAAGGUCGUUAAGAAAGAAACUCUCGCGUUAAAAAUAUUGAUGUCACCUUAGAUUAGACAAUUUUACCUCAUCAACACUGGUAAUUGUCAAGGGCGUUUCAGACUGAACUGGUGUGAUUGCACCAGUUAAGCAAUUCAUCCUGUCUUUGUAGAUUUUUCCGACUUUGUAUAUCUCAGCACCAUAAGAUACAUUAUCCUUCUCAACAUAGACUCCAAAUGUGAAAUUUUUUCCAAUCAAAUCAGUAAUAGCGUCUGGUAUUAAGCUUGUGUCUUCAAGCUGUCAAAAUAGAUUUAUAGAUUAGUUUUAUUUCGUCAGUAGGAUUGCAUAAAAUAAGUGCCAUAAUUGCUUUAUAAUAUUUACCUCAUCCCAGCUUCCAUUCAACAACUUGAGUGAAGAUUCAGCAACAAUCCCAUUAGCCACCUUGUCUAGGAUCAUUAUUUUUGACACACCAGUAUCAUCUUUGACCAUCAAGUGAAGCCAGAAACUAUAGAGUUGACAGACAUAAGUGAUUCUUUUAACUAGUCAACACCACUAUAAUAUAGAAAGCAUGUCGUUUUUUUUUUAUUUCUUUAAGUCAUACCUUGGUGAAACUUUCAAGACAUAGUCGUUGCAUAUCUCACACCACCAAAUAUGCGUGGUGAUCUCAAUUCCAUUCACUAUCUUAAUCUUGGUUCCGGUUUUGAUCACCCUUUUUUGGCAUGCAUCACAACCAAAGUAAUACCAUGACCAAUCCAUAUCAAUUUCAUAUACUGUGCAAGUCACUAAACAUUUAUCAACCUAAACAAUAAAAAAUAAAAUGGUUAAAACCCACUUACACGGGCUAUACAAUGUAACAUAAGUAAAAUAAAAGGGUAAACUGUUUGCUUGAGUUGAUGCUUUCAUUUCAUAAAUGUUUUUAGUGGUGUAUAGCAACCACUUAUCACGCUGUCCUCGCUUAUCUGCCUGAUCAAUUUGCUUGUUGAUGUACUCUUGACUCUCCUCAUUACUUUCAUAAGGCUUUAGAGUUUUGUCAUCCCCAGUAUCCCUUACAAAAAACAUACUCUCAAAGUUAGUAUGAUAGACAAAUAACUACUGUAAAAUAAACAAAAGAUCAUCCCCUUACAUAUCUUUAAAUGCUUCUGCGUCGGGUAUUGUAGGGUUGAUGAUCAUUUGAGAAGCAUCAAAGGAGUUAGAGAUUUGUACUUCUCCUGUUGUGGAUACCAUUUAGUAGAUUAGAUAUUAGACAGUCUUAUGUAUAUAAUAAUUGUUAUUUUUUUUGACGAAAUCUAUAGGAGUUCAAAUAUGUACCUCUGAACUUUCCAAUUUUGGCAAACCUCAGAAGCAAAGUAACCAAUCCAUCGUCUUGAUUGCAGGCAGAAUGGAGAGUGUCGGUUAACUUGCCCCAAAUACAGCAUGGUAUUCUUGAAUCACUACCUCACAAGUCAAAAAACGAGGUUAGUUGUGAUUAUGUCACUCGAAAAUAAUUGAUUGGAUUGAAUUUAGAUGACAGAAAAAAUUACUUGAUGUCUCUUAGGGUGAACUCUAGUUUUUUACGCUGGUUCCCACCAGCACAUUGAAUAGUUUCGACAGCACCACAAUCCAAAACUUGGCCCAGCACAUCUGUUAAUAAAACAUUGAAAAGUUAUUAAAUGUAGCAGUACACAAUUUAAUUGCAGAAACUAUCCAUUACGUUUUUACCUAUUAGGAGUUUUUCAUCAAGAGUUCCAGAUAGAACGCUUUGAAAAUCGACCAAAUUAAGAUAUAAGUCAUCAUUCAUGAAAUUGGACCGAGAAAUGAUUGUUUCUUGAUUAAAUGAAAUCUUGUAGAUAUGGUUUGAUGUGCGAUAUGCUCCUCCAGCAGGCCUGACUUGGAAGUUUUUGAUGUUGCGCCAUACUCCAACCAGAAAAAGCCUUCCUUUACUCUCAAAGUAAGUCUUUUUGCAGCUUGCAUGAAUUUUAUGCCCCUUGUACAUGUUACAAUUAAAUAAAUUAGAAAUAUUAACAUCAAUUAAGUCAAUGCUCAAGUUACACAAUUUUUUUUUUUUUAAAACACUACUCUAUUGAAAAAGUUUGGAUUGCUUACAUUCUCAUCAGCCAAAACGAAUUCCAUGGUUUCCCCCCCCCCUUGAUUGAUGUUUUGUGUCCACGAAUGUAGAACGUUGACAUGAACCUUGUUAGUAGUGUGCUUUGGCUUCAAGUCGCUGAUGGCGGUGAUUUGUUGUUUAGAAUCAUUUGCUGUGUUGUUGAGCGCUUUAGAAGCCAUUCUUUUGGUUUUGCGGUAUGAGUGUUUUAGGAAGAGGCGUGGGUAUUUAUAAUAGGAAGAGUAGAUUAGGUUAUUUGAAAACUUGUAGGCUACUCUAAAUAUUUGCGAGAUCUUUAUCGUUAAUAGUACUAAAUGCAGUUACCGGAAAUUUUUAAAAUAUAUUAUGUGAGUAAGUUACACGAAAUCUAGAUUAUAGGAAGAUAUUUUUGAACUUUGAAUGUAGCCUCUGUGUAUCUUCAUUUUCUCAAUUUGGUUGUACAUUUAUUUGCACCGUGAUUGUAGGCGCUACAUACCUUCCACCUUUUUAAUCAGAAAAUCUUAUAGGGAAUAUUAUGUUGUUAAAAUUAUAGUUAGAAUAGAUAUGGUAUCGAAACUCUAUAUUAGAAAAAACAAUCAGUUAAUUUAAAAUAAACCGUAUCUAUUAGAUAUGGGAUUGGUUAAUUUUUAAAAUAAUUGAUUUCAUAGAUAUAUAUACAUUUAACAAAUAUUGAAUAUACCAUAUAUUUGCGAGAUCUUUAUCGUUAAUAGUACUAAAUGCAGUUACCGGAAAUUUUUAAAAUAUAUUAUGUGAGUAAGUUACACGAAAUCUAGAUUAUAGGAAGAUAUUUUUGAACUUUGAAUGUAGCCUCUGUGUAUCUUCAUUUUCUCAAUUUGGUUGUACAUUUAUUUGCACCGUGAUUGUAGGCGCUACAUACCUUCCACCUUUUUAAUCAGAAAAUCUUAUAGGGAAUAUUAUGUUGUUAAAAUUAUAGUUAGAAUAGAUAUGGUAUCGAAACUCUAUAUUAGAAAAAACAAUCAGUUAAUUUAAAAUAAACCGUAUCUAUUAGAUAUGGGAUUGGUUAAUUUUUAAAAUAAUUGAUUUCAUAGAUAUAUAUACAUUUAACAAAUAUUGAAUAUACCAUAGAAAUAUGGAAUAAACUAACCAUUAGGUUAUGUUUUUAAAAUCUUUAUCUGUAACAAACAUGAGAAUGCGUAUGAAUACGUUAGGGUAUAAGGUUUGAGAAAUAUUAUUAGUCUAAAUAAGUCAUAUUUUUAAUAACUCAUAUUGUCUAAAUAAGCUUUAUUUGCACAUGUGAGUUGUUCGGAAGUUUUUUUAAUCUUUUAAGCCUUUUCAUUUUAGGGUAUAGGGUUUGAGAAAAGAUGAAGAUGGUUUCAUGUUAUAGGGCCUUGAUCAUGUUUUCAAAAAUGAGGAUUAUUCAGGUAUGCAUACGGUUUGGGCCUUUGUAGUAUGAAUACGUAUAAGGUUUGAGAAAUAUUAUUAGUAUAAAUAAGUCAUAUUUUUAAUAACUCAUAUUGUCUAAAUAAGCUUUAUUUUCACACGUGAGUUGUUCGGAAGUUUUUUUCAUCUUUUAAGCCUUUUCAUUUUAGGGUAUAGGGUUUGAGAAAAGAUGAAGAUGGUUUCAUGUUAUAGGGCCUUGAUCAUGUUUUCAAAAAUGAGGAUUAUUCAGGUAUGCAUACGGUUUGAACCUUUAUAGUAUGCAUUCGGUUUGGGCUUUAAGUCAUUGACGAUUUGUAAAAAAAAAAUUAAAGAAAAUGACAUUUGGUGGUAAUUAUUUUGAAAAGACAGGGGCAGAAUCCUAAGAGGGAUUCUGCUUUAAUAGUAUAAAUUCCUUUGUCAUCUCUAAAAGUUUGAGUCUUUGCCCUGUCUUAUAGAAUAAAAUCUUAUGAUAUUUUUGUUCUUGUUGUAAUAAGUGUUUUGGCUUAAGAUUCUAGUUAUAUGUCAUCAAAUUAUUAUUAUCAUUGUAGCUUUCAACUUUCUUUCAGACCACAAUCAUUAUCCUAAUCUGAUGAUUAUGAGUAAAUAAUCCACUUAGUCUUGCAAUUAAACCAUCUCAAUCAGGUUGACUAAAGCAGACUCCAACACCUUUGGUAGAUAUCACAAAGCAAAGUGUAAGUGGUUUGUGUUUGUUUUGUUGCAGCAAAAGAGGGGAUGAUGUGGUGUUCCGAAAAGAGUAAAACAAACGGAUAGUUAAUUUAGGGCCCAACAUUUUAAUUUGGACGGACCCCUUAACCCAAAAUACCAACGGCUCCACCACGAGAGCAAAUAAAAGCUCCAUGUUUUAAAGCCAUUCUCCAUCUCUUGCCUCGCCAAUUUAAUUUCCUCUGUCAACACAAGUACUAAUAGGUCACUUUUGAGCUGUUCUCUGUUUCUUGAAUAUUCAAAUUGCAUUUUUUUUUUCCAUUUUUCUGCGUACACUUGUAUGUAUUUCAAUCUUCACAGUAUACUACUAGUAAGUGGAUGUAUGCUAUCAAGCAGUAAAGAAAGAGCGAAUGUAUGAUUUAGUUUAUUCAAGGUUUGAUGUCAGAGGUAAACUAUUCAAGGUUUGAUGUUAGGUACAUGGUAGUCUAAUAUUAUUCUUUAUGGUGAAAACCAUUUCCAAUCUAAUUGAUAUUCAUCAAUCCAAAACCAAAUCGAAAUUUUAUAAUAAUCUAAACCAUAAGAAAAGUUUGCAUAUCAAAUAAACUGAAUCAAGCUUCUUUGGUGUAAUUAAACCUAAUAAUUCAUAACUCAUUAAAACUUAUAUUGUUUUAAAAUAUUUACGAAAAUGCAUACACCUUAAAUAGUUAAAAUCGAUCAUUAGUUUAAUUGUGAGUCCUUUUUCUUCUAAAAAUGAGAUGAACUAAUCCAAACUAUAAAAAACUGGUUCUAGUUAUGGUUCGGAUCUUUUUUUUUUUUUUUUUUUUUUGUCGUCGUCUACCCAUCUAGGCUAGAUCAAGUGGAGAACAAACGAGCCGAUCCUCCGAGGAGCAUCUCCAUAUGCCCGGGUCUGAUCUAUAUGGGAGAAAAUAUAACUUCUGGUUCUUGCAUCUUUUGCUAACCUGUCUGCCCGGCCAUUCCGAUUCCGAGGAAUAUGAGACAGUCUCACAUCAUCGAAGUCAUCUUGUAACCUCUGGAACACCUCGAUCUCUGUCACGAAUGCUGGCCAGUCCAUCGGGUUUGUAGUCAUAUCCAUUAAGUCUGAGCAGUCCGUCUCAAACCGUGUUGAAGUGUUCCUUCUGUCUCUCAUACAUGAGGCUGUCCAAAGUAACCCUUCCAUCUCAGCAUGCAAAGCUGAGAGGCUCAUGUUACACGCCCGUAAUCCAAAGUAUUCUAAGCCCAUUUGAUCCUUAAGACUCCACCCUAAGCCACUGACACUGCCAUUAUUGAUCCAUGAUGCAUCAAUUUGACAAGUACGGAUUUGGGGUAUCCAAGGGGGCACUGUCUCAAUCUCUGUAGUAAAGGGAUCGUCAUGAUCCUCAUUUGCUUCCUCCUUUUCGUUAGCCUUCCUCCAACAUUCUGCCUCAAGAGACGCAUGUUGGAGAGUGUCAAUGGGGGAUACGUCUUUCCCAUUGAAGAGUUUGUCGUUUCUCGCCUUCCAAAUGUACCAACAGAUCCAUGGGAAGGAAAUGAAUUGUGGUCUCAGAGGAGCCACCUCUUUUCUCUUCCAAAACAGGAAGUUCAUGUUUUGAUAUAUGGAUGUACUCGGGAAGUAACCGGAAGGGACGGAUAGUCUGAUAAAGCCCAAACCUGAAGAGCUGGUGGGCAUUCAAAAAGAAGAUGAUUAAUCGACUCCACUGGACCAGCACAUCUAGGACAACUCCUAUCAGUACACAGGUGUCUAUAUAUGAGCCUCUCUGCCGUCGCCACACAGCCCGAGAUAGUCUGCCACAAGAAAUGUUUCAUCUUACUCGGGGCCUUUAUCUCCCACACAUGGCUCUGUAGGCUCGUGAAACUUGGUUCUACAGCCCCUUUUUGUGAAAGACUCAACUUGGUCGAUCUAAGUAGGUCAUAGCCGGUUUUAACUAAAUAAACUCCUGAUUUUGUAUGGUUUCAAACAUAUCCAUCCCGAGCACGAGAGCGAGAAGGUUUCAUCCCAAGUAUCAAAGGGAUAUCAUCUUGGUGAAAGAAAUCUCUUAGAAGUUGUAUAUCCCAUUCCUUGGUAUUCAGGCUAUCCCAACGAUCCUUGUUCAGUCCUUCAUUAGGAAUGGUUCUGGUUCGGAUCUAUUUACCGAAUAUCUAUUUUGUAAACCGAACCAACAAAUUGAAUGUCUAUAGCUUUUUUUUUGGAUCAAACUGAAUGUCUAUAGCUAACUAUUAAUAUCUAACCACUGACAUGACAAAGAAGAAAUAGGUCAAAAAGAAGGCUGGAAAUGCAUGGAAGUUGGAGAAAGGAAGGCUGAAAAUAAGGAGUAGGUGUUGUUUGCAACUGCAACUUCGACCCUCAUUUUAUGGCAAGAAGAGUGACUUUUGGUCAAUAAAGUUCUUAGACUCUACAUUUAUAUCUUUCUUAUUAUUUUCAUGACUGCCAUUUUCAUGGAUUGUCAUUUUCUUACAACUAUUGACAAAACAAUUAUUAUCACCCAAGUACUAUGUACAUACCAUUUACUGUGACAUAACGCAUAAAACAAAACAACAACAGUUUGAUUCUAUAAUGUAAAAACAUUUUAAUUUUACAAAAAUAUAUAAACCGAAAUUAGAAAGCAUAAUUCUAUUGCUAUUGAGAAAUGAAAACAAAAAGAAAUCUCUUAAAUAGUCAUAUGGGGAUUUGUUCUUUUCUUUUGGGGUAAACUCCGUUGCGUUGAUGAGUCAGCCAGUUUUAAAGACUUGAACAAGUUUCGUGAAAGAUCCUCCUUGGCUCCUCGACCUCGUGGUUAAGUCCUGAGAACAACAAAUAUAUAUAUAUAUAUUAUUAUUUUUUUUUGACAAAAAAAUUAUAUUUCGGAGGUGUAUAUGGGUAUCAUAUCAUAUUAUAUGGUUUUCUUUAUGGACAAAUCUCCAAAAUAGCACAUUUCUAAGUUUAUAUCACAAAAAUAGCACUCAAAAACUAAAAUGACCAAAAUAGCACUUUUCUAAGUUUAUCCUUUGAAAAUUUUAAUUUUUUUUAUUUUUCAAAAUUUGAAAUCUUAUCCCCAAAACCUCAUUUCUCAACUCUAAACCCUAAAACCCUAAACCCUAAACCCUAAACCCUAAACCCUAAACCCUAAACUCUAAACCCUAAACUCUAAACCCUAAACCCUAAACCCUAAAUCAUAAACCCCACCCUUUAACUCUAAACCCUAAGUUUGUGACUUUUGAUAAAGCAUUAAGUGCUAUUUUUGUGACUUUUGACCUUAA
rnacentral:lncRNA from 1 species